UCCACAAGAAAAAAUAUCAACGGCGCAUAGGGAAUCACUUUUGUCAACAAAAGCCGACAUCAUCCUCAUCAUCCUCAUCAUCCCCUCUCUCUCUCUCGCUCAGAGCUUCUCACUCGACAGCAAUGCACCACGCCUACAUCACCCCCUCCCAAACCCACCACGGCCACCCCCAAGUCCCCCUCCGCGGCCGCGGCGGCUGCGACGACGGCGUGAUCGGCGUUCACGGUGAUCUGCGUGCUCCACUCCCUGAUCGCGCUCUUCUGCGGCUCCCUCAUGAUGUUCCACGCCCGGGCCAUCUACUCCCUCGGCCACGGCACCAACGCCGCCGAGCGCCUCCUCGGGUCCACCCCACAGGACCGCCUGCUGAUCCGGACCUCCGACUCCUUCGCCGGCCUGCUGCUCCUUGCCAUCGGCCUCCUCCUCCUCAUGGUGUCCAACAUCAAGGACCGGGAGUUCCAGGACUUCUUCGCUAAGGGCUGCACGGUGCUGCACGUGUUCGUGGCGGUGUGGAGGGUGUCGUUCGAGCGAGGGGUGGAGGACCUCGCCGGGGACUGCCUCCGCCAGACGGUGGGGGACUUCUUGCUGGCCCUGUCGUGGCUCCUCUUCGUCGUCUACUCCUGGAGGGAGAAGUACGACUGACCCGGAAAUGGAAUCGCGCGUAAUAAAAAUGAAACAAAAUCUAAUUUCUAAUCUGCAAGGAGUUGAUUGAGUAGGUGAGAGAUUGAUUCAUAAGACAAAUCCUAUAUUUAGUUGCAUGCUCGCCAAUAAGAUUAACUCUUAAGGGGUCAUGCUCAUGAUAAGUGGCCCAUUGAUGAAGUCUUAUUGCACGUGACUAAGACAAUUUGCAUGCAUUCAUAGGGUUUUAGUCAAGUGAAGAUUCGCAUCCGUUGUUAUAUAUUUGUUUUCCUGUAUGCCUAAUUUUAAUUAUUAUAAAAAUUCCUCUAUAAGUAUGCCGCUUUCAAUUGAAACUUAUCAAUUCGUUUGGUUUAGGGGAAAAUUCUUUAAGCUAAAAAAGGGUAAAACAAUAUCUCGUUAAUCAUCUAGUGGACUAACAAGAUGUACACGGAGUACAAAAGUGCGGGUUGAACAAAUGGGUUAAACACCUGCACACAAAAGCUGCGGUGCAAAUCCAAAAGAAUUGUCCAACCUUGCUAACAUACGGUAAUCUCUUAGCCGUACCGAAUCUCCACUCUUUCAAUGACCAUUUCAUGUCGCCAUAACUCGUAAUACUGUAAAUCAAUUUUAGUGAUGUAUCAUAACAAUAUUUUACUUUAAUUACAAUUAUAUCUUGUAAUAUUAUAUGGUAGACUUGAAGUAACAUAAAAGUCGGUAGAAGUACAGCACAAGUGCCAUAACUUUGCAUGGAGGGACACUUAAGUGCCAUAACUUUAAAAUGGUACACUUGAGUGCCAGUUUUAAAGUUAAAUGGGAUACUUAAGUGCCACUCCGGCGAAAAUCUGGCCAAAUGGCUGACGUGGCGACUUUCUGGCGAGUUUGGUCCAAAACGGCGUCGUUUUGCACGCUGACGUGGCGGAGAAAAUGCAAAAACGACGUCGUUUCGUGUAAAUAAUAAUAUAAAAAUUAAUUAAAUUAGAUUUAAAAUUAAUUUUAUUUAAAAUAUUCAAAAAAUUAAAAAUUUUAAAAUUUUUAAAAUUUUUAAAAAAUUAAGAAAAUUUAAAAAAAUUAAGAAAAAUUUAAAAAGGGGGGGGGGGUCGAAGGGGCGGCUGAGGGCUGAGCCCUUGCCGCUGCCGCCUCCCCGCCGUCGCCGGGAAGGACCCGCGACCAAGGGGGGAGGGGCCGCCGGGGACAGUGGCCCUCCGGCCGCCGACCACGAAGGCCGCACUCCACCCACCAAAGAUCGUCAAAGCACUUGGCUGACUAAUCACUGGAUCCACUGGAGGGGUACUCUUCUCUUCUAACCCUCCAUGCCUUGUCCCACAUUGGUGACCUCAGGCCACGCAUUUCUACAAUUAAGCCAUAAGCGUGAAACUACUUGAUAUUAGGCCGCACCUAUAACUUCACAUCUUGGAGGUUCGCCUGCACUUCUCACCACCAGAUUACAAAUCGAGCGUCGUAUAGAUUAAGACUCAACAAACUUUGGUACAUCGGACUUACUAUGAGUGCUAUGGUCAAACCUUUGCCAUAUAUUUCAUCGACACACUUUUACUUCAGGUUNNNNNNNNNNNNNNNNNNNNNNNNNNNNNNNNNNNNNNNNNNNNNNNNNNNNNNNNNNNNNNNNNNNNNNNNNNNNNNNNNNNNNNNNNNNNNNNNNNNNCGACCUCCCCCUCUUUUUUUUUUUUUUCUUAAUUUUUUUAAUUUUUUGAAUAUUUUAAAUAAAAUUAAUUUUAAAUCUGAUUUAAUUAAUUUUUAUAUUAUUAUUUACACGUAGACACGAAACGGCGUCGUUUUUGCAUUUUCUCUACCACGUCAGCGUGCAAAACGACACCGUUUUGAACCAAACUCGCCGGAAAAUGGCCACGUCAGCCAUUUGGCCGGAUUUUCGCCGGAGUAGCACUUAAGUGUCCUAUUUUACUCCGAUAUUAGCACUCAAGUGUACCAUUUUAAAGUUAUGGCACUUAAGUGUCCAUCCGUGCCAAGUUAUGGCACUCCAAGUGUCCCAACCUCCAUAGAAGUCACUCUAACUUAGGAGUCUUCUAUACAUUGAAAGAUAAUAAGUUUUUCAAUGUACCAUGCCAAUUGGGAAAAAGAAAAUCUUUCUAUUUACAACACAAAUUAAUUAUAUGAACCAAAAUCAAGUUUAAGUAAAAGUUAAACAGGAAUCUGCGAUAUAAUAUCAAGCGUGAACUUGUUGGUAUUCGGCUGGAUAGUCUUACUAUUUUAAUUGAGUUUAAGUUAAUUUAUGUAGAUUAUUUAAUAAUUUUAGAGAGACACAAAAAUACUUAUGAUUCCAUUGCAUAUGAAAUUUUGAGCUCUAGUUCAUUUAUAUUUCAACUUAGUCAAAUUGAAUUCAAGUGGAACUUUUUAAUAUCUCAAUUUUGUUCUCGACUUGAGUUUGAGGAAGAAAAUUAAUACUUGAUCAAGCUUUGCUCAAAUGUGGUGACACCUAACCUAAACUUUAACUUGUAAACUUAUCACUCAUCACAUUAGAAAAUUAAAAUAAAAUAUAAAAUAGAGUCCAAUCCCUUAAUAAAUAUCGAUAUUACAUUGCGUUUAGGCAUUUAGACAUUAUGAAGCAUAUCCGCAUUGAAUAAGUUUCAUUCUAAUCGGCCCCGUCGUGGAGGCAUUUGAAUUGGCCUGUCAGCUAAAUGUACUCGAAUUUAGGAGAGGGGGAGGCCCUAAUCUUAUUUGAAUUUUCAAGACCAAGCCAAAUUUAAUUCAAGUCCUGUUGAACUUCGGCCAGAACACAACGUAAAGCAUGCAAGGCAAAGUAUUUCGGCAAAAUGCAUGAUUCUUGGCAAGAUUAUUUGGCGUUCUCACGGCAAUCCAAGUCCUGUUGAACUUCGGCCAGCACAUACUUCGUCGUGCCAGAGCGACAUCAACGUAGCCUCGCUGGUCCUUGCCGUGGUCGCGCAUCUGGCGCCGUCAUUCAGGGCUUCCUCAUCACAUUCUGGUCGAAGUCGUUAAAAUUGCAGGUUGUUUUUGGCGCGGUAAGUAUUCUGUCGCGGUUUGUUAAUCGCCCCCGAGGGGACAGAGUGAGAAGAAAAUGGCAGGGCUCUGGAUGCUCUUUGGGCUUCGUGGGCUUUUUCUUUUGGAUUCUUUAAUUGGCACUGGGUUGAAAUCGAUAGUGCUUGAAUUCAAAUAUUCACUUCUUUCGACCAUGCAAACUGGACCAGGCCCUUCCAAUCAGGACCACAUUGGAGCCCUUUUGAUCAUUUUCUCUUUCUUUUAACUUUUUAAAAUUCGUUUUAACAUAUUUUACAAGAAUCUAUGCUUGAUUUGUCAACUAAAACUUCGGUGUCAAUACUGACGUAAACAAUUUUUAAAAUUUUAUUUUCAUUUUCUUCACAUGGCAAAGAAGACCGUCGACCCCUGAUAGAGAUGAAGGCCAACAAUCCCCUCACCAGCCAUGGGCAAGGGUUCAUUGUUUCACAAAAAUAAUAUUUACUGUAUACCAAAAUGGAGAUUAAGUGAAACUUAAACAUGAAUGUGCCAUAUGAUAUCGAACUUCAACUCGUUAAUACUUGGCUCAAUAGUCUUACAAGUCUAAUUGAGUUUUUCUUUUUGUAAAUUAUUUAUAUGAAAUAUCAAGCCCAAUCCCUUUAUAUUUCAACAUAAUAAAAUUGAAUCUAGGCGCAACUUUUGAAUACUUCAAUUUUCUUUUUCAGUUGGGUUCAGGUAAGAAAUUCAAUUCUUGAACAAGCUAAGCUCGAGUGAAGUUUCGAGCGAUCAAACAUGUGAGUCGAGCUUGACAUUGCAGCAGCUCGUCUCAAUGUGAUUAUCCUUCUAUCUCGAGGACUAAGCCUAGGACGCUAGCGCUUAGACUUGAUACCUCAAAGGUGGAUGGCGCGUCCUUGCGCGUGGACUGAGAGACACCAGCCGAUCAGGUUAUCACGUGGGCCAGUGGCACCUUUUGUCUUUGAGUUCUAGGCCGAUUCUUCAUCGUUCCAGAUUCGUCGGUCGAUUGCCACAUGUUCUGGUGGAUCCUGCGCUUCAGAAACUUCCGUUCUUUCUGCUUCCCUGGCUUUCUCUCCCCUCACUUUCUUCUUCCUCCUCCUUCAUACUCCUUCAAAACAAUAGUUAACUCAGGACCGCCUGGCAGCAACAAUCCUAGAUCUCUCUAUCUUCUCGCCCUCGACACCGUCAGGGCCGGGCGAUCCAUGGUCGUUACAGGUCAGCUUCGUUUAUUUUUGCACGUCUAUGGUUUUCCGGUGAUCCCGACGUCAAUCUCAUCCUCCACAUCCUCGCCGCCGCGCGUUCCUUCCUCAUCAAGCAGCAUAUUUAUCUGAAAUCGAAAGCUGAAAACGUUUUCACCAACCAAAUGGCCCUGAGUUCGGUCCAAUAUUUUCCUGAGAAUGAAACAGGCUAAGAGUGCUUGUUUCUUUGAAGCGAGCCAGAGCCAGAGCAAAGGGAAGAGAUCGUUUACUUCGCUGCCGAUCAGGGAAGGGCAACCGCGGGUCAGAGGCCGCCGUGCCUCUCUGAUAACAAAGCCGACUCUGCUUCAGCCUUAAGCCCUUGAUUUUCGUAGCAAGACUCUCUCUCUCUCUCUCUGUUCCGAUGCUUGGUAUUCUAGGGAAGCACAUAUACCAUCAGCUCUUCUAAUGGCUGCUUCUUCAAAUAUCAGAAGGAAUUACCAUGUGUUCCUCAGUUUCAGAGGGACAGAUGUCCGCCACGGCUUCCUCAGUCAUCUCUACGCGGCUCUGGACCAGAAAGGAAUACACACUUUUGUGGAUCACGAGGAGCUUAGGAAAGGAGAGGAAAUAUCGCCCACGCUCAUGAGGGUGAUUGACGAAUCGCGCAUCGCGAUCAUCGUUUUCUCUGAGAACUACGCCUCCUCGCCAUGGUGUUUGGAAGAGCUCUUGAAAAUCAUGGAGUGCAAGGAGCAAAACGGCCUGAAGGUGUUCCCAGUGUUUUACAAAGUGGAACCGAGAGAAGUGAGAGGAGGGAGAGAGAGUUAUAAGAAAGCUAUGGAUAACCAUGAGUCCAAGUUCGGGAAGGAUUCAGAGAAAGUGAAGAAAUGGAAGAAGGCUCUCCUUGACGCUGGUAACUUGUCUGGGUGGCACUUCAAUGACAGGUACGCAGAAAUGUUAUGCAUUGCUUUGCAAUUGUUAGCUCGUGAUUGUUUGUUAGAUAUCAAAUCGUAUGUAUAGCUUCGAAUUGCCGAAACGAUGCAUCAAGUUCUUUGAAUUCGCAGUAGACACAAAAGUCAAAAUACCAAAAUUUGAAGCUCGCAGAAAUUUUAGUCUUAGAUAAGUAGCGUGGUUCCUAGUAAUUAGUGUCUUCAGGCGCAAAUUCUUUGUAAUUUUCCUUCCGCAGACGUUGGCGCAGGUGUGUGUUAUUUCUUUUCAUUUUAUUAUUUAUUAAUCUUCUUAUGAAAUUUUACUUGUGAUGUUAGACGUUGAAUUCCUGCCAUGGCUUGAAAUGGUAAAACAUGUUUCUAUUUCUUUUGAGUGCUCAUCAGAGAUGAAAGAGAUGAAGCGGAGCUCAUACAAUCCAUCGUCAAGGAAUUAUCAAUUUGUCUCAGACCGAGAUCCUUAGAUGUCGCUAAGUAUCGGGUCGGUAUAGAAUCCCAAGUUCAAAAACUGAUAAGUUUGUCAGAGUCAGCUGGUAGUGAUGUUUUGAUGAUAGGUCUAUGGGGACCUGGCGGCAUAGGGAAGACAACGAUUGCUAAGGCCCUAUAUAAUGCUAUUCAGACGCAAUUUUGGGGUUCUAGUUUUUUGGCGCAAGUUAGAGAAAAAUCGAACCAAAGCAGUGGUCUUGUUUCUUUUCAAGACCAACUUCUAUUUGAGAUCUUACGUCAUAAAGAAUUAAUCUAUGAUGUCGAUGGAGGAAUUAGUUUGAUACAGGAAAGACUAUGUUGCAAGAAGGUUCUCCUAGUUCUCGAUGAUGUUGAUGAUAUGGAUCAACUGAAUGCCUUAGCUGGAAAAGGUGAUUGGUUUGGCGAAGGGAGUAGAAUCAUUGUUACAUCAAGAGAUAGACAUUUAUUAACUUCUCAUGACAAAAAUUAUGUGUAUGAAGUUAAAACUUUGGAAGACAAUGAAGGACGAGACCUUUUUGGUCGGCAUGCCUUUACAAACAGCAAUAAAGUAGAAAUAAGAAGGGAUCUCAUUGAUGGAGCACUGCAUUAUGCCGGCGGCCUUCCAUUAGCCCUGGAAGUGUUGGGCUCAUUCCUACGUGGAAGAAAGGAACCCGAAUGUGAAAGUACGUUGCAUAAACUCUCUAAAAUUCCUGAAUCAAAAAUCAAUCUAGUUCUCAAGAUAAGCUUCGAUGGAUUGGACGAGAAUGAGAGGGAGAUUUUCCUUGAUAUUGCUUGUUUCUUUAAGGGGAAAAGUAUAAAGGACAUCCAGGAAGUUCUUAACAACUGUGAUUUCGACACAACCAUAGGAGUAGAAAUUCUCAUCGAGAGAUCCUUGAUAAAAAAUGAGAAUGGUUCCUUGCAAAUGCAUGAUUUGGUUCAGUUGAUGGGUAUGCAUAUUGUUAAACAAGAAUGUCGCGAUGAUCCUGGGAAACGCAGUAGAUUAUGGCUUUUGGAAGAUGUUGAGAACGUUUUUUGUUAUAAUACGGUAAAAGUUGUUUAUGUCAAUUUUGCUACUUUUCGGUUUACAUUACUCUAAUUUGAAUAGUCUAACGUAAAUCUUUACUGAAAAUUUUGUCUGACAAUUGAAUUUGCUCUGUUAUGGAUAGGGAACGGAUGCAGUAAAGGCCAUAGUAUUGGAUUUGCCCCUACCAGAAGCGAUAAUCAUCAGUCCUGAUGCUUUCACAAAUAUGAAAAAGUUGAGAAUACUCAUUUUGCUUGGAGUGCAUAUCUCUUCACAAGCUCAAAUACGUCUCCCUAAUGAGCUAAGAUGGCUUGAAUGGCCCAAUGCCCCGAAUCUAAAAUUUGUCUCUAGUCCAAAUAAACUUGUGACACUCGAUGUCCCGUUAAGUCAUAUCAGACGAUUAGGGGGCAACUCUCAGGUAAGCCCUUGUGAUGAUUAGCUUUUCCUUUUUAUAGCUAUAAAAAAAAUUUGUAGAGCUUAAUGACCACACUAGCAUGUUUUCGCAGAAUUUUAGAAAGCUGAAGUCCAUCGAUUUCAGUGGAUGCAAGUCCCUGGUUAGUAUUCCCGGCCUGUCAUCGGCUCCAAAUAUGGAGGAAUUGACUCUUGGUGGGUGUGAGAGCUUGGUGGAGGUUCACCCAUCCGUCGAAGAUCUUGUCAAGCUGAAAGUUUUGUCGCUACAAUGGUGCUCUAAUCUUAGAAAUUUUCCUAACACGCUGAAGACUAAGUCUCUUCAAACCCUUAAGCUCUAUGGUUGCUCUAAACUUGAGAAGUUCCCAGAUAUAGAUGGAAAGAUGGAACAUCUGAGAGAACUUAAUCUACGUGGGACAGCUAUUAAAGAACUCCCUGCAUCAAUUGAAAAUCUUGUCUCUGUGCAGUCGAUGACUUUAGCAUUUUGCAAAAACCUCAUGAGGCUUCCGUCGCACAUUUAUAAGUUGAAAAAUCUCGAGACCUUUGAUCUUGGGGGCUACUCAAAUUUAAUUACGUUUCCAAAAAACAAGGAGGAUUCAACUGAUCGUGAUGGCUGUCUGGGAUUCCAAAGACUACGCUACCUAUACCUUAAUGGCUGCAAUCUAUCAGAAGUAGAGUUCCUUGAGAAUUUUUCCAGUUUUCCCGCAUUGGAGAUUCUACGCCUUCAAUAUAACAAGUUUGCUCAUAUGCCGACAUGCAUCAACAGGUACUAUCGUUUGUGCUCAUUGAAUGUUAGGGGAUGCGAGGAACUACAAGAGAUUCCUCAGCUUCCACCAAAUAUAGAUUAUCUAUUUGCAGAUUGUUGCAAAUCUCUGCAAAAACUCCCAGAUUUGUGGGGUCAGCCCUCCCACACCUCGUUUGUUGGCUUGGCUUCAUGUGGUGAAUUAUUCCGCAAAGGGGUCAAUAUGGAUGAUGUGGCUAAUGUGUCAUUACUCAAGGUCUCUCUCUCUCUCUCUCUCUCUCUCUCUCUCUCUCUCUCUCUCUCUCUCUCUCUCUCUCUCUCUAUAUAUAUAUAUAUAUAUAUAUAUAUAUAAGUUAAAAGCUUGAUAUGCGUACCAUCUGUGUGACAGAAUCUGCCAAAAAUAAGCUGGGUCGACAUUAUCCUAAUUGGAAGAGAGAUGCCUAAAUGGAUUCUCCCUUGUGAAGAGCAUUCCAUAUUUUUCAUGGUUCCACGGGACUUGUAUGACAAGCUCAAAGGACUAGCACUCUGUAUAGUUCUUAGCCUGGAGGAAGGAAAAGUGGUCAAUGUUUUAUGUGAUUUCACAGUACUUGUUAAUGGCAAAAGCGUGAAGGUCCGCAGGAAAUAUUUUUCUUCAAUGGAAUCUAACCAUGUGUGGCUUUAUUAUUGUUCACGCGAUGGUCUGUUUGGAGUGGAGAAGCUUCUGCGAAAUGAUUGGAGCGAUUUCCAAGUUUGCGUCAGAGCAAAAAAGGGAAGCAUAAAGAAGUGUGGAUUUCGUCUAAUAUGUGAGCAAAAGGAGGAUGAUCUAAGGGUGGUGUUCCCAGCACCAUCAGCUGAUAGAAACAAAGUGAAGUUUUUUGGGGAAGACUCAGAAGAAGGUAAUUCAAUAGACACCGAGGAAGGAGAUACUCCUAUUGAAACAGAUGUGGAGGAAAGCUCAUUACCUUUAACAAAGAAGAUGAGGCGAUCUUAACUACGGUGAGACAAUGGGUUCCAAUAUCUUUGCUUUUCCCUUUUCUGGAACUCCACUAGAGAUUUACAAGUGCUGCUCCUUCAAAUAGAAUUUAAGAUCAUUAUAAAACAAAGGUUUCGCACCAUACUACUGACAUGAUUGGGGAACAUUUUUUUUUUUUUUUUUGCCUCUGAUUCGUUAUGAUUUUUAGUGCAGAGUGCAUUAACCCAAAAAUUAAGAGGAUGGUUGUUGAAAUGGGCAUGGUCUUCCAAGUUGUGCCAUGUAAUUUAUUAGAUGGGCCUCUGUCGCCUCUCUUAAUCCAAUUCCAAUUAACGAUGCCAAUACUUCAUAAUUCAAAAUUCUGAGAUAGUAAGUUUUGCUAAAUCUAGUAUAAUCUAUAUCUUUAGGAAAGUGCUGUUCGAAUGGUCUCAAAGAUCAAGGGGUCUAUACAGGGGAAUUUAGUUGAUUCCCCUAUUGUUACUCGGCAGCUUGCAUUGGAUUGGUAUAAAGGGACACUCUGGCGUCUGAGAAACGUUGCAUCUUAGCAAAGGAGAUUGAUUUCAAGGAUAAUCAUGAAAAGCAAACGGUAUUUGUCAAACGCUUUCUAAAAUAAGUAUUUCAAAGCAAUUUUGAGAAUGAGAAAAAAAAAUUAAAAAGGGAGAACGAAGGAACUUGCAGGUACAUAUGAAAGCACAAGCAGGUGGCACAACAGUAGGACCAAUGCCGACCUUGUGCGACCCCAGGCAAUACGCUGCUGAGGUCAACCAAACCUUGGAGACACGACACCAGUGUUGCUUGACCCUAGGCGACACGACACUAAAUGCCAGUGUCCCAUGACCUCAAGUGGCGGAAUGUUAGAGCCACACGACUAGGCAACGCAAUGCUCAACCCUCGACAAGCUAAAUCUGGCAUCAAGCAACCCUCGCAAAGCUCCUUGGAAUCAUGCAACCUUCGACGAAGCUUUGUCGGUGUUCGUUAACCUGGCCUCCUUCGUGAAGCUUCCUAGCCAUGGCCAACCAUGGCUUUCUCUCUCCUAAACAAGGUUGAGGGACAAAACAUUAUUACAAAUAUAUUAAUGAUGGUAAGAUUGUAAGAAAAAAAAAUUCAUUAAACUCCCAAACUAUACUAAACCUCAAAGGUGAGGCUUGCCUCAAGCUUCAAGCAUUUCAAAGCAAAACUUUUAGCUAAAGUCUUUGAAAUUGUGUUACCAAAUAUCAGAACUUAUUUUAAGAACUUUUGAAAGCCCAAAACAGCUUAAUUCAAGAUGACGAAGCACUCUAAUUUCUAAAGGCCAAAUUGGAUGGGAUUGAAACGGAGGGCAAAAUUGGAAUAAUGUAUCACUUUGGGGGUCCUUGUGGGUCAAAAAAUAAUUUUUAGUAAAUUAUUUAAGGGUACUGAUUUAAGAUUUUCCGUGAUAUUAAUCCAAAUAAUAUUUAUGUAUUAUUUUUUUUUCUUUUUUACCUUUUGAAGAGUUGAGUCUAAUUCAUUUGGCAAGUAAAAUGCUAAGUAACAUUUUAAUAAUUUCCACUAAGAAUAUUAGUAAGUUAAGUUCAUACUAGGAUUGCCUUUAUAUUCUUCAUUGGCUUGCACCAAAGUUCAUUCUCUUUCUCACUUUCUACUAUUAGUCACCCUUCAUUUAAGUCUAGUUGGCUCGAUAUCGUCUAUUUGAAAUGCAAAAUUCAAUAAAGUAGAAAUGUUGUGGCCCAUCACUCUCUGAAGCCAAAUGUAUGAUUAUUAUAACCUCCAAAAAGGUGACCCAAUCACAUUAUUAGAGCAUACGAGAUAUCAAAUGCUCGUUACUAAACUAUUAAUUACACUCAUUAAGGUUCGGAAUCAUGUACACUGAUAAUAUCUCAUUCAAAUCGUAACACAUAUUCACCUCAAAUUAAAUCUACCAUCCACGAUCAGAUUCCAAAAUUAUAGCAUCACCCCCUCCUCCUUGUCCUCCUUUUCCUCUCUCUCUAGAUAAAAAGAUGGAGAAGAGCUAUCAACACCAGCGACCCUCUUUGAAAUGUACCAACCCAUUAAGAGUAUAUACUUCAUUUCACAUCUUAUUAUAAUUGGAAACACUGCCUAUGGGAAACGAUUAAUACUCUUGGAAGCGAUAUGCCGAUUCUAUUUAGACAUCAAGUCAUCCCGCGUGGUGAACCUUUCCUAAUUCUUGUGAUUUAUAAUGUAUUAACAACGUUCAAGAGCAAAAUCAAAUGGAUGACUCCAACCCUUUGCAAAGUUUGCAACCAAAAAGUCAACAAGCACGAAGCGAUGUUGGGCAACUACUCGAGCAAAAUCUUGGGCCGACCAAAAUUGAAAUAGUCCCAGGUGAACUCCACCAAAUGGGCAACCAAGACUGAAAUGAUGGGCCGAUUCUCUUGCUGAUCCUCAAGCAAGACUGAAGAAUGGACCAUCUUCAUACCUCAUAUCUAAAAUAAAUCGACAUUGGGUUGUCGACCUUGACAAGAUUAGAGAUCAUAUCGUCUCAUCAAUCAUAAAAUUCAUCCCCCAACUCCUCUCAAUUAAAAAUAAUGCGAUAGUUACUUACUAGUGAAAUCGAUGUUAAGAGACUACUUGACCAAUUAAGAGUCGUCCAAUUCAACAUUUGAAUUAAAAACCACAAACAGCAAAAAAAAUAAAAAAUCCUUCACAACACUUUCAAAGCAAUAAUAAACUUUAUUUGAGGAAACUAUGAGAAAAUAAUACCUGAUUACUGCUGAAAAACCUAUUUAAAAUUAAUUGUUGGGAAAUAUCUUGGCCCAAAAAAUCCUUCUUAUAUUAAUUAACCUCCAUUUACUUGUAAAUUUUUAAAUGAAGAAAAAUGUCAAAAGUAGAGUGAUCUUGAUCUCGAAGCUUGCAUAAGCGAUAGCCACAUGGACGACUUCAAGCAUCCCCAAUUAUGUCAUUCUAUAAACAUUGUAAAGGGGUUCAAAAGAUCAAAAAAGUGAGGAAAAUGAAGAAAAGGAAGGGAAUUGCCUAUAUUUUCACUUUUGAUAUUUGCAAUUAGCUCCUAUAUUUUUAUUAUUUUAGUAUAUAAUCCUCUAAGUUAGUUUUUUUUUCAUCGGUAAAUCUUUUUAUUAGAUUUAACAAGCUUAAUUCUCCAAAAUUUUGUUCCAAAACCAAUCUUCGACGAGCAUAGAUAAAUUUUCGUGGCUAUCCAACAAAGCAGCAUCAACAGUUCCUACCGAAGAUGAGUGGAUGCAAGGAUAAAUUGGCCAGAGCUAGAAAGAGAGCAAGAUCAAGCGGGGAUAGAAUUAUCCUAAUGUUAUCGAUUCUUUUUUCACCUAAAAGAUAUUUUUAUUUUCUUCUUUGAUUUUGUGCUAAGUAAUUUAAUGGUUAAAUUUCACGUGUAAUUGACUUUUCUUUUUUCCUUUCUUAUCCAACCAGUGUUCUCUCGGUGGCCGUUGAAUUCAGUUUAUUGUAAGAAAACAUGGCACUUGAUUUCAACUGUCAAGUUGUCUCUGGAAAAAAAAAAAAAAGGAAAAUGAUAAAAUCGUCCGACCACACGAGCCGUCCGAUUGUGUGUAUUUACAAAUAACCUUGGCUAUCAUGGAAAAGAGGGGAUGUCGGAAUUUUCUUAAUUUUUGGUGUCCGUGGUUUCUCAACUUUCUAAACUACUUAACAUGUUGCAUGCCAUUCAGGUUUUAUAUAUUAGUUUUCUAAUAUUAGUUAAUGUACAAAAAAUGUUAACACGUGGCAUUAUUUCUUCCUAUUUGGCGAGGUUAAAAGAUUCUUAUGCAAAAUAGAGUUUAUUAAUGUACACUCGUAAUUCAUGGAUUUGUUAUUCUAUCACUACACUAAAUCCUGCCACAAAAUAAAAUUUAUUUUAAGUAUUUAAUGUUUGCUCACUUCAAGUAAUUUUACAAUGUUUUAUACCAAACAAAGUAACUUUAGUAUGCUAAAAUGUCUCUUUACCUACAAGGUUUACACUGGUUUCAUGUACAUGUAUUCUCUAUCAGUAUAAUGCUUUUUUUGUUUUUGGGGUUAGACAUUUUAACAUAUCACAAAGACAAGUUCUAAACCAGUUUUUUUUUUUUUUUUUUGCACUCCACAUUCGUUAAUUGCACAUGUCGUUCUCACAUUAGUUUUACACGCUAAGAAGCUUAUUAAAGAAUUAUAUAUCACUUGUCUACGAAAUUUAUAUGAGCCUUUAUCAUCUCCCUAUGGAUCGCAAACAACAACAAAAAUAUAAUUUACUCCUUCAAGUGAAUGAUUACAUAAUACUAAUUGCUAAAAUUAAAAUGUCGAAGUUCACUAUAUGCAGCUUAAUUUUUUAAAUAACGAGUGAUUGACUUACACUUUACAAAAUGAACGUGAUGCAUCUUUACAUGUAAAAAAGAAAAAGUUUAACCUAGCUACGAAAGUGAGAUGAAAAAGAAAAUCAAAAUAAAUUGUUUAUCAAGCUCCUUUUUUUUUUUCGUUUUUUGUUUAAAGUCUAAGCCUGGGUGGCAAGUACGCAAAAAUUGACAGGAUUGCGUUCUUUUAAACUUAUAAUCCAAGAGGUAGUUUGAGUAGUUAAAUGGUUAAUUCAUACAACCGAUUUAGUAUUUAGUUAUGAAGUCACCGUUUACAAAAACUUUAAGCGGUCACGCCCAUUAUUGGCUUAUUGAUGAGGUUUUGUUGCUUAUAGAUAAGAUGAUAUGCAUGCAUUAAUAAGAUUCAGUCAAGUGAAGAUUCGUAUUCACUGUUGAAAAAAAGUUAUACCAUAGAAAUAAUCUUAUUUAUUGUAAAAAAAAAAAAAAAUUCUAGAUGGGGGAGAGGGUUCCGUCGGCCAACCUUCAAUGGCAAGUGGCCAACACGUGUGAACAAAUGGGUUGGAAAGCCAAAAAAAAAUAAACAGCAAACGAAAGCUGCAGUGCAAAUCCUGCACGUUCUGAACUAAAUUCUACAAAUGUGAAAAAUGUACCGAAUCCCACUUUUUUAACAACGGAUUUACGUUAACCACUGAGGUUUGCCCAAGUGGCCACACUUCCAACAUGGAAGGGAGAGGUGGGGGGUUUGAAUCCCCACCUCUCAGGGAGUUGGGCUGGGGACGAUUUAGUUUCAAGCAUGGGUUUCAAUUCUCACGCCCUGCAAUGAGAUAGGACAAAAGUCUGAAAGUGAGAGUUAGAAUAGGAGUAGAGUAGGACUGAAAAAAAAAACAAUGGAUUUACGUUACGAUUAUGAUGAUCUGUAAUAUAAUAUAUAUAGUAUUAAGAUGUUUUGUAUUUAAUUGCAAUGACACAUAAUAAUCUUAUAUGAUACAUUUGAAGUAUCGUAGAAGUGCUCCUAACAUAAAAGUGUAUCAUGGAAGGAAAAUAAAAAAGUGACAUCCACACUUUUUGUAUAUGGCAACAUGCCAAUUGGAAAGAAGGUUUUUCAAUUAUUAAUAAGGAUCAAUUAGACAAUACACAAACGAGCUCAGGUGAAACUUAAACAUGAAUAUAGCACACAAUAUCAAGCUUAAACUCGCUAAUACCCAAUUUGAUAGUCUUAAGAGCCUAAUCAAGCUUAACUUUAUUUUUGUCCAUUAUUUAAUAUAGUCAAGUUGAGUCAAGUCAAAUUUGAAUAGUCUAAUUUUCUUUUUCAAGUUGAUUUUAAACAAGAACUUUAAUACUUGAUUGAGUUCAAGUGAAGGUUCAAGCAUCGAGUAUGUUGUAGUAACUCAACUCAAUUCGGAUUAUAUCUCCACAUUGAGGGUAGACCUAGGACCCUAGCACUUGGACCAGAGACACCGGCCAAACAAGUUAUAGCAUGGGCCACUGAAGACCCUACCAUAGACUCGGGACCUUGGCCUUGGACAGAGUUGUGAAUUAUGAAACUAUAAUGUGCUAUCAUCAAGAUCAUUGAGUCUGCUACAACGCAAGAUAUUAAUAGAGUACCAAGUAAUAAGUACGAAAACAAUCUCUCGUAGCAUUUUUACUCUCAAAACUUACCUAGAGAAAUCUUAAAACACUCUCAAGAGGUAGAACCACCUGGCCCUAUGUCUGUUUGUCUCAUGGACACCACGCGAACUCCAUCUUUAGAUCGAUCUUCACUCCAAGGUUCAGGCCAAGUCAAACUUGUAUUUUGUAAUCAAGGGGUCCAAAAGAUCAAAGAAGUGGGGGAAAAUGAAGAAAAAGAAAGGAUUUGACUAUAUUUUUACUUUUGAUAUUUACAAUUAACUUCUUUAUUUUUAUUAUUUUAGUAUAUAAUCCUCUAAGUUUGUCUUUUUUUCAUCGGAAAAUCUUUUCAUUAAAUUUAACAAGCUUAAUUCUCCAAAAUUUUGUUCCAACCCAAUCUUCGACGAGUGUAGACCAAUUUUCACGACGAUCCAACAAAGCAACAUUGACGAUUCCUACCGAAAAUGAGCGGAUGCAGGGAUAAAUUGGCUAAAGUUAGAAAGAGAGCAAGAUAAAUCAGUUACAUGAUUAUCCUAGUGUUAUCAUUUUUUUCUUUUACCUAAAAGAUAUUUUUAUUUUCUUUUUUGAUUUUGUGCUAAGUAUUUAAUUGUCAAAUUUCACGUGUAAUUGACUUUUCUUUUUUCCUUUCUUAUUCAACUAGUGUUCUCUCCGUGGCCGUUGAAUUCAGUUUAUUGUAAGAAAACGUGGCACUUGAUUUCAACUGUCAAGUUGUCUCUGGAAAAAAAAAAAAAAGGAAAAUGAUAAAAUUGUCCGACCACACGAGCCGUCUGAUUGUGUGUAUUUAUAAGUGUAACCUUGGCUAUCCUGGAAAAGAGGUGAUGUCGGAAUUUUCUUAAUUUUUGGUGGCCGUCGUUUUUCAAAUUUCCGAAUUCCUUAACCUGUUGCAUGCCAUUCAGGUUUUACAUUUUAGUUUUCUAAUAUUAGUUAAUGUACAAAAAAUGUUAACACGCGGCAUUAUUUCUUCCUAUUUGGUGAGGUUAAAAAUAUCUUAUGCAAAAUAGAGUUUAUUAAUGCACACUCGUAAUUCACGGGUUUGUUAUUCUAUCACCAUACUAAAUCCAGCCACAAAAUAUAAUUUAUUUUAAGUUAUUAAUGUCUACUAUUUCAAGUGAUUUUACAAUGUUUUAUACCAAACAAAUAACUUUGGUAAUUUUUUUUAAAAAUUUUAUUCUACUCAUAUUCUAACUCAGUUUACAGUGUUUUAUACCAAACAAAGUAACUUUAGUAUUUUUUUUUUUUUUUUGCCAGUCAUACUCUACUCCUAUUCUAAUUCUCAUUCCCGGGCUUUUGUCUUACCUCCAUAUAAAACGUAGAAGUCAAAACCCACAUCUGAAACUAAAUCGUUCACACCACAACCCUCUUGAGAAAGUGGCGAUCCGAACUCGCUACCUCCCCUUUUUUAUGUAAGAAGGCCGGAACUCCAGUAGUUAACUUUAGUAUGCUAAAAUGUCUUUUUAUCUACAGGGUUUUCAUAUACAUGCAUUCUCUAUCAGUAAAUGCUUUUUGUUUUUGGGUUAGACAUUUUAACAUACUCACAGAGUCAAGUUCUAAACCAGUUUUUUUUUUUUGGCACUCCACGUUCGUUAAUUCCACAUGUCGUCAUUACAUUAGCUUUACACACUAAGCUUAUUAUAGAAUUACCACAUCACUUGUCUACGAAAUUUAUACAAGCCCUCCCUAUGGAUCGCAGUCAACCAAAAAAAUAUAAUUUACUCCUUCAGGUGAAUGAUUACAAAAUACCAAUUGCUAAAAUUAAAAUGUCGAAGUUCGUUGUACGCAUCUUAAUUUUUUAAAUAAUGAGUGAUUGACUUACCCUUUAUAAAAUGAAAGUGAUGCAUCAUUACAUGUAAAAGAAAAAAGGUUUAAGCCAGCUACAAAAGUGAGAUGACCAAGAGGUACUUUGAGUAGUUAAAUGAUUAAUUCAUACAAUCAAUUUAGUGUUUAGUUACGAAGUCACCGAUUACAAAAACUUUAAGGGAUCAUAACCAUUAUUAGCUUAUUGAUGAAGUCUCGUUGCUCAUGGAUAAGAUGAUUUGUAUACAUUAGUAAGAUUUGGUCAAGUGAAGAUUCGUGAUCACUAAUGAAAAAAAAAUCAUACCAGGGAAAUAAUCUUAUUUAUUGUAAAAAAAAAAAAAAAUCCUCGAUGGGGGAGACGGUUCGGUCGGCCCAACCUUCAACGGCAAGUGGCCAGCACAUGUGAACAAAUGGGUUGAAAAAAAAAAAUAACUGCGAACGAAAGCUGCAGUGCAAAUCCUACACAUCGUGGACUAAAUUCGAGGAAUGUGAAAGUACCUAUCCCACUUUUCUAACAACAUUUUUACGUUACAGUUACGACGAUUUGUGUGAUAUAAUAUAUAUAGUAUUAAGACGUUUUUGUAUUAAUUGCAAUGACACAUAAUAAUCUUAGAAAUGCUCCUAACAUAUAAAUUUAUCAUCGAAGGAAAAUAAAAAAGUGACAUUCACACUUUUUAUAUAUGACAACAUGCCAAUUGGAAAAAAAAAGGUUUUUCAAUUUACAAUAAGGAUCAAUUAGAUAAUGCACAAACGAAUUCAGGUGAAACUUAAAACACGAAUGUUGCACACAAUAUCAAGCUUAAACUUGCCAAUACCCACUUGAUAGUCUCAAGAGCCUAAUUAGGCUUAACUUACUUUUUGUCAAUUAUUUAAUAUAGUCAAAUUGAGUGAAGUCAAAUUUGAAUGGUCUGAUUUUCUUUUUCAAGUUGAGUUUGAACAAGAACUUUAAUACGUGAUUGAGUUCAAGUGAAGGUUCAAGUAUCGAGUAUGUUGUAAUAGCUCAACUCAAUUUGGAUUAUAUCUCCACGUUGAGGGCUAGACCUAGGACCCUAGCACUGGACUAGAGACAUCACGUAAACAAGUUAUAGCAUGGGUCGCCUAAGACCCUACCAUAAACUUGGGACCUUGGCCUUGGACUUGAGUUGUGAAUUAUGGAAUUAUAAUGUGCUAUCAUCAAUUAGUAUUUAUAUAUCGCAUAACAACUCCAUAUUACAAAAUACUUGACGAUGUUGUACAAAAAAGAUCAUUGAUUCCGCCACAACGCAAGAUAUUUACAACGCAAGAUAUUAAUAGAAUAUCAUAUUUACUCUCAAAACUUACCAAGAGAAACUGUAAAACACUCUCAAAGUAGAAAGACGCAAACGUGAACUCCAUCUUCACAUCGAUCUUCACUCCAAGAUUCAAGCCAAGUCAAACUCGUGCUCUGGUUUGGCCAUAACCCGUGACGUCAAAAUGACACGUCCGAUUACUCAAUCUCUUCCUAUAAAUUUUCCAUCGGAAAAAAAUUCAUUAGGUUACACGAAAUUGCGCACGAUGAUUUUCGGUUAGUGGCUUUGAUAGUACCUCUCCCCAGUUCCGUACGAAGAAGGAAAAUAAAAAACGAACUCGCUGCUCUCCCUGAUGGUGUGAGCGUCUUGGCUCACCGAGGGCACAAGUGUAAUUGCAUGAGUGCCUAGCUCAGUCGGCUCCGGAUUUCGGGCUCUCGAGUCGGCCCCAUCCCCCAGAGACGAAUCACGGCCGUCGAUCAUACCCGGCCCGUGUGUCGACACACAGUGACUCGACACACGUGCGGAGUCUCAUUUUACGUGCUUUCCCUCCCACCAGCCAACGACCCAUCCCUAUCUCCGUGGACCCCACUGCAUAUCCCCAUCCCUGGGCCAUGGCCCCCACCAUACGCUUAUCCCGAAUCUAAUCUCACCCCUUUCCAAUUUUUUUUAUUAAAAAGAAAUUGAGCAUAAAUGAAAAUAAAAAGGGAAAAUGGCACAGCGAUCUCUGAAAUUUAGCCCAACAAAUAAUGUCGUCCAUGAACUUUCAAUUUGUUCAAUAUGGUUCUUAAAAUUUAUAUGCAACCUAGUUCUUAGACUAUACGAAAAUGUUCGAACUUGAAUUAUUGAGACGAUAGCUAGGGGUGAUUGAUUUCGGUAAGUUCUAAAGUUGGAAUCUGAAUUAUACCUUAUUAUAACCGGUUUCUAUUUUUUGGACUCUGAAACCUAUCAUGUCCACUAUUUGUUUGGUCUAGUUCGAGGGUUCACUCGAGAAUCUGUUUUAUCUUCUUCUUCUUUUUUUCCAUUUUUUUAUUUAUUUAUACUACAAAAUCAUAUGAAAUUAUGAGUAACAAAAUGAUUCAAAGUAAAAGAUUAACAUAAAUCCUAAUCUACCAAAAUCAACAAUCUGAAUACGUAGUCAAGUAAAAUUAUAAACGAUAAAAAAGUUCAAACGAGUAAUAUAAAACAUAAAUUCCCCAUUCAUCCAUAAAAGUUAAAGGAAAAUGAAAGACUAGCAAGAAGUUUAAAAAAAGGACAAAAGACGAAAGAAUGCUAAGGUUAAAAUUUAGGGGAAAAAACAAUUAGAAUUUAAGCUUUUUAACUUAUAAAAUAGAUUCCAAAGUAGAGUGGAAUCGGUAGAUCUUUACUUGAAACCUAUUCCUAGAACUAUUUCAAGGAGAAUCGAUCCUCAGACAUAUUUUUUCGAAAGUUGGAUCCAAUUUCUAAGUAGAAUCAGUUUAGUUGCACACCUCUAAUAACAACAUUAAGCAUUUUCGUAUAGUAUAUGAACUAACUUGAAUAUGUACUAAAAUUUUAAGGAUUAUAUUAAAUAAAUUAAAAGUUCAAGGACUGCAUUAUAAAUUAAGUCAAAAUUCAAAGACUAUUUAUGUCAUUAUCCAAAAUUGAUAUCAAUAUCCAUUUAGAAAUUUUAAAAGAGCAAUUUGCUUUUAAGUUAGCAAAUUUUUUUAAUAUUAUCAAAGCACUAUUAAUAACCCGAAAGUCCGCCACCACAGAAACAUUAUCGCUAUCUCCCCCUAUCUUAAAGUCUCAAAGCUCAAAAGGAAAAAAAUAUCAACAGCGCUCAGAGCUUCUCACUCGAUAAUCCCUCGCGGCAGCUUUCGUCUUCCGAGUCCUUGGCCGAUUCAUCAUCGUUCCAGAUUCGUCGGUCGAUCACGUCGAUCUCGCCCUCCAAACCCUGAGAGCGAUUGUUUCUUUGAAGCGAGCGAGAGCCAGAGCCGGGGCAUAGGGAAGAGAUCCUCGACUUCGCUGCCGAUCGGGGAAGGGCAACCCCGGGUCAGAGGCCGCCCAGCAUCUCCGAGAGCAAAGCCGACUCUGCUUUAGCUUUAAGCCCUUGAUUUUCUUAGCAAGAAUCUUUCUCUCUCUCUGUUCCGAAGCUUGGCAUUCUAGAGAAGCACAUGUACCAUCAGCUCUUCUAACGGUUGCUUCUUCGAAUAUGAAAAGGAAUUUCCAUGUGUUCCUCAGUUUCAGAGGGACAGAUGUCCGCCAAGGCUUCCUCAGUCAUCUCUACGCUGCUCUGGACCAGAAAGGAAUAUAUACUUUUGUGGAUAGCGAGGAGCUUAGGAAAGGAGAGGAAAUAUCGCCGGCGCUCAUGAGGGCGAUUGAGGAAUCGCAUGUUGCGAUCAUCGUUUUCUCUGAGAACUACGCUUCCUCACGGUGGUGUUUGGAAGAGCUCUUGAAAAUCAUGGAGUGCAAGGAGCAAAACGGCCUGAAGGUGUUCCCAGUGUUUUACAAAGUGGAACCCAGAGAAGUGAGAGAGGGGAGAGAGAGUUAUAAGAGAGCUAUGGAUAACCAUGAGUCCAAGUUCGGGAAGGAUUCAGAGAAAGUGAAGAGAUGGAAGAAGGCUCUCUCUGAAGCCGGUAGCUUGUCUGGGUGGGAGUUGAAUGACAGGUACGCACAAAUCUGACAAUGGUGUUUUGUGAUUGUUAGCUCGUGAUUGUCUGUGAGAUAUCAGAUCAUAUGCACUUUUUUGGAUCUUCCAAUUGAAGAUACAAAGUGGAGAUAAAUUAGACAGUAGACACAUGAUCAAAUAACCAAAGCUCGUAGAUUCUUUGAAUUGAUUCUUGCUGUGUGGAUAAUGAGAAAUUUAUCAAACAUAAAUAGUGCGAUUCAUAGUGCCUUAUUCAUUAUUGUCUUCAGAUUCAAGUUCUUUGUAAUUUUCCUCGCGUAGAUGUUGCACAGGUUCACCCACUUUUCAUCUUAUUAUUUACUAUUCUUCUUAUGAAAUUUUCCUUAUCACGUCAGAGGUUGAAUUCCUGCUAUGGCUUUGAAAUGCUAAAACGGGUUUUUCUUUCUUUUGAGUGCUUAUUAGAGAUGAAGCAGAUCUCAUACAAUGCAUCGUGAAGGAAUUAUCGAUUCGUAUCAACCAAACACCUUUACAUGUCGCUAAGUAUCCGGUUGGAAUAGAUUCCCGAGUUCAAAAACUGAUAUGUUUGUCACAGAAAGAGUCGGCUGAUGAUGAUGUUCUGAUGAUAGGUCUAUGGGGACCUGGAGGCAUAGGGAAGACAGCAAUUGCCAAGGCCCUAUAUAAUGCUAUGAUGAGACAAUUUCAGGUUUGUAGUUUUUUGGAGCAAGUUAGAGAAAAAUCACACCAAAGCGGUGGUCUUGUUUCUUUACAAAAGGAUCUUCUAUCUGAGAUCCUGGUUCAUCCUUCAACGGUCUACAGUGUCGCUGGAGGAAUUAGUUUGAUACAAGAAAGACUAUGUUGCAAGAAGGUUCUCCUGGUUCUUGAUGAUGUUGACCAUAUGAAUCAACUGAAUGCAUUAGCUGGAAAAGGCAAUUGGUUUGGAAAAGGAAGUAUAAUCAUUGUUACAACAAGAAAUAAACAAUUGCUGACUUCUCAUGGCAUAAAUCGUGUGCAUAGAAUUCAAACUUUAGGAUGUUGUGAAGCACGAGACCUUUUUUGUCUGCAUGCUUUCCCAGAUAGCGAGAGUGUUGAAAUAGGAGUGGAUCUCAUAGAUAGAGCACUGAGUUAUUGUGACGGCCUUCCGUUAGCCCUCGAAGUCUUGGGCUCAUUCUUAUGUGGAAGAAACGAAGCUGCAUGGGAAAGUGCAUUGCAUAAACUUUCCAAAAGUCCUGACCAAAUUAUUAAUCAAGUUCUCAAGACAAGCUUUGAUGGAUUGGAGAACAAUGAGAGGGAGAUUUUCCUCGAUAUUGCUUGUUUCUUUAAGGGAAAGGGAGUAGAAUACAUCAAGGAAGUUCUUGAUUACUCUGGUUUUAACACAACCAUAGGAAUAGAAAUUCUCAUCGAGAGGUCCUUGAUAAAAAAUGAGUAUGGAACCCUGCAAAUGCAUGAUUUGAUCCAGUUGAUGGGUAAGGAUAUUGUUAAUGAGGAAUGGCCCGAUGAUCCUGGGAAACGCAGCAGAUUAUGGCUUUUCGAAGAUGUUGAGGAAGUUCUCUAUGAAGAUACAGUAAAAGUUGUUCAUGUCCAUUUUGCAACAUCUCAGUUUUUUACUUUGCUCUGAUUUGGAUUGUAAUAUGUAAAUUUCGAUCGAAGNNNNNNNNNNNNNNNNNNNNNNNNNNNNNNNNNNNNNNNNNNNNNNNNNNNNNNNNNNNNNNNNNNNNNNNNNNNNNNNNNNNNNNNNNNNNNNNNNNNNUGACGAGUGUAGACAAUUUUCGCGACAAUCCAACAAAGCAACAUUGACGAUACCUACCGAAAAUGAGUGGAUACAAAGAUAAAUUGGCCAGAGCUAAAAAGAGAGCAAGAUAAAACGGUAAUAGGAUUAUCCUAGUGUGAUCAUUUUUUUUUUACCAAAAAGAUAUUUUUAUUUUCUUCUUUGAUUUUGUGCUAAGUAAUGUAAUGGUCAAAUUUUACGUGUAAUUGACUUUUCAUUUUUCCUUUCUUCUCCAACCAGUGUUCUCCCCGUGGCCAUUGAAUUCAGCUUAUUGUAAGAAAACAUGGCACUUGAUUUCAACUGUCAAAUUGUCUCUCGGAAAAAAAAAUGAUAAAAUCGUCUGACUACACGAGCCAUCUGAUUGUGUGUAUUUACAAGUGUAACCUUGGCUAUCCUGGAAAAGAGGGGAUGUCGGAAUUUUCUUAAUUUUUGGCGUCCGUCAUUUCUCAAAUUUCCGAAUUCCUAAACCUGUUGCAUGCCAUUCAAGUUUUACAUUUUAGUUUUCUAAUAUUAGUUAAUGUACAAAAAAUGUUAACACGUGGCAUUAUCUCUUCCUAUUCGGUGAGGUUAAAAAUAUCUUAUGCAAAAUAGAGUUUAUUAAUGCACACUCGUAAUUCAUGGGUUUGUUAUUCUAUCACUAUACUAAAUCCAGCCACAAAAUAUAAUUUAUUUUAAGUUAUUAAUGUCUACUACUGCAAGUGAUUUUACAAUAUUUUAUACCAAACAAAGUAACUUUAGUAUUUUUCUUUUCAUCUUACCCUACUCCUAUUCUAAUUCAGUUUACAAUGUUUUAUACCAAACAAAGUAACUUUAGUAUGCUUUUUUUUUGCUAGUUAUACUUUACUCCUACUUUAAUUCUCAUUUUUAGGCUUUUAUCUUACCUCCAUACAAAGUGUGGAAGUCAAAACCCACAUUUGAAACUAAAUCAUUCACACCCUAAUUCUCUUGAGAAUGUGGCGAUUCGAACCCCCUACCUCUCCUUUCUUAUGUAAGAAGGAUGGAACUCCAAUAGUUAACUUUAGUAUGCUAAAAUGUCUUUUUAUCUACAGGGUUUUCAUAUACGCGAAUUUUCUAUCAGUAAAUGCUUUUAUUUUUUGGAUUAGACAUUUUAACAUACUCACAAAGUCAAGUUCUAAACCAGUUUUUUUUUUUUGCACUCCCAAUUCGUUUAUUCCACAUGUCGUUAUCACAUUAGCUUUACAUGCUAAGAAGCUUAUUACAAAAUUACCACAUCACUUGUCUAUGAAAUUUAUAUGAGCCCUCUCUAUGGAUUGCAGCCAACAAAAAAAAAUAUAAUUUACUCCUUCAAAUGAAUGAUUACAAAAUAACAAUUGCUGAAAUUAAAAUGUCGAAGUUCGUUGUAGGCAUCUUAAUUUUUUAAAUAAUGAGUGAUUGACUUACCCUUUAUAAAAUGAAAGUGAUGCAUCGUUACAUGUAAAAGAAGAAAGGUUUAAGCCAGCUACAAAAGUGAGAUGAAAAAGAAUAUCAAAAUAAAAUGUUGUUCAAGUUUUUCUUUUUAGUUUAAAGUCCAAGUCUAGGCGGCAAGUAUGCAAAGAUUGAUGGGGUUUCAUUCUUUUAAACCUAUAGUCCAAGAGGUACUUUGAGUAGUUAAAUGAUUAAUUCAUAAAAUCAAUUUAGUGUUUAGUUACGAAAUCAGCGAUUACAAAAACUUCAAGGGGUCAUAACCAUUACUGGCUUAUUGAUGAAGUCUUGUUGUUCAUGGAUGAGAUGAUUUGUAUAAAUUAGUAAGAUUUGGUCAGGUGAAGAUUCGUGAUCAUUAAGGAAAAAAAAAUCAUACCAUAGAAAUAAUCUUAUUUAUUGUAAAAAAAAAAAAAAGUCCUCGAUGGGGGAGACGCUUCGGUUGGCCCAACCUUCAACGGCAAGUGGCCAGCACAUGUGAACAAAUGGGUUGAAAAAAAGAAGAAAAAAAAAACUAUGAACGGAAGGUGCAAUGCAAAUCCUACACGUUGUGGACUAAAUUCGAGGAAUGUGAAAAAUGUACCGGAUCCCAUUUUUUUAACAACAAUUUUACGUUACGGUUACGACGAUUUGUGAUCUAAUAUUUAUAUAGUAUUAAGAUGUUUUUGUAUUUAAUUGCAAUGACACAUAAUAAUCUUAUACAAUAUAUUCAAAGUAUCGUAGAAGUGCUUCUAACAUAUAAAUUUAUCAUCGAAGGAAAAUAAAAAAGUGACUUUCACACUUUUUAUAUAUGGCAACAUGCCAAUUGGGAAAAAAAGGUUUUUCAAUUUACAAUAAGGAUUAAUUAGAUAAAGCACAAAUGAAUUCGGGUGAAACUUAAACACACAAUAUCAAGCUUAAACUUGCCCAUACCCAAUUGAUAGUCUCAAGAGCAUAAUCAGGCUUAACUUACAUUUUGUCAAUUAUUUAAUAUAGUCAAAUUGAGUGAAGUCAAAUUUGAAUGGUCCGAUUUUCUUUUUCAAGUUGAGUUUGAACAAGAACUUUAAUACAUGAUUGAGUUCAAGUGAAGGUUCAAAUAUCAAGUAUGUUGUAAUAGCUCAACUCAAUUUGGAUUACAUCUCCACAUUGAGGGCUAGACCUAGGACUCUAGCACUGGACCAGAGACACCAGGUAAACAAGUUAUAGCAUGGGCCACCUAAGACCCUACCAUAAACUCGGGACCUUGGCCUUGGACUUGAGUUGUGAAUUCUGAAACUAUAACGUGCUAUCAUCAAUUUGUAUCUAUAUAUCGCAUAACAACUUCAUAUGACGAAAUACUUGACGAUGUUGUACAAAAAAGAUCAUUGAGUCCACCACAAUGCAAGAUAUUAAUAGAGUACCAAGCAAUAAGUACGGAAACAAUCUCUCGCAACAUAUUUACUUUCAAAACUUACCAAGAGAAAUCCUUAAACGCUCUCAAGAGGAAGAACCACUUGGCCCUAUGUCCCUUUGUCUUGCGAAUGCCACAUGAACUCCAUCUUCAUAUCGAUCUUCACUCCAAGCUUCAAUUCAAGUCAAACUUGUGCUCUAAUUUGGCUAUAACCCACGACAUCAAAAUGACACACCGAUAACUCGAUCUCUUCCUAUAAAUUUUGGAUCGAAAAAAAGAAGAAGAAAAAGAAAUCAUUAGGUUACUCGAAAAUGCGGACGAUGAUUUUCGGCUAGUGGAUUUGAUGGUACCUCUCCCCGGUUCCCGUACAAAGAAGGAAAACGAAAAACGAACUCGAGAAAUUGCACUACCGCUGCUCUCCCUGAUGGUGCGAGCGUCUUGGCUCAACGAUGGCAUAAGUGUAAUUGCACAAGUGCCCAGCUCAGUCGGCUGAGGAUUUCGGCCUCUCGAGUCGGCCCCAUCCCCCGAGACGAAUCACGACCGUCGAUCAUGCCCAGCUCGUGUGUCGGCACACAGGGACCAACCCACGUGCGAGUCUCAUUUACGUACUUUCCCUCCCCCCAGCCAACGACCCAUCCCUGUCUCUAUGGACCCCACUGGAUAUCCCCAUCGCUGGCCCAUGGCGCCGACCAUACCCUUAUCUUGAAUCUAAUCUCCGCCCAUUUCCAAUUUUUUCUUAAAAAGAAAUUGAGCAUAAAUAAAAAUAAAAAGGGAAAAUGACACUGCAAUCUCGGAAAUUUAACCCAAUAAGUAAUGUUGUCCCUGAACUUUUAAUUUAUAUAAUAUGAAUAUACAAUCUAUUUUCUAGACUACACGAAAUUGUUCAAUAUUGUUCUUGAACUUUAAUUGUUAAGAUGAUAGCUAGGGGUGAUUGAUUCCAUGGUAGAUAAGUUUUAAAGUUGGAACCUAUAUUCUACCCUAUUAUAACCGGUUUUUAUUUUUUGGACCUUGAAACCUAUCAUGUUCUCUAUUUUUCCGGUCUAGCUCGAGGGUUCACCUAAUAAAAUCUGUUUUAUCUUCUUCUUCUUCUUUUCCUUUUUUUUUUUAAUUUUACGGCAAAAUCAUAUGCGGUUAUGAGUACCCAAAUGAUUCAAAGUAAAAGAUGAAUAAUAGAAUUCCUAAUCUACCAAAAACAAUAAUUUGAAUAUGUAGUCAAGUACAAUUAUAAACGAUAAAAAAGUUCAAACAUUUAACAUAAAACAUAAAUUCCCCAUUCAUCCAUACAAAUUUAGAGGAAAAUGAAAGACUAGCAAGAAGUUUUGAGAAAGGAGAAAGGACGAAAGAGUGCCAAGGUUAAAAUGUAGGGAAAAAAGAAAUUAGGAUUUAAGCUUUUUAGCUUAUAAAACAGAUUCCAAAGCAGAGUGGAAUCAAUGGGUCACUUGGAACCUAUUCCUAGACCUAUUCCAACGAGAACCGAUUUUCAGACCUAUUUUUCAGAAAGUCCAAUAUGAUUCCUAAGUAAAAUUGGUUUGUCUGCACACCCCUAGUAAUAGCAUUAAGUGUUUUCAUAUAGUUUAGAGAUUAACUUGAAUAUGUACUAUAAUUUUAAGACCGCAUUAUAAAUUUGAUCAAAAUUUGGAGACUAUUUAUGUUAUUAUCCAAAAAUGGAUAUUAAUAUCCAUUUAAAAAUUUUAAAAAAGCAAUUUGCUUUUAAGUUAGCAAAUUUUUUUAAUAUUAUCAAAGCACUAUUAAUAACCCGAAAGUCCCCCCAACAUUAUCGCUAUCUCCCCCUCUCUUAAAGUCUCAAAGCUCCAAAGGAAAAAAUAUCAACAGCGCAUAGGGAACCACUUUUGUCAACAAAAGCCAACAUCAUCAUCAUCCUCCUCAUCAUCAUCCCCUCUUUCUCUCUCUCUCUCUCUCUCGCGCGCGCUCAGAGCUUCUCACUCGAUAGGAAUGCACCACGCCUACAUCACCCCUCCCAAACCCACCACGGCCACAGCCCAGCCACCCACAAGUCCCCCUCCGCGGUGGCGGCAGCGACUUUAGGCUAUUUAGACUUAACGACUUUGGACUAUUUAGACUUAGACGAAGAGUUGCUAAUGGGAUGGGAAGUGAGAAAGAGCGUGAACUUUAGCACCAGCCAAUGAAUAAUGUAAACACAAUCCUAGUAUGAACUUGACUCAACCAAUGUUCUUCAAGGAAAUUACUUGACAUUUUCACUUGCCAAAUGAAAUGGGACUUGACUUUUCAAAAGGAGUAGAAGACAAAAAAAAAAUGUCUAUAAUUAGAUAUUAAAUUAAAUUAAAUUGCUCUCGUUGGAAAUUUAUUCUUGUUUAAUUCUUUAAAAUGCAUUUAUAUGUGUUUUUAUUUUUUUUUUAUUAUUCUUAAUCUCUAUCUCUUGGAUAUCUGUUAAUAAUUUUUAUUUUUAUUUAUACUCAAAUUUGUGUGUGUGUGUGUGUGUGUUUUUUCUUUUUAAGAAAAGGGACAGAAUGGGAAAAACGAUGGGGAGGGAGAGAUUCAAGAGAAGCGAAUGGUGAGGGCCAGAGUGCCGGGGACGUGCAGUGGGGCUCAGAGAGAGACGGCUCGUUGGAUAUGAUCGACGGCAGUGAUUUGUUUAGGGAGGGGCCGACUGAAGAGGCCGAAUUGUUUGGCAAUUCAUUUUCUUUUCUUUUUUCGAUCGACCAUUCAUAUAUAUAUAUUGGUAAGGUAAGAGAACGACCAUUCAUAUUUUAGUUUUACAUAAACUCAAUUUUGGCUCAUAUAGUCGAUCUGUCCUCUAAAUUGAAAAACUGUACUCUUUUUCCAAAGGGUUAAUACCCUGAAAAACCCCAAAUUUGUAUACAUGUGAUAAAUUUAUCCAAAACUAUUUUUUUGACCAUGGAAAACCCCAAACUGGUACACUUGUAACAAAUUUACUCCGACUAACCACAAAAAAUCCCAAACUUGUAUAUUUAUGACUAAUUUACUUGAAACUAAUUUAUUUGACUGCAAAAAACCCCAAACUGGUAAAUUUGUGACAAAUAUACCUUCUGCUAAAUUGGAUUAAUACCACAAAAAAAUCACAAAAAUUGUAAAUUGUGACAAAUGGAGCAUAAAAUCCCAAAUUAAUAUACCAGUCAACUGUCACGUAUCAUUUAACUUAAUAAUUUAAUAGUAAAAUUUAACGAAAACUAACAGAGAGUAAAUUUGUCACAAGUGUACUAAUUUGUGGUAAAUUUGUCAAAAAUAUACAUGUUUUGGGUUUUUGGUGGUAAAAAAAAAAUAUUUUUUGGUAAAUUUGUCACAAGUGUACUAGUUUGAGAUUUUUUAGGAUAUUAACCAUUUUCCAAAUGGCAUAAAAAAAAAAAGGGAAAACUCAUUAUUUUUCAAUGUAUCAUUCUUAGUCAAUAAUAAACUCCUAAGUUAGAUUCAUUUCUAUGCACGAAAUGGCCCUCCUUUGUGGUCUCUAGUAGAUCUAUCAAAAUGGGUCUUAAACUCAUAUAUGACAUAUUUAUGUUUUGAAUGAGUCAUAAAUUGGUCACUUAAAUCUUGAAGAACCUACUCAAAUGGGUUUAAAAAUUGAAUGCCCAAAAUAAAUAGGUCUAGAUGAGUUGGACUUAGAACCUAUUUCCAAUCCAAAACUCACACACUCUCUUUCCCUCUUUAGCCUUAUAAAAGUAUUUUUUUUUAUAAAAAUCAAAAUUAUAACUAUUUUUUUUAUAUCUCUCUUUUCUUUUCUUUUAUUUUUUUUCCCUUUUUAAUCAUUUCUUAUUCCAUCUCCCUUGGCCAGUGAUCCACAUGGUGAUGGCUAGCCAAGCUAAGGACAAGCUCAUCGGCCUCAUGCAAGCUUAAGCUUGGCUCAAGCCUUACUAAAUUUGGUGAGGCUAUGGCCUAUGGCUGGUUAUUGGUUGUCAUCAUGGCUGACAAUUGGUCGAAGAAGAAGAAGAAAACAAGAAAAAAAAAUAGAUUUUUAAAAAGAAAAAAGAAAAAAUAAUUAUAAAUUUGAUAUUUUAAAAGAAAGAAAUAUUAAAAAAUUGAAAUGAGUGCAUGAAGGAAAAUUUAAUCAUAUUUUUCAUACCAAAUGGUAGAAAAUAUUUUAUAAUUCAUUUUCAGGUUUUAGGCAAGAAUCGGAAACUUUUGUAAUUUUCCUUAAAAAAAAAACUUCUUCCAAGAAACAAAUGGAGGCUUAUUCUUUUAAAAAAUUAUAAAGAUUGUCCACUAAAUUUGUAUUGCAUGAAAGUGUUUUAGCAAUACUAUUUAAUAAAAAAAUGAUAAGCUUUCUUAAAUUUAGUUAAAUGGGUAAAAUAUAGAUUGGUAAUGGGUCGAGUUGGGUAUAGGUCAAGAAUUUUGCAUCACAAUAAAUGGGUCAUAAACGGGUUAAAUAAGUCGAUUUGAGUCAAGCCAUUUAUGACUCUACUCAAACUUGACCCGAUCAACUCGUUUAACAAGUCUAGUCUCCGGGGAUAUGCAGUGGGGCCCGGAGACAGAGAUGGAUCGUUUGAUACGAUCGACGGCUGUGAUUUGUUUAGGGAGGGGCCAACUGGAGAGGCUGAAUCGUAUGGCACAUUCAUUUUUUUUUUUUUUUAACGACCAAAAAAAAAGUAGAAAUGAUAUUGCCAAGAAAUUGCCCAGAACUGGAGUGUGGGUAUAUUUACUCGGAGGUAAGGAACGGGGAAGGAUCAUUUUUUAAUGGUGGCUCUAAUGGUAGGUUCCACGGUUUUACUCACAAAGAAGACAAAAAGCGACCAAAAAAAAAAAAAGUAGAAUUGAUAUUGCCAAGAAAUUGCCCAGAACUGGAGUGUGGGGAUAUUUACUCGGAGGGAAGGAAGGGGAAAGGAUCAUUUUUUAAUGGUGGCUCUAGCCUCUAAUGGUAGCUUCCACGGUUUUACUCACAAAGAAGACAAAAAGCUUCCACGGUUUACUCACAAAGAAGACAAAAGUCAAAAAGCAACUCUGACAAAUAGAUGUGGACUCGGGCAGAAUCUCCAGUCUCACCGUGAUUAGUUCGUCUAGUCAUUCGUUCCAUUGCGUAUCUCAUACUCCCCGUCUAUACAAAUACACAUAAGAGCUAGAUCUUGGAAUCCCCGGUCAGGUGAGAUAGCAAAUAUUCUUAAAGCACAUCAUUCAUCAGCUCUUUCAAUGGCUGCUUCUUCAAAGCCGAAAAGGAAUCACAAAGUGUUCCUAAAUUUCAGGGGCACGGAUGUUCGUAACAACAUCCUUAGUCAUCUCUAUGUAGCUUUUGACCGGAAUGGAAUACACAGCUUUGUGGAUAGCGGAGAGCUUAGGAAAGGAGAGGAAAUAUCAUAGGUGCUCAUGAGAGCGAUCGAGGAAUCACACGUCGCAAUCAUCAUUUUCUCCUAGGAGUACGCUUCCUCACCAUGGUGUUUGGAAGAGCUCGUGAAAAUCAUGGAGUGCGAGGAGCAAAAAGGCUUGAAGGUGUUGCCCGUGUUUUACAAAGUGGAACCAAGAGAAGUGAAAGUGGGGAGAAAGAGUUAUGGGAGAAAUAUGGCUAAGCAUGAGUUAAAGUUCGGGAAGGAUUAAGAGAAAGUAAAGAGAUGGAAGAAAACUCUCUUUGAUGCUGGUAACUUGUCUGGGUGGGAUAUGAAUAACAGGUACGCGGAAAACUUGAAUAACCAAAACUUCAAGCUAGCAAAUUCUUUGAAUCCAAUUCUCAGUGUGUAGAUAAUGAGAAAUUUUGUCUUAGAUAAAUAGUGUGGUUCAUUGCACUCGAGGCAUUAUUGUCCUUAGGUGCAGGCUCUUUGUAAUUUUCAUCGCGCAAAUGUUGGCGCAGGCACGUGUUAUUUCUUUUCAUCUUAUUAUUUGCAAACCUUCUUAUGAAAUGUCACUUAUGACUUUUAGAGGUUGAAAUGCUAAAGGAUGUUUCUCUUUCUUUUGAGUGCUCAUCAGAGAUGAAGCGGAGCUUAUCCAAUGCAUCGUCAACGAAUUAUCAUUUCACCUCAACCGAAGACCCCUAUAUGUCACUAAGUAUCCAGUUGAAAUAGAUUCGCAAGUUCAAAAACUAAUAUGGUUGAUACAGCAAGAGUCGGCUGAUGAUGGUGUUCUAAUGAUAGGUCUAUGGGGACCUGGAGGCAUAGGGAAGACAACAAUUGCUAAGGCCUUAUAUAAUGCUAUGGAGAGAAAAUUUCAAGGUUGUAGUUUUUUGGAGCAAGUUAGAGAAAAAUUGAACCGAAGUGAUGGUCUUGUUGCUUUACAAAGGGAUCUUCUAUAUGAGUUCCUAGUUCAUAAAUCUUUAAUGAUCUAUAGUGUUGGCGGAGGAAUUAGUUUGAUACGAGAAAGACUAUGUUGCAAGAAGAUUCUCCUAGUUCUUGAUGAUGUUGACCAGAUGAAUCAAUUGAAUGCAUUAGCUGGGGAAGGCAAUUGGUUUGGAAAAGGAAGUAGAAUCAUUGUGAUAUCAAGAGAUAAACAUUUGCUAACUUCUCAUAGAAUGAAUUGUGUGUAUGAAAUUAAACCUUUAGAAUACGACAAAGCACGAGAACUUUUUCAUCAGCAUGCCUUUCCAAAUAGUAGGAAAGUUGGAAUAAGAAGGGAUCUCAUUGAUAGGGCAUUGCGCUAUGCUGACGGCCUUCCAUUAGCCCUUGAAGUGUUGGGCUCAUUCUUAUAUGGAAGGGAGGAAUUUGCGUGGGACAGUACAUUGCAUAAACUCUCAAAAAGUCCCGACCAAACUAUCAAUCGAGUUCUCAAAACAAGCUUCGAUGGAUUGGGGGGUAGUGAGAGGGAGAUUUUCCUCGAUAUUGCUUGUUUCUUUAAAGGGAAGAGAAUAUAAUACAUCAAGGAAGUUCUUGAUAGCUGUGAUUUUGACCCAAUUAUAGGAAUAGAAAUUCUCAUCGAGAGGUCCCUAAUAAAAAAUGUGAAUGGAACCUUACAAAUGCAUGAUUUGGUUCAAUUGAUGGGUAAGGAUAUCGUUAAACAAGAAUGUCCCGAUGAUCCUAGGAAGCGUAGUAGGUUGUGGCUUUUCAAAGAGGUUCAGGACAUUCUACGCGAAUAUACGGUAAAAGUCGUUUAUGUCCAUUUUACUGAAUCUCAGUUUUUACAUCACUCUAAUUCAGAUAGUAAAAUGUAAAACUCAAUAGGAAAUUUUGUCUGAUGAUUGAAUUUGCUUUGUUAUGAACAGAGAAAGAAUGCGAUAAAGGCCAUAGUAUUGGACUUGCCUACACCAGAAGAGAUGACCAUUAGUCCUAAUGCUUUCACAAACAUGAAAAGGUUGAGAAUGUUUAUAAUGCCUAAAGUGCAUAUCUUUUCACGAGGUCCAAAUAUGCCUCCCUAACGAGCUUAGCUAGCUUGAAUGGGCCAAUUACCUGGAUCUAGAAUUCGGCCCUGGUCAAAAGAAACUUGUGAGACUCUAUGUCAAGAACGGUCUUAUCAAACAAUUAGGAGGCAACUUUUAGGUAAGCCCUUGUGAUGAUCAGUUUUCACUUUCUAAAGCUAUGAAUAUAUUUGCGGAGCUGAAUGACCGCACUAGUAUGUUUUUGCAGAAUUUUAUAAAUUUGAAGUCCAUCGAGUUCUGCGAUUGCAAGUUCUUGGCUAUUGUUCCUGAUCUUUCAUCGGCUCCAAAUUUGGAGAGGUUAUAUCUUUUAAGGUGUGAAAGUUUGGUGGAGAUUCACCAAUCUGCUGGAUAUCUUGACAAGUUAAAACUUUUGUCGAUAUCAAGUUGCUCUAAUCUUAGGAUCUUUCCAAACACACUCAAGACAAAGUCUCUUCAAAACCUUGAUCUCUCUUAUUGCUAUAAACUUGAGAAAUGCCCUGAUAUUCUGGAAAAGAUGGAACAUUUACAGCAUCUUGAUCUACAAAGGACGGCUAUUAAAGAACUCCCUACAUCAAUUGAAAAUCUUGUCUCUGUAGAGACAAUAGAUUUAGGAUAUUGCAAAAAUCUCACAAGGCUUCCAUCAAGCAUUCAUAAGUUGAAAAAUCUCAAGGCUCUCAUCUUUACAACUGCUCGAAUCUUGCCAUGUUUCCAAAGAACUUGGAGGAUCCAAUUGAUCCUGAUGGCGAUUUGGGAUUCCCAAGUCUAAGUUGGCUAGACCUUUGUGACUGCAAUUUAUUAGAAGUAGAGUUCCUUGAGAAUGCUUCCAGUUGUCCUGCAUUGACGCACCUAGAUCUGUCAAAUAAUAAGUUUACUCAUCUGCCAACAUGCAUCAACAAGUAUGAUUAUUGGAAAGACUUGUUUGUUUGUUUAUAGCUGCAAGGAAAGCAAAGGGGUCAGUGUGGCUGAUGUGUCACCACUCAAGGUCACUCUCUCUCUCUCUCUCUCUCUCUCUCUCCCCCCCCCCCCCCGGGUCCCUCUCUUAGAUUUUGAAUGUUUGAUACGUGUACUAUUUGUACGACAGGUAGUUGAGAUUCUUGUAAAUGGAAGAGAGAUGCCUGAAUGGAUUCUCCAGUGUAAAGAGGACUCCAUAUCUUUUAUGGUUCCCCAGACCUACGUGGCAACUUCUUAGGAUUAGCACUUUGUGUUAUUCUUGGCCAGAAUAAAAAACGCAUGUUCGAAAAUCUAUUUGAGGUCAGAAUAUUUGUUAAUGGCAAAAGAGAGUAUUUCCGUUUGACAUUUAUUUCUCCAUUGGAAUCCGAUCAUGUGAGGCUUGUAUAUAUCCCAAGCGACAAUAAAAGAGGAUAAGAGAAGCUUCUGCAAAGCAAUUGGAGCCAUAUCCGAGUUUGCUUCGGCGCACCAGAAGGAAGUAUAAAGAAGCGUGGAUUCCGUCUAAUGCGAGCAACGAGAGGAUGAUCUGAGGGUCUGUUUUCCAACACCAUCAACCGAUGGAAACAAAUUGGAGUUUCAAGGAAAGAUACUCGAAGACAAUUCUCAAUCAAUGAAGAAGAUAAUCCAGUGGGACUGAACUCAACAAGAAGAUGAGAUGGUCUUAGCGAUGGCGAGAGUAUGGGUUCAACUCGCACCACUUUUUGAGGUAGCGAUUCUUGGGGAUGCGAACUGGUUGAUCUUGAUUCCAAUGCCUCUUGCUUUUCCCCAUUUUGUCUUGUCUCUACUAGAAAUCUUGAUUCCAAUGCCUCUUGCUUUUCCCCGUUUUGUCUUGUCUCUACUAGAAAUUUCCAAAUGUCUGCUCCUUCAAUUAAAAUUCGCAUAAUGCUACUGACUUGGUUGAGGAACCUUUUAUUUCCCUCUCAUUCUCUAUGAUCCGUGAUGCAAAGUGCACCAAUCCAAAAUUAAGUGGAUGCUUGUUGAAUGGCCAUGGUCUUCCAAGUUCAGUGAAAUAUAUCACAUAGAUCUCUUGUCACCUCUCUUAAUCCAAUUAGUGAUGCCGAUAUUUCAUACUCUACAAUUCUAAGAUAGUAAAGCUUUGCUUCUUGAGAAAAGUGUUGAUAUAAUCGUCUCGAAAAUUGAAAGGUCUACACGGAAAAGAUUAGUUGAUUCCUUUGUUGUUCUUAGGGAGAUUGCAAGACUUUUCAUAUAAGCAAAAGGGUGUUGACUUUAAAGAUUUUCAUGAAAAGUGAAUGGUGUUUGACAAACGCCUUAUAAAAUAUUUAUUACAAAACAAUUUUUAGUAUAGAGAAAAAAAUAAAAUAAAAAUAGAGAAGGAAGGAACUUGCAGUUGUAUAUGAAAUGAAAGCACAAGCGGGGUGACAUUGUGCCGACAUUGUGCAACCCCAGGCAACGCGCCUCUAAAGUCGAGCAAACCCGGCGACGCAACACUGAGGCCAAGUAAAACUAAGUGACACAACGCUAGUGUCACACAACCCCAAGUGAUGCUACACUGGGGCCACACUACUAGGCAAUGUGACGCUUGACCGGCAGCAAGCUAAAUCUGACAUCGAGUGACCCUCCCAAAGCUCCUCGACGUUGCGUGACCCUCGGCAAAGCUUUGCUGAUGUCUUUCAACCCUCGGCAAAGCUGCACCAGCGUCCCUCGGUCCCUCUUCAAAGCUUCCCGGCCAUGAUCAACCACAUCUUUCUCUUUACUAUCGAAGGUUGAGGGGUAAAAUAUGAUUGCAAAUAUAUUAGUGACGGUAAGAUUGGAAAGACAAAAACUUCAGUAAACCUAAACUUGCAUUUCUAAAAUGCUAAGGCCUAUACUUGGAGGCUUACCUUGAACUCUGAGCGUUUUUAAAGUAAAACUUUGGAUCAAAAUCUUUGAAAUUGUGUUAUCAAACAUCAAAUCCUUGGCUCAAGGGCCCUUGAAGGUCCAAAAUAGCUUAAUUCAAGAUGACUCAGCACACAAAUUUUUAAUGGCCAAAUUAGACGGGAUUGAAACAAGGGUAAAAUUGAAAUGCCAGUACUACUUAAGGGGUUUUUAUGAGUCCGAAUUUUUUUUUGAAGUAAAUAUGUUCGAGUAGUAACAGUUGAAGAUGUUUUGCGAUAUUAAUUCUAAUAAUAUAUAUGUAUUAUCUCCUUUCUUUUUCUCCCUUUGGAGAGUCAAGUUUCAUUUAAUUGGGCAAGUGAAAUGCCAAGUGGCAUUUUGAUAAUUUCCUGUCAGAAUUUUGGGAAGUCAAGUUCCUACUAGUAUUGCCUUUGUAUUCUUCCCUGGCUUUCACUAAAGUCAUUCUCCUUAUACUUUCCCUCCCAUUAGUCGCCCUUCGUAUUAGUCUUGGCGGUCCCAAAUCGUCCAUGUCAAAUGCAAAAUUCAAUAAAGUAGAAAUGAUAUCGCAAAUCACUUUCUGAAGGCAAGAAUUGGCAAGAACAGAGGAUUACAAUAGUUUCCGCACAAGCAACAUAAUCACAUCACGAGAAAAUAUGAGAUGUCAAAUGCUUGUCACUACAUUAUCACUUACAAUCAUUGAGGAUUUGAGAUUAUACACGCUAGUGAUGUCUUAUGUCUUUUUUGAAGUGUAACACGUGUUCAUCUCACAUAUAUUUACCACAAAUGAUCAAAUUUCAAAAUCAUGGCAUUGCCAUCUUCUCUCCUCCCUCUCCUCCCCCUCCUCUUUCCCUCCCUCUCUCUCUCUUUAACACAAGUACAUGCACAAAUUAAUUUACACAUCACAAAGAAUAAGAAAGAACUACGAACGCUAGUGGCUAUUUUCUAGGUGUAACCCCAUAAAAAAGAAUGUAUAUAAUAAACAUCGACUCUUAUCGAAUUUUAUUUUAUGGGAGCAACACCAUUAACAGAAAAUGAUUAAAAAAAACUGAAGCAACAAAAAGAUUUUAUUUAGACAUCCUAUCAUUAUGUUUCUUUUUUAUGACCCUUUCCGAGUUGUUAUAACUUAUUUUGAAUUAACAACGUUCAAGAACAAAUUUAAAAGGAUGAGCAAUGUUGGGCAACUACUCGAGCAAAAUCUUUGGGCCGACCGGAUUUGAAAAAGUCUUGGGUCAACUCCACCAAAUGGGCAACCAAGACUGAUAUGAUGGGCCAAUUCUCUUGCUGAUCCUCUAGCAAGACUGAAGAAUGGGCUAUGUUCACUCCUUGUAUCUAAAAUAAAUCGACAUUGGGUUGUCAACCUUACCAAGAUUAGAGAUCAUACUUUAACUUAAAAUUCAAACCCCAACUUUUCUCAAUUAAAAAUAAUGCGAUAGUUACUUACUAGUGAAAUCGAUGUUAAGAGAUCACUUGACCAAUUGAGAGCCGUCAAAUUCAACAUUUGAAUGAAAAACCACAAACAGCGACGACAAAAAUAAAAUAAAAAUCCCAUUGUUCACGGCACUUUCAAAGCAAUACUAAACUUUAUUUGAGGAAACUCUUAGAAAUUGACACCUGACUACAGCUGAAAAACCUAUUUGAAAUUAAUUGUUGAGAAAUAUCUUGGCCAACAAAAUCCUUCCUAAAUUAAUCAAUCUCUAUCUACUGGUAAAUUUUAAUUGAAGAAAAAUGUCAGAAGUGGAGAGGUAAUGAUCUUGAAUCUUACAUCAGCGAUAGCCACAUCGACCACUUCAGGUAUCCUCAAUUAUGUCAGGAUGGACAAGGCCUUGUUCUAGACAAUGACUUCUUGACAAUGUUUGUCAUUCUAUAAAUAUCAUCAAGGGAUCCAAAAGAUAAAAUAAGUGGGGGAAAAUGAAGAAAAAGAAAGGAAUUGCCUAUAUUUUGACUUUUAAUAUUUUGCAAUUAGCUUCUAUAUCUUUAGUAUAUUAGUAUCUAAUCCUCUAAGUUUGUUUGUUUUCAUUGGUAUAUCUUUUCAUUAGAUUUAACAAGCUUAAUUCUCCAAAAUUUUGUUCCAAAAUCAAUUUUCAACAAGCGUAAGCAAAUUUUCUUGAUGAUCCAACAAAGUAGCGUUGAUGAUUGCUACCAAAAAUGAGCGGAUGUAAGGAUAAAUUGGCCAGAGCUAGAAAGAGAGCAAGAUCAAGCGGUGAUAGAAUUAUCCUAAUGUUAUCAUUUUUUUAAACCUAAAAGAUAUUUUUAUUUUCUUCUUUGAUUUUGUGCUAAGUAAUUUAAUGGUCAAAUUUCACGUGUAAUUGACUUUUCUUUUGUCCUUUCUUAUCCAACCCGUGUUCUCUCCAUGGCCGUUGAAUUCAGUUUAUUGUAAGAACACGUGGCACUUAAUUUCAACUGUCAAGUUGUCUCUAGAAAAAAAAAAAGAAAAAAAAAGGAAAAUGAUAAAAUCGUCCGACUACACCAGCCGUAUGAUUGUGUGCAUUUACAAAUGUAACCUUGGCAAUCCUGGAAAAGAGAGGAUUCCGGAAUUUUCUUAAUUUUUGGUGUCCAUCGUUUCUCGACUUUCCGAACUCCUUAACUUGUUGCAUACCAUUCAGGUUUUAUAUUUUAGUUUUCUAAUAUUAAUUAAUGUACAAAAAAUGUUAACACGUGGCAUUCUUUCUUCCUAUAUGGUGAGGUUAAAAAUAUCUUAUGCAAAAUAGAGUUUAUUAAUGUACACUCUUAAUUCAUGGGUUUGUUAUUCUCCACAUCGGGGGCUAGACCUAGGACCCUAGUACUAGGAUAGACACCGGCAAAACAAGUUAUAGCAUGGGCCGCCUAAGACCCUAUCAUAAACUCGGGACCUUGGCCUUGGAUUUGAGUUGUGAAUUAUGGAACUAUAGUUUGCUAUCUUCAAUUUGUAUUUAUAUAUUACAUAACAACUCCAUAUUACGAAAUAUUUGACAAUGUUGUGUAAAUAAGAUCAUUGAGUCCGCCACAAUGCAGAAUAUUAAUAGAGUACCAAGCAGUAAGUACGGAAACAAUUGCCGACGCCAUGCGAACUCCAUCUUCAGAUUGAUCUUCAUUUUAAGGUUCAAGACAAGUCAAACUCAUGCUCUAGUUCGGCCACAAUCUGUGACAUCAAAAUGACACGUCCGAAAAUGACACGUCCGAUUACUCAAUCUCGUCCCAUAAAUUUUCGAUCGAAAAAAAAAACUCAUUAGGUUACGCAAAAAUGCGCACGAUGAUUUUCGGUUAGUGGCUUUGAUCGUGCCUUUCCCCGGUUCCCGUACGAAGAAGGAAAAUAAGAAAACGAACUCGCUGCUCUCCCUGAUGGUGCAAGCGUUUUGGCUCACCGAGGGCACAAGUGUAAUUGCACGAGUGCCCAGCUCAGUUGGCUCAGGAUUUCGGCCUCUCGACUCGGCCCCAUUCCCUGAGACGAAUCACAACCGUCGAUCAUACCCGGGCCGUGUGUCGGCACACAGUGACCCAACACACGUGCUGUCCCUCCCACCAGCCAACGACCCAUCCCUGUCUCUAUGGAGCCCACUGCAUAUCCCCAUCGUUGGGCCAUGGCCCCCACCAUACGCUUAUCUCGAAUCUAAUCUCCGCCCAUUUCCAAUUUUUUAUUAAAAAUAAAUUGAGCAUAAAUAAAAUUGAAAAGGGAAAAUGACACUGCGAUCUCUAAAAUUUAGCCCAACAAGUAAUGCUGUUCCUGAGCUUUCGAUUUGUGCAAUAUGACCCCUAAAAUUCAUAUCCAAUCUAGUUUAUUGACUAUACGGAAAUGUUUAAUAUUGUCUUUGAACUUGAAUUAUUGAGAUGAUAGCUAAAAGUGAUUGAUUUCAGGGUAGGUAAGUUUUAAAGCUGAACCUAGAUUCUACCCUAUCAUAAUCAAUUUCUAUUUUUUGAAUCCUGGAACCUAUCAUGUCCUCUAUUUUUCCCGUCUCGUUUGAGGUUUCACUCGAGAAUCUAUUUUAUCUUCUUCUUUUUUUUAUUUUUUUUAUUUUUACAACAAAGUCAUAUGAGAUUAUGAGUAACGAAAUGAUUUAAACUAAAAGAUGAAUAAUAGAAAUCCUAAUAUGCCAAAACUAACAAUUUGAAUACGUAGUCAAGUACAAUUAUAAACGAUAAAAAAGUUCAAACGCAUAAUAUAAAACAUAAAUUCCCCAUUUCUCCAUAAAAGUUAAAGAAAUGAAAAACUAGCAAGAAGUUUCAAAAAAGGAUGAAAGAUGAAAGAGUGCUAAGGUUAAAAUUUAGAGAAAAGAGCAAUUCGAAUUUAAACUUUUUAACUUAUAAAACAGAUUCCAAAGUAGAGUGGAAUCGGUAGGUCUUUACUUGAAACCUAUUCCUAAAACUAUUUCAAGGAGAAUCAAUUCUCAUACCUAUUCUUCGAAAAGUUCGAUUCAAUUUCUAAGUAGAAUCAGUUUAGUUGCACAACCCUAAUAACAACAUUAAGCAUCUUCAUAUAAUUUAGGAACUAACUUGAAUAUACACUAAAAUUUUAAGGAUCAUAUUAAAUAAAUUAAAAGUUCAAGGAUCGUUUUUAUAAUUUGGGUCAAAAUUCAAAGACUAUAUAUGUCACCAUCCAAAAUGGGUAUCAAUAUCCAUUUUUUGUUUUGUCCAGUAUCAAUAUCCAUUUAAAAAAGGGCCAUUUGCUUUUAAGUUAGAAAUUUUUUUAAUAUUAUCAAAGCACUAUUAAUAACCCGGGAGUCCGCCCCACAUUAUCGCUAUCCCCCCCUCUCAAAGUCUCAAAGCUCCACAAGAAAAAAUAUCAACGGCGCAUAGGGAAUCACUUUUGUCAACAAAAGCCGACAUCAUCCUCAUCAUCCUCAUCAUCCCCUCUCUCUCUCUCGCUCAGAGCUUCUCACUCGACAGCAAUGCACCACGCCUACAUCACCCCCUCCCAAACCCACCACGGCCACCCCCAAGUCCCCCUCCGCGGCCGCGGCGGCUGCGACGACGGCGUGAUCGGCGUUCACGGUGAUCUGCGUGCUCCACUCCCUGAUCGCGCUCUUCUGCGGCUCCCUCAUGAUGUUCCACGCCCGGGCCAUCUACUCCCUCGGCCACAGCACCGACGCCGCCGACCGCCUCCUCAGGUCGCAGGACCGCCUCCUGAUCCGGACCUAUGACUCCUUCACCGGCCUCCUGCUCCUCGCCAUCGGCCUCCUCCUCCUCAUGGUGUCCAACAUUUAGGACCGGGAGUUCCAGGACUUCUUCGCCAAGGGCUGCACGGUGCUGCACGUGUUCGUGGCAGUGUGGAGGGUCUCGUUCGAGCGGCGGGUGGAGGACCUGGCCCGGGACUGCCUCCGGCAGACGGUGGGGGACUUCCUGCUGGCCCUGUCGUGGGUCCUCUUCAUCUUCUACUCCUGGAGGGAGAAGUACGACUGACCCAAAAUGGAAUCACGCGUAAUAAAAAUGAAACAAAAUCUAAUUUCUAAUCUGCAAGGAGUUGAUUGAGUAGGUGAGAGAUUGAUUCAUAAGACAAAUCCUAUAUUUAGUUGCAUGCUCGCCAAUAAGAUUAACUCUUAAGGGGUCAUGCUCAUGAUAAGUGGCCCAUUGAUGAAGUCUUAUUGCACGUGACUAAGACAAUUUGCAUGCAUUCAUAGGGUUUUAGUCAAGUGAAGAUUUGCGUCCGUUGUUAUAAUCUUUUUUUUUUCCUGUAUGCCUAAUUUUAAUUAUUAUAAAAAAAAUCCUCUAUAAGUAUGCCGCUUUCAAUUGAAACUUAUCAAUUUGUUUGGUUUAGGGGAAAAUUCUUCAAGCUAAAAAAGGGUAAAACGAUAUCUUGUUAAUCAUCUGGUGGACUAACAAGAUGUACACGGAGUACAAAAGUGCGGGUUGAACAAAUGGGUUAAACACCUGCACACAAAAGCUGCGGUGCAAAUCCAAAAGAAUUGUCCAACCUUGCUAACGUACGGGAAUCUCGUAGCCGUACCGAAUCUCCACUCUUUCAAUGACCAUUUCAUGUCGCCAUAGCUCGUAAUACUGUAAAUCAAUUUUAGUGAUGUAUCAUAACAAUAUUUUACUUUAAUUACAAUGAUAUGUUGUAACAAGUAACAUAGAAGUCACUCUAACUUAGGAGUUUGUCAUCAAAUGAGAAGGAUACAUUGAAAGACAAUUAAGUUUUUCAAUGUACCAUGCCAAUUGGGAAAAAGAAAAUCUUUCUAUUUACAACACAAAUCAAUUAUAUGAACCAAAAUCAAGUUUAAGUAAAAGUUAAACAGGAAUCUGCCAUAUAAUAUCAAGCGUGAACUUGCUGGUAUUCGGCUAGAUAGUCCUACUAUUCUAGUUGAGUUUAACUUAAUUUAUGUAGAUUAUUUAAUAAUUCUAGAGAGACACAAAAAUACUUAUGAUUCCAUUGCAUAUGAAAUUUUGAGCUCUAGUUCAUUUAUAUUUCAACUUAAUCAAGUUGAAUUCAAGUGAAACUUUUUAAUAUCUCAUUUUUUUUCUUGAGUUGAGUUUGAGCAAGAAAUUUAAUACUUGAUCAAGCUCUGCUUAAGUGUGUUGACACCUAAAUUUUAACAUUUAGACUUAUCAUUCAUCACAUUAUAAAAUAAAAUAGAGCCCGAUCCCUUAAUAAAUAUAGAUAUUGCAUUGCGUUUAGGCAUUUAGACAUUAUAAAGCAUAUCUGCAUUGAACAAGUUUCAAUUGAAUUGGCCCCGUCGUGGAUGGCAUUUGAAUUGGCCUAUCGGCUAAAUGGACUCGAAUUUAGGAGAGGGGGAGGCCCUCAUCUUAUUUGAAUUUUCAAGACCAGGCCAAAUUUAAUUCAAGUCCUGUUGAACUUCGGCCAGCACAGAAAGUAAAGCAUGCAAGGCAAGGUAUUUCGGCAAAAUGCAUGAUUCUUGGCAAGAUUAUUUGGCGUUCUCAAGCAAGAAAUUCAAUGCUCGAUCAAGCUAAGCUCGAGUGAAGUUUCGAGUGGUCAAACAUGUGAGUCGAACUUGACAUUGCAUCAGCUCGUCUCAAUGUGAUUAUCCUUCUAUCUCGAGGACUAGGCCUAGGACGCUAGCGCUUAGACUUGAUACCUCAAAGGUGGGUUGCGCAUCCUUGCGCGUGGACUGAGAGACGCCAGCCGAACAGGUUAUCACGUGGGCCAGUGGCACCUUUUGUCUUCGAGUUCUACGCCGAUUCUUCAUCGUUCCAGAUUCGUUGGUCGAUUGCCACGUGUUCUGGUGGAUCCUGCGCUUCAGAAACUUCCGUUCUUUCUGCUUCCCUGGCUUUCUCUGCCCUCACUUUCUUCUUCCUCCUCCUUCAUACUCCUUCAAAACAAUAGUCAACUCAGAAAACGCCGGGCAGCCACAAUCCUAGAUCUCUCUAUCUUCUCGCCCUCGACACCGUCAGGGCCGGGCAAUCCAUCGUCGUUACGGGUCAGCUUCGUUUAUUUUUGCACUCCUAUGGUUUUCCGGUGAUCCCGACGUCGUCUUGCCCUCUACACCCUCGCCACCGCGCGUUCCUUCCUCGUCCAGCAGCAUAUUUAUCUGAAAUCGAAAGCUGAAAACUUUUUCACCAACCAAAUGGCCCUGAGCCUGAGUCUGAUCCAUAUUUCUGCGAUGAGACAGCUAAGAGUGCUUGUUUUCUUUUGAAGCGAGCCAGAGCCAGACCAAAGGGCAGAGAUCGUGACUUCGCUGCGAUCAGGGAAGGGCGACCGCGGGUCAGAGGCCACCGUGCCUCUCUGAUAGCAAAGCCGACUCUGCUUCAGCCUUAAGCCCUUGAUUUUCGUAGCAAGACUCUCUCUCUCUCUCUCUCUCUGUUCCACUAUUUGGCAAUCUAGGGAAGCACACAUACCAUCAGCUCUUCUAAUGGCUGCUUCUUCAAAUAUGAAAAGGAAUUACCAUGUGUUCCUCAGUUUCAGAGGAACAGAUGUCCGCCAAGGCUUUCUCAGUCAUCUCUACGCGGCUCUGGACCAGAGAGGAAUAUACACUUUUGUGGAUAGCGAGGAGCUUAGGAAAGGAGAGGAAAUAUCGCCGCUGCUCAUGAGGGCAAUCGAGGAAUCACGCAUCGCAAUCAUCAUUUUCUCUGAGGACUACGCCUCCUCGCCGUGCUGUUUGGAAGAGGCUGUGAAAAUCAUGGAGUGCAGGGAGCGAAUGGGCCUGAUGGUGGUCCCAUUUUUUUACAAAGUGGAACCAAGAGAAGUAAGAGGAGGGAGAGAGAGUUAUGGGAGAGCUAUGGCUAAGCAUGAGUCCAAGUUCGGUAAGGAUUCAGAAAAAGUGAAGAGAUGGAAGAAGGCUCUCUCUGAAGCCGGUAGCUUGUUUGGGUGGGAGUUGAAUGCCAGGUACGCACAAAUGUGAUGUGUUUUGUGAUUGUUAGCUUGUAAUUGUUUGUUAGAUAUCAAAUCGUAUGCUUUUUUGGAUCUCUGAAUUGAAGAUACAAAGUGGAGAUAAAUUAUACAGUAGUCACAAAAGUCAAAUAACCAAAGCUAGAGUAGAUUCUUUGAAUUGAUUCUUGGUGUGUGGAUAAUGAGAAAUUUAUUUAACAUAAAUAGUUGAUUCAUAGUGCCCGAGUCAUUAUUGUCUUCAGAUUCAGGUUCUUUGUAAUUUUCCUUGCGUAGAUGUUGGCGCAGGUUCACCCACCUUUCAUCUUAUAUUUUGCUAAUCUUAUUAUGGAAUUUUACUUAUUUGAAAUGCUAAAACCUGUUUAUCUUUCUCUUGAACGCUUAUCAGAAAUGAAGCGGAGCUCAUACAAUGCAUAGUAAAGGAAUUAUCAAUUCAUCUCAAUCGGACGCCUUUACAUGUUGCUAAUUAUCCAGUCGGAAUAGAUUCCCAAGUUCGACAAAUUAUAUCGUCGUCAAAGAAAGAGUCAGAUGAUGAUGAUGAUGUUCUCAUGAUAGGUUUAUGGGGGCCUGGAGGCAUAGGGAAGACAACAAUUGCGAAGGCCUUAUAUAAUGCUAUGGAGAGACAAUUUCAGGGUUGUAGUUUUUUGGAGCAAGUUAGAGAAAAAUCAAACCGAAGCGAUGGCCUUGUUACUUUACAAAAGGAUCUUCUAUCUGAGAUCUUGGUUCAUCCUUUAACGGUCUACAGUGUCGCUGGAGGAAUUAGUUUGAUACAAGAAAGACUAUGUUGCAAGAAGGUUCUCCUGGUUCUCGAUGAUGUUGACCAUAUGAAUCAACUGAAUGUAUUAGCUGGAAAAGGCAAUUGGUUUGGAAAAGGAAGUAGAAUCAUUGUUACAUCAAGAGAUAAACAAUUGCUGACUUCUCAUGGCAUAAAUUGUGUGUAUGAAAUUCAAACUUUAGGAUGCCAUGAAGCACAAUAUCUUUUUAGUCUGUAUGCUUUCCCAAAUAGCAAGAGUGUUGAAAUAAGAAGGGAUCUCAUAGAUAAAGCAUUGCAUUAUGCCGACAGACUUCCAUUAGCCCUCGAAGUGUUGGGCUCCUUCUUACGUGGAAGAAAGGAAUCUGCAUGGGAAAGUACGUUGCAUAAACUCUCCAAAAUUCCUGAACCAACUAUCAAUCGAGUUCUCAAGAUAAGCUUCGAUGGAUUGGAGAACAACGAGAGGGAGAUUUUCCUCGAUAUUGCUUGUGUCUUUAAGGGGAAAAAUAUAGAGUACAUCAAGGAAGUUCUUGACAGCUGUGGUUUUCACACAGCCAUAGGAAUAGAUAUUCUCAUCGAAAGGUCCUUGAUAAAAAACCAGCAUGAGACCUUGCAAAUGCAUGAUUUGAUUCAGUUGAUGGGUCGGGAUAUUGUUAAUGAAGCAUGUCGUGAUGAUCUUGGGAAACGUAGUAGAUUAUGGCUUUUGGAAGAUGUUGAGGACAUUUUUUGUUGCAACACGGUAAAAGUUGUUUAUGUCAGUUUUGCUACAUUUCAGUUUACAUUACUCUAAUUUGGACAGUAUAAUGUAACUCUUAAUUGGAAAUUUUGUCUGACAAUUGAAUUUGCUCUGUUAUGGAUAGGGGGUGGAUGCAAUAGAGGCCAUAGUAUUGUACUUGCCCCCACCAGAAGCAAUAAUCAUCAGUCCUUAUGCUUUCACGAAUAUGAAAAAGUUGAGAAUACUCAUUUUGCUCGAAGUGCAUAUCUCUUCACAAGCUCAAGUACGUCUCCCUAACAAGCUAAGAUGGCUUGAAUGGCCCAAUGCCCCAAAUCUAGAAUUUGGCUCUGGUCUAAAUAAAUUCGUGAGACUCGAUAUCCCGAAAAGUCAUAUCAAGCAAUUGGGGGGCAACUCUCAGGUAAGCGCUUGUGAUGAUUAGCUUUCUCUUUUUAUAGCUAUAAAAAAAACAUUCGUAUAGCUUAAUGACCGCACUAGUAUGUUUUUGUAGAAUUUUAGAAAGCUAAAGUCCAUCAAUUUCAGUGAAUGCAAGUCCCUGGUUAGUAUUCACGACCUAUCAUCGGCUCCAAAUAUGGAGAAAUUGAUUCUUAAUGGGUGUGAUGGCUUGGUGGAGGUUCACCCAUCCAUUGGAGAUCUUGUCAAGCUGGAAGUUUUGUCGCUAAGAGGGUGCUUUAAUCUUAGAAAGUUUCCUAACACGCUGAAGACUGAAUCUCUUCAAACCCUUGAGCUCUGUGAUUGCUCUAAACUUGAGAAGUUCCCAGAUAUAGAUGGAAAGAUGGAACAUUUGGAAAUACUUCCUCUAUAUGGUACGGCUAUUAAAGAACUCCCUGCAUCAAUUGAAAAUCUUGUCUCUGUGAAGCGGAUAAAUUUAUCAUUUUGCGAAAACCUCAUGAGGCUUCCGUCGCAAAUUUAUAAGUUGAAAAAUCUCGAGGGCUUUUAUCUUGAGGGCUGCUUGAAUUUAAUCACGUUUCCAAAAAACAUGGAGGAUUCAACUGAUCCUGAUGGCCGUCUAGGAUUCCGAAAGCUAGUGUCCCUGAAACUUGAGCGAUGCAAUCUAUCAGAAGUAGACUUCCUUGAGAGUUUUUCCAGUUUUCCCAAAUUGAAGUAUCUACAACUUCAAUAUAACAAGUUUGCUGCUUUGCCAACAUGCAUCAACAAGUACUAUCAUUUGGAAUGCUUGUAUGUUGACGGAUGCGAGCUACUACAAGAGAUUCCUCAGCUUCCACCAAAUAUUGAGCUACUAUCAGCAGAUGGUUGCAAAUCUCUGCAAAAACUCCCAGAUUUGUGGGGUCCGCUCUCCCACACCUCGUCUAUUAGCUUGGCUUCAUGUUGUGAAUUAUUUCGCAAAGGGGUCAAUAUGGAUGAUGUGGCUAAUGUGUCAUUACUCGAGGUCUCUCUCUGUGUGUAUAUAUGUAUAUGUAUAUGUAUAUAACUUCAAAUGCUUGACAUGCGUACUUUCCGUGUGACAGAAACUGCCAAAGAUGGAAGAUAAAGUCGACAUUGACUUAAUUGGAAGAGAGAUGCCUAAAUGGAUUCUCCCCUGUGAAGAGGAUUCCAUAUCUUUCAUGGUUCCCUGGGACUUGUAUGACAAGGUCAAAGGACUAGCAUUCAGUGUUGUUCUCAGCCCGGAGGAAGGAAAAGUGGUCCGUUAUUCAUGUAAAUACACGAUAGUUGUUAAUGGCCAAUGGGUGCAAAGGGGCACGAGAUAUUUUCGUGCGAUAGAAUCUGACCAUGUGUGGCUUAGUUGUCAGUUAAUGAGUUUUAAGGAUGGACUGCCAAAGGAUUGGAGCCAUUUCCAAGUUUGCCUCAUAGCUGAGAAAGGAAGCAUAAAGAAGCGUGGAUUCCGUCUAAUAUGCGAGCAAAAGGAGGAUGAUCUGAGGGUGGUGUUCCCAGCACCAUCAGUGGAUAUAAACAAAGUGGAGUGUUUUGGGAAGACUCGAAAGAAGAUAAUUCAAUAGACACUGAGGAAGAAGAUACUCCAAUUGAAAUAGAUGAAGAGGAAAGCUCAUAACAAAGAAGAUGAGACGGUCUUAACUAUGGUGAGACUAUAAGUUCCAAUGUCUUCGCUUUUCCCUUUUCUGGGCCUCCACUAGAGAUUUGCAAGUGUAUGCUCUUUCAAUUAGAAUUCAAGAUCAUUGUAACAUAAAGGUUUCACACCAUGCUACCGACAUGAUUGAGGAACAUUCGAAGUAGUAUAAAAGUGACUCUAACUUACGAGUUUGUUAUUGAAUAAGAAUGAUAUGUUGAAAAAUAAUGAAUUUUUCUAUUUUUAUGCCAAUCGGGAAAAAAAGGGGGAGAGUUUUCAAUUUACGGCACAGAUCAGCUUAUGGGAACCAAAAUCGAGUCUAUGUAAAACUUAAACAUGAGUGAUCAAUAAAAAAAAAACAAAAAACAAAAAAACGUGAAUGUGCCAUACAAUUCGGCCUCUUCGGUCGGCCCCUCCCUAAACAAAUCACCGCCGUCGAUCACAUCCAACGACCCACCUCUGUCUCCGGGCCCCACUGCAUAGUUAUCCCCAUCCCUUUGACCCCCGCUCACCUUGAAUCUCUCCUCCUUCGUCAUUUUUCCCAUUCCAUUCCGUUUCUUUAUAAAUAAAUAAAAAACGGAUUUGAGUGUAAAUAAAAAUAAAUUUUAUUAAGAGGUAUCCAAAAGACACUGAUUAAGAAUAAUAAAAUAAUAAAGACACAUAUAAACGCAUGGUAAAGAAUUAAGCAAGAACAAAUUUCGAAUGAGAGCAAUUUUUUUAAUUUAAUUUAAUAUAUACAUUUUUUUCUUCUCUUCGUCUUGAAGAGUUUUCAGUCCCAUUUCAAUUGGCAAGUGAAAAUGCCAAGUGAUUUCCUCUAAGAAUAUUUAAUAAAGUGAAGUUCAUUCUAGGAUUGCAUUUAUAUUCUUCAUUGACUUAUGCUAAAGUUUAAUCUCUCUCACUUUCCAUAUCAUUAGCGACCCUUCCUUUCAAGUCUUGGAGGCCUAAAGUCAUGCGCAAAAUUCAAUGAAGUAGAAAUGAUAUUUGCCAAUCACUUUCUGAACUCAAUAAAUUGCCCGGAACCGGUGUACGCGAUCAUUUUCGAAUAGUGGGGGAGAGGGAACGAGGAAAGUUCCGAAAGGGAAAUAGGAGAAAGAAACUUGGGCUACGGGCAAAUGGCACACGAUCAUUUUCGGAUAGUCUCUGAUUGUACCUGAUGGUGAUACUGCGCGUGGGGCUCCUAAACCCAAAAGGAUACCCCCGGCAGCGGUGGAGAUCUGAUCUACGUAUAACUUUCUUUGGUCUUUGUUCCAUUGCGUAAGCCAUAAUUUACAAACAAAGUGAUAUAUAGAUGAGAGCUGGAGCCUGGAAACCCCAUCAGAUAGUAAACAUUCUUGAAGCCCAUCAUUCAUCGGCUCUUCUCAUGGCUGCUUCUUCGAAUUAGAAAGGGUGUUAGGAUGCUCCUGAGUUUUAGAGGCAAGAACGUCCACAACAACUUCCUUGGUCAUCUCUCUACUAGAAAUUUGAAAAUGUCUACUCCUUCGAUUAGAAACCAAAAUCACUAUGAAAUAUAGAUUUUGCAUCAUGCUACCGACAUGAUUGAAGAACUUCUCCUUUUUCCUCUCUUUAUUUAUGAUUUGUGAUGCUGGGUAUUUUAAUUCAAAAUUAAUUGGAUGCUUGCUAAAUGGCCAUGGUCUUCCAAGUUGAUUUGUGUAAUUUAUCAUAUGGACAUCUGUCACCUCUUAUAAUCUAAUUGAUGAUGCUAGCACUUCACACUCUAAAAUUCUGAGAUUGUAAGUUUGGCUCAAUCUAAUAUAAUCCAUCUCUUUGGGAAAGCAUUGAUCUAAUUGUCUCACAGAUCAAGAGGUCUAUACAGGGAAGAUUAGUUGGCUCCUCUGUUGUCGCUAGGCAGAUUGCAUUGUAUUAAUACUAAGGGAGAGCUUUAGCUUCCAGAUUUUGCAUUUAAGCAAAGGACAUUGACUCAAAGGAAUUAAUUUUAAAGUAAAAAGUGUUUAAUACCUUGUUAAACUACUUACUGCAGAGCAUUUUUUUUCAAAUAAGAAAGAAGAAGAGAAUAAAGGAACUUGCAGUUGCAUAUGAAAACUCAAGCGGGGGCCACAAAACUAGACCAGUGCCAACGUCAUGCGAUCCCAUUGCGCUACCGUGGUCCCAUGCGAUGCGCAACACCAUGAUCACACAAUUAGGUAAUGCAAUGCUUGACCCUCAACAAACUAGAUCUGGUGUCAGGUGACCCUAGGCAAGUAGAAUCUAGUGUCGAGUGACCAUUUCCGUAAAGCUUGCUAAUGUCCCCCAACCCUUGUCAAGCUUGCCGAUGUCCCCCAACCUUCUCCAAAAAUCAUCCCAGCCAUGAGUGACCAUGGCUCUCUCUAUCUCCAUCCAAGAUUGGGUUGGGGGUAGGAGUGUCAAAAACCAAACCGAAAACCGAAUCGAACCGAACUGAAAAUUUUGAUUUUUUUUCGGUUCGAUUCUCAUUAAAAAUCGAAACUUUUUAACCAGUUCAGUUUUUAUCGAUUUGGUUAACCAAACCAAAUCGAUAAAAUCUAACGUUUUUUUUUUAAAUCAUUUCUUUUUUAUUUUUUUUUCUUUUCCUUCCUCUUCUUAUUCAUUGGCCGGCCAGUGACCAGCCAAUGAAGAAGAAGAAGAAGAAAGAGAAAGAAAAAAAGAAAAAGAAAGAAAAGGAAAAAAUAAAAUAAAAUAAAAUAAAUAAAAAAAAUCGAUUUAAAAAAUAAAAAACUUAUAGAAAGGGGUGUAUGUAGGGAGAAAUACAAACAUAAAAGUAAAAACCAAAAAAUCAAACCAAAUCGAACCGAACAGGGAUUUUGGUUCGGUUCGAUUUCAGUUCAGAUUGGAUUUCAGUUCAAUUCAAUAAAUUCUUUAUUGGUUUGAUUCGGUUUGAUUUUUCAAAAAUACCAAACCGAACCAGACCAUUUACACCCCUAGGGGGUGCUGUUGGAAAAAAAAUAUUAACAUGCAUGCCAAAGAUGUUAAACCCCCGAGCUCUCCCUCGCCUUGAGCUUUGACCAUUUUCAAUGCAAAAUUUUGCACCAAAAUAUUUGAAGUCGUGUUCCAAAAUGCCAAAACUUUGGCUCAAGGGCUUUUGGAAAUUCAAAGCUGCUCGUCUCCCAUAUGCAGCUUGAGCGUCCUGGCUCGGUAAGGGCAGAAGUGUAAUUUCGUGAGUGCCAACUCAGUCGGCUCAUAAUUUGGGCCUCUUGACUCGGCUCCUCCCCCCAACAGAUAAAACCUAAAAUUUUCUUCUGAAACCGAUCUUGGUGUCCGACGUCUUCCCGACUUUCUGAACCUUUUAGCCCUGAGAGCAAAAAUAGACAUCUCGGUUUCUAGUUAUUUUCUCUCUUUCUAAAAUUUUGAAUUUUAGCUUAUUCCACUUUAAAAUUUAAUAUCAACUUAAAAUGCUCUCUGAAUUGGUACUUUUUUAAGGCGAUCAAUAUUCACCGCUACAACCAUUUAAUAACAGGAUUAAUCAAUCUUUUUUUUUUCAAAUUUUUUUUGUCAAGCUUCACCCUUUCUUUAAUAUAUAAUUUAAGAAUUAGGAGGUAAGAACAUAGUGAUUCAUGGUUCAACAAUUUACAUUAACCUCAAGAAAAAAAAAUUAAACGUAGUUAUUAUUACUCUAAAUAUUAUUCUAUCAAAGAAAGAGUCAAUAAAUAAUCUCCAUACUAUAUAAGGAGUUGGCCGAUAUUGAUAAACAGUUAGGAGGACUAAAUAUUCAUUACCCUUAUUAAAAGGUUUACUUGUUUUCUUCUCUCAGAAUCAUACAAGUGUGAAAUAUUAUGUUUACUUCAUUUAUACAAUAAAGAAUCCCUUAUACUGUGCACGCAAUUCAGGCUUUAUAUUUUAAUUUUUUUAUUGUAUAAUUGAUGUACACAAAAUAUAAACAUGUCUUUGUCUUUCUUCCUAUUUGGUAAAAAAAAAUAUUUCAGAAAAUAGAAUUUAUUAAUGUAAACACUUAAUUGGUGUGCUUGUUACACUAUAACUAUACUAAUACAACCACAAAAUAGAAUUUAUUGUAAAUUAUUAAUGUCUCUUUAAAAAUAUAUAUAUCGAAUUGUUUACUCCAAGUAAUUUUACAAUGUUUUAUACCAAACAACGUAACUUUGCUAUCAAAAUAUUUUCUCAUUUAUGGGGUUUGCGAGGGUCUUCUAUAUAUGUAGUCUUUCUUCGUCUAAUAGCUUAAAUUUCUAGAUUAGACUAUUAAAUAUGAUAUCAAAGCCAAGUUCAAACCCAGUUUUUUUUUUUUUUUAAUAUGUGGCUCUCCAUACAUCAAUUUCACCUAUCAUUUUAAAUAUCGGUUUUGCACGCUAAAAGAGAUAUUAUAAUAUUAUACAUUGCUUGUUUACAGAAUUUAUACUUACCUUAUUAUCUCUUCACGAAUAGUGGCCAACAAAAAAAAAAUCAUAAUUAAGUGACUCCUACAAGUGGACGAUUACGGAAUGCCACAUGUAAAGUAACUUUAACCUGCUAUGAACUGAGAUGACAAAAACCAAUCAAAACAAGUAAUGUUGAUUAAGCUUUUUUAAGUCUAAAGUCCAAGUAUGCAAGGACUGACCUGGUUCAUUUCUUUCUUUUUUUUAACAUAGUGAUCAGGAUAAUAUUUUUUACUUACUUAUAGUAGAUAGAAAUAAAAUCUAAUUUUAAUUCUCCAAAAAGUUGACUGAGAUAGUGAGAAAAUUAUUCAUAUGACAAAUCCUAUAUCUAGUUACAUACUCGCCAUUUAGAAUAACUCUAAGGAUGCACACCCAUGAUCAGCCCAUUGGCGAUCAUGGGCGUGCAUAUCCCAAGCUUAUGAGGAUUCAUGUCCCAGGGUUAAAUAACAAGACGUUAUAUAUUCUUUUCCCGACUUAACAUCGUAUUUAGCUUAUGGGGAUUCAUGUCCCGAGACUUAAUAACGACGCCGUGUUUAUAUUUUGCCCGACUUGUAUUGAGUUUUUUUUAUCUCCCAUACUUUUUCUUGGAUGCUUUUGAUACUUGGUUGUUUACUUUAAAAAGCCAUUUCAAUGGCCUAUAUGUUAAUUUCCUUUCCAAAAGCCUGAGACUAGGACAAUUUUUUAGGUGUCAACUAAAACUCAGAUGUUGAUACUAAUAUAGACAAAUUUUAAAUUUUAAAUUUUGUUUUUAUUUUCUUCACAGGGCCAACAAGAUUGUCAACCCCCUUGCUAGGCAUGGGGGAGGGUUUGUUGUUUCACAAAAAUAAUAUUUACAAUAUACGAAAAUCGAGAUUAGGUGAAACUUAAACAUGAAGAGUACGUGCAUGACGAUAUAGGUGAGCAGGGGAGCUAGCUCGAAUGGGAGAGAAAGGGAGAGUGCAUCCCGUUUCGGAGUAGCAGACAACCGCAUCGCCGGAGUUCGCCGUCGGUUUUCAGAGCUCCGGUCAAAGGCCGAUCCGCGAGUUGUUCUUCACAGAGUCGGUGUCGAAGGUCAGACGAAUACUGAGAUUUCUUCUGCGAGCGGAGGAAAAGCUCUAACCAGACGCUCUUCAUCGUCGUCGAUCGAGACCUCGAUUCACCAAACAAACCAGUUACAAUCUCGGUCGAAACGCUCUACUUUGUCUCUGUUUUGGCCGAGAAAGAUAUGCUCCGUUCGAUCGAUUUUCUUGAAGAGAUCUUGAUAACACAAAGUUUCUUUGUUGCUAACCAUGGUGUUUUAAGUCUGUUCGUAAUGUGUGAGGCUGAGGAUCUCGUUAAAAUUAAAACAGAAAACCAUUGAAAGAUCUGCGUAUUGCAUGUUUGAUAAAAUGCCUGACAGAGGGUCGAAUGUCAAGUCCCGUCUAAAUUCAAGAUCGAUUCGUACUUGCUGUGUUUUUUGUUGAAUCAUAUCUAAUACUAGCAUUUUCUCUGUGUUUCUAUGCGAUUUGAUGUCUUUGCUUGAGUCCAACGUACAUGCGUAUCUCCAAGGCCGGAAAGCUUUUCGUCAGAGUAUCCCCUUGCACCAGCGAAGUUAGCAUAUCAAGGACAUACUAGUUAGCUCAUAUCACUUCAUUCUAAUGUAUUUUUUCUUGUUAAUUUUUUGGGAUGCUGCGGUGAAAAGUGUGGAUUAGGUAGGAUGGUUUUUGUUAAGUUCCGCUAUAAUGGAGCAAGCGGGCAGAGGUGGUCAACGUUGGUCGGAAUAAAUGAUCGGCGGUUGGAGAUAGAUGGGCGGUAAUCUAAGUUCUGGUGAUAAACUCGUCAACGAUGGUAUUUGUUUCGUUAAAAAAAAAAAAAAAAUGGCGCGAAAGAUGGGGUUGUGGGUUGAAAAUGGCGUUCGGGUAAAGGAUGUCUGGAGGAAGAAGAGGAAGUACAGGCAGAAAAAGACAAAAAGACAAAAAGACAAAAUAAAUUUAAAAAAAAAAACAUUAAAAAUCCAGUUUUAAUCCGACGCGGGCCGGAUCCUGGUAUAAGCGUCAGGUCAAUGGGUCAGAUCAGGUAAACAGUCCGAACCCAUUCCCCGAAUAUAUUAUUAAUAAGGGUUAAUACCUGAAAAACACUAAAUUAAUAUACUUGUAACAAAUUUACCCUAAACUAUUUUUUUGACCAUGAAAAAUCCUACCCGUGACAAAUUUACCCCGACUGACCAUAAAAAACCAUAAAUUGGUACAUUUAUGAUAAAUUUACCCUAAACUAAUUUAGUCGACCGCAAAAAACCCAAAACUGAUAAAUUUGUGAUAAAUAUACUCUUCGCUAAAUUGAAUUAAUACCACAAAAAAUCAUAAAAAUUGUAAACUUUGACAAACGGAUUGUAAAAUCCCAAAUUGGUAUACUAGUCAAUUGUCACGUGUCAUUUAACUUAAUAAUUUGAUAAUAAAAUUUAACAAAAACUAACAGAUGGUAAAUUUGUCAUAAGUGUACUAGUUUGGGGUAAAUUUGUCAAAGGUAUACCAGUUUAGGGUUUUUGGUAGUCAAAAAAAUAGUUUGGGGUAAAUUUGUCACAAGUGUAGUAGUUUGGGGUUUUUCAAGGUAUUAACCCUAUUAAUAAUAAUUAUAAAAAAUUUAAAAAUCCAAAAAGUCAUUAAAAAUUAUAAAAAUUUAAAACAAAUUAUAAAAAUUCAGAAAAUGAUAAAAAAAAAACUUAGGAAAUAAUAAAAAUUUAGAACAUUCGAAAAUAAAUAAAAUAUCAGGAUUUUUAGAUAAUCAUUAAAGAUUUUAAAAAUCUGAAAAAUAUUAAAAAAUAAAAAAUCGAUAAAAACAUUUAAAAUUUUGAAAAAUGAGAAAAUUCAUAAAAAUUUAGAAAAUUCAGAAAAUCAUUAAAAAAUUAGAAAAUUCAGGAAAUCAUUAAAAAAAAUUAGAAAAUUCAGAACAUAUUAAAAAAUAGAAAAUUAUAAAUAAAAAAAUUCAAAAAAAAAUAGAAGCCCUUACAAAUUGAAACCCAUAUUUGGACAAGUCUUUAUAGUUUUACAAUAGGGUUCUUUAGUGGUUUGGAUUUUGUUUUUAAGGAACAAUAUUAGGAAGUUUUUAUCUUUUCUUUUUAUUAUACUCGGUUGUACUUUUUAAUAUAUUGGAUGUUAUUUCUUUUGUUUUAGAUUUGUCAGGACAAAACUUAAAUUUUUUCAAUAGGUUGUUAUGGCAUUAGUUAACAUAACCAAGUUAGGUACUGAAAGGGCGUUAGUCUUAGGACUAACGUAAUUAAAUUCACGAGUCUAUAAUCUUUGAUUGUAUAAAUAAUAAGAAAUUCUCCUGUAUCUUACUGAUUUCUAACUGCCCCAAAAAAGCUAGUGGCCACUUUUUUGUUAAAAUUUACAUAGGCUAAAUUGAUUGAAAUUUUCAACAUUUAAAGUCACGCAUGGUAUGAAUUUGAGAGAGCUAGAGUCAAGGAAUGGUCAUCGGCCUUAAGUUGAUAAUAUUCCUAAACCUAACAAUGAGUUAGGUCACGACAAGUAUAUACUAUUUUUUCAUUCAAAAAUAUAUAGUUUAAUUCACAUCUUAUGCAAUGAGAGCAAGAGCAACACCAUUGAUAGAAAAUGAUUAAUAAAUCCUUAAGCAAUGUACCGAUUUCUAUUUAUAUGUUGGAUCAUUCCAUUUAACUAGCCUUCCUUAUUGUUGUGAUUUAUUUUGAGUUAACAACGUUUGAGAACAAAAUCCAAAAGGAUGACUCUACAAAAUUGCCACACGAAAACCAACAAAGCGCGAAGCAAUGUUGGGCAAAUUCACGAGAAAAAUCCUGGGCCGACCCGAUUUGAAACAAGCUCAGGUCAAAAUGGGCCUCUUAAGACUGAAACGAUGGGCCGUUUCUCUUGCUAGCUUAAUUGGAACAUGAAUGAAAAGAUGGUUUGGAUUCGCUUUACAUUUCAUGAAAAUUUUCUUCCCUACUUUUUAAUUUUUUUUUUGUUCCCAGCAUCAUCAUCAUCAUCAUCAUCAUCAUCAUCAUCAUCAUCAUCAUCAUCAUCAUCAUCAUCAUCAUCAUCAUUAAGUAAAUUUUAACGCAUCCCGAUCAUGAAAAUGCUUUGACAAAGUGUUCGUUCAUAUUAGUAGUCUUAACUAGUAUCUUUAGGGCACUUCUACACUUUUAAACAAUUUGUUUUAUGUUAAUUGUAAUAAACUCUUCCAAAAAAAAAAAAGUCAAGGGAUUUUAUGUUCACUCUAUAAAAAAUUAGUUCGCUCUUAAAUUAUAAUGCGGUGAUUACUUACAAGUGGAACCCAUGUUAGGAUAUCACUCGGCAAAUCGACAGCCAUCAAGUUCAGAUUUUGGAUGAAUAAUGGUAGACGGAAAGAAAAGAAAAAAAAAUCAGAUUUUUUUUUCCCAUAACAGUUUAGGAACCAUCUGAAGGAAGUGACACCCAGUCAUAGCUGGAAAACCUAUCUGAAAUUAAUUGCUUGGAAAUAACUUGGCCAAAAAAAUCCCAUCAAUUAAUUAAUCUCUAUCCACUUCUCAUUUGAUGGAAGAAAAAUGUCAAAAGUAGAGUAAUCUUGAUUUCGAAUCUUACGCUAGUGACAGCCACGUUGAUGACUUAAAGCAUCUUCAGUCACGUUAGGUUUGGACCAAGGCCUUUUUCUAGACGAUGACUUCUUGACAAUAUUUAUCAUUCCAUAAAAUAUCAUCAACGGGUCAAAUAUUCGAAGAAACGAGGAAAAAAGACUGAUGAGAAAGGAAUUGUGUAUAUUUUCAUUUUUUAUAUUUGCAAUAUCUUUACUUUUUAGUAUGUAAUCCUCUAAAAAUCAAGCCAUUUGACGGUCAUAGUAAAGACUCUGUCGUCCUGCUCUUAAUAGAGCAUGUCCCAUAUUAUUGUUUGUCUAGACUAAUCUAUCUUCCGGCAAUUGAGAAUUUAAAGGAAUAGCAAUAAUUUCCAUAGUUCGUCAAAUAGUUCCCUCAAAGUGCUUCCAAAAGGUCUCAUAUAUUCUAUCAUUCGCCUAUUGCGUAUCAAGUUCCAACAUAGCUAGCAACUUCUUUGCCCGACUUAACAUCGUGUUUAGCUUAUGGGGAUUCAUGUCUCGAGACUUAAUAACGAGGCCAUGUUUAUUUUUUGCUUGACUUGUAUCAAGUUUUUCAUCUCCCAUACUUUUUCUUGGAUGCUUUCGAUACUUGGUUGUUUACUUUAAAAAGCCAUUUCAAUGGCCUAUAUGUUAAUUUCCUUUCUAGAAGCUUGAGACUAGAACAAUUUUUUAGGUGUCAACUUAAACUUAGGUGUCAAUACUAAUGUAAACAAUUUUGUAAUUUUUAAUUCUAUUUUUAUCCUCUUCACAGGGUCAACAAGACUGUCAAGCCCCCUCGCUAGCCAUGGGGGAGGGUUUAUUGUUUCACAAAAAUAAUAGUUACAAUAUACCAAAAUUGAGAUCAUGUGAAACUUAAACAUGAAUGUGCCAUAUGAUAUCGAACUUCAACUUGUUAGUACUCAGCUCAAUAGUUUUACAAGUCCAAUUGAGUUAUUCUUUUUGUAAAUUAUUUAUAUGAAUUUCGAGCCCAGUCCAAAUUGAAUUCAAGCGCAACUUCUGAAUACUUCAAUUUUCUUUUUCAAUUGAGUUCAAGCAAGAAAUUCAAUUCCCGAUCAAGCUAAGCUCGAGCGAAGUUUCAACCGGUCAAACAUGUGAGUCGAUGCGCGUGGACUGAGAGACACCAGCCGAGCAGGUUAUCACGUGGGCCGGUGGCACCUUUUGUCUUCGUGUCCUUGGCCGAUUCUUCAUCGUUCCAGAUUCGUUGGUCGAUUGCCACGUGUUCUGGUGGAUCCGACGCUUCAGAAUCUUCGGUUCUUUCUGCUUCCUUGGCUCUCUCUCUCCCCAUUUUCUUCUUUCUCCUCCUUCGUACUUCUUCAAAACAAGAGUCAACUCAGAGCCGCCUGGCAGCCACAAUCCAAGAUCUCUCUCUUCUCGCCCUCGACACCGUCAGGGCCGUUCGAUCCAUUGUCGUUACGGGUCAGCUUCAUUUACUUUUGCACAUCUAUGGUUUUCCGCCGAUCCCAACGCGGAUCUCGCCCUCCACACCCUCGCCGCCGCGCGUUCCUUCCUCGUCCAGCAGCAUAUUUAUCUGAAAUCGAAAGCUGAAAACGUUUUCACCAACCAAAUGGCCCUGAGAGCGCUUGUUUCUUGGAAGCGAGCGAGAGUGAGAGCCAGGGCAUAGGGAAGAGAUCGUCGACUUCACUGCCGAUCGGGGAAGGGCAACCCCGGGUCAGAGGCCGCCGAGCAUCUCCGAGAGCAAAGCCCACUCUGCUUCUGCUUUAAGCCCUCGAUUUUCUUAGCAAGACUCUCUCUUUCUUUCUCUCUCUCUCUCUCUCUCUCUCUCUCUGUUCCGAAGCUUGGCAUUCUAGAGAAGCACAUAUACCAUCAGCUAUUCUAAUGGCUGCUUCUUCGAAUAUGAAAAGGCAUUACCAUGUGUUCCUCAGUUUCAGAGGGACAGAUGUCCGCCAAGGCUUCCUCAGUCAUCUCUAUGCGGCUCUGGACCAGUAAGGAAUAUACACUUUUGUGGAUCGCGAGGAGCUUAGGAAAGGAGAGGGAAUAUCACUGACGCUCAUGAGGGCGAUUAAGGAAUCGCACAUUGCUAUCAUCGUUUUCUCCGAGGACUAUGCCUCCUCGGCAUGGUGUUUGGAAGAGGCUGUGAAAAUCAUGGAGUGCAGGGAGCGAAUGGGCCUGAUGGUGUUCCCAGUGUUUUACAAAGUGGAACCAAGAGAAGUAAGAGGAGGAAGAGAAAGUUAUGGGAGAGCUAUGGCUAAGCAUGAGUCCAAAUUUGGUGAGGAUUCGGAGAAAGUGAAGAGAUGGAAGAAGGCUCUCUUGGAAGCCGGUAGCUUGUCUGGGUGGGAGUUGAAUGACAGGUACGCACAAAUGUGACGUGGUGUUUUGUGAUUGUUGGUUUGUGACUGUCUGUUAGAUAUCAGAUCAUAUGCUCUUUUUUGGAUCUUUGAAUUGAAGAUACAAAGUGGAGAUAAAUUAGACAGUGGACACAAAAGUCAAAUAACCAAAGCUUUGCUGUGUGGAUAAUGAGAAAUUAUCAAACAUAAAUAGUGUGAUUCAUAGUUCCUUAGUCAUUAUUGUCUUCAGAUUCAGGUUUUUUGUAAUUUUCCUUGCGUAGAUGUUGGCGUAGGUUCACCCACCUUUCAUCUUAUAUUUCGCUAAUCUUAUUAUGAAAUUUUACUUAUGACAAUUAGAGGUGCAAUUCUCGUCGUGGCUUUGAAAUGCUAAAGCCUGAUUAUUUUUCUCUUGAAUGCUUAUCAGAUAUGAAGCGGAGCUCAUACAAUGCAUCGUAAAGGAAUUAUCGAUUCGUCUCCACCGAACACCUUUAUAUGUCGCUAAGUAUCCGGUUGGAAUAGAUUUCCAAGUUCAAGUAUUGAUAUGGUUGUCACAGAAAGUGUCAGAUGAUGAUGAUGUUCUCAUGAUAGGUUUAUGGGGGCCUGGAGGCAUAGGGAAGACAACAAUUGCCAAGGCCUUAUAUAAUGCUAUGGAGAGACAAUUUCAGGGUUGUAGUUUUUUGGAGCAAGUUAGAGAAAAAUCAAACAGAAGCGAUGGUCUUGUUACUUUACAAAAGGAUCUUCUAUCUGAGAUCCUAGGUCAUCCUUUAACAGUAUACUGUGUCGUUGGAGGAAUUAGUUUGAUACAAGAAAGACUAUGUUGCAAGAAGGUUCUCCUAGUUCUUGAUGAUGUUGACCAUAUGAAUCAACUGAAUGCAUUAGCUGGAAAAGGCAAUUGGUUUGGAAAAGGAAGUAGAAUCAUUGUUACAUCGAGAGAGAAACAAUUGCUGACUUGUCAUGGCAUAAAUUGUGUGUAUGAAAUUCAAACUUUAGGAUGCUGUGAAGCAUAAUAUCUUUUUAGUCAGUAUGCUUUCCCAAAUAGCAAGAGUGUUGAAAUAAGAAGGGAUCUCAUAGAUAAAGCACUGCAUUAUGCCGACGGACUUCCAUUAGCCCUGGAAGUGUUGGGCUCAUUCUUACGUGGAAGAAAGGAACCUGCAUGGGAAAGUACGUUGCAUAAACUCUCCAAAAUUCCCGAACCAACUAUCAAUCGAGUUCUCAAGAUAAGCUUCAAUGGAUUGGAGAACAACGAGAGGGAGAUUUUCCUCGAUAUUGCUUGUUUCUUUAAGGGGAAAAAUAUAAAGUACAUCAAGGAAGUUCUUGACAGCUGUGGUUUUCAUACAGCCAUAGGAAUAGAUAUUCUCAUCGAAAGGUCCUUGAUAAAAAAACCAGUAUGAGACCCUGCAAAUGCAUGAUUUGAUUCAGUCGAUGGGUCGAGAUAUUGUUAAUGAAGCAUGUCGUGAUGAUCCUGAGAAACGCAGCAGAUUUUGGCUUUUGGAAUAUGUUGAGGACAUUUUUUGUUAUAAUACGGUAAAAUUUGUUUGUCCGUUUUGCUACAUUUCAGUUAAUGUAAAUCUUAACUAGAAAUUUUGUCUGACAAUUGAAUUUGCUCUGUUAUGGAUAGGGGACGGAUGCUGUAAAGGCCAUAAUAUUGGACUUGCCCCCAUCAGGAGUGAUAAUCAUUAGUCCUGAUGCUUUCACAAAUAUGAAAAAGUUGAAAAUGCUCAUUUUGCUUGGAGUUCAUAUCUCUUCACAAGCUCAAGUACGUCUCCCUAACGAGCUAAGAUGGCUUGAAUGGCCCAAUGCCCCGAAUCUAGAAUUUGGCUCUAGUUCGAAUAAACUCGUGAGACUCGAUGUCCCGAGAAGUCAUAUAAGACAAUUAGGGGGCAACUUUCAGGUAAGCCCUUGUGAUGAUUAGCUUUUCCUUUUUAUAGCUAUAAAAAAUAUUUGCAAAGCUUAAUGAGUGUACUAGUAUGUUUUUGCAGAAUUUUAGAGAGCUGAAGUCCAUCAAUCUCACUGAAUGCAAGUCCUUGGUUAGUAUUCCUGAUCUGUCAUUGGCUCCAAAUAUGGAGAAAUUGAUUCUUGAUGGGUGUGAGAGUUUGGUGGAGAUUCACCCAUCCGUUGGAAAUCUUGUCAAGCUAGAAGUUUUGUCGCUAGAAUCGUUCUCUAAUGUUAGUAUUUUUCCUAACACACUUAGGACUAAAUCUCUUCAAAUCCUUCGUCUCUCCGGUUGCUCUAAACUUGAGAAGUUCCCAGAUAUUGACAGAAAGAUGGAACAUCUGGAAGGAGUUUCUCUAAAUAGGACAGCUAUUAAAGAACUCCCUGCAUCAAUUCAAAAUCUUGUCUCUCUGAGUUGGAUGGAUUUAGCAUUUUGCAAAGACCUUGUGAGGCUUCCAUCGCACAUUUAUAAGUUGAAAAAUCUCUUUUAUUUGAAUCUUGACGGCUGCUUGAAUUUAAUCACGUUUCCAAAAAACAUGGAGGAUUCAAUUGAUCCCGAUGGCCAUCUGGGAUUCCGAAAUCUAGGAUGCCUAAAACUUAGGGGUUGCAAUCUAUCAAAAGUAGAGUUUCUAGAGUUCUUCCAGUUUUCCUGUAUUGCAGGUCCUAGACCUUUCAUAUAACAAGUUUACUCAUUUGCCGGCAUGCAUCAAGUACUAUCAUUUCAGCGCAUUAAUUGUUAAGGGAUGCGAUCUACUACAAGAGAUUCCUCAGCUUCCAUCAAGUGUUUGCAAACUAUUAGCACCUUGUUGCGAAUCCCUGCGAAAACUCCCAAAUUUGUGCGGUGGUUCCCCUUCCCGCUUUCUUGAGGUUGACUUGACGUCAUGUUGUGAAUUAUUCCGCGAAGGGGUCGAUGUGGAUGAUGUGGCUAAUUUGUCAUUACUCUCGGUCUCUCUCUCUCUCUCUCUCUCUCUCUCUCUCUCUCUCUCUCUCUCUCUCUCUCUCUCUCUCUCUCUAUAUAUAUAUAUAUAUAUAUAUAUAACUUAAAAGCUUGAUAUGCGUACCAUUUGUGUGACAGAAUCUGCCAAAAAUAAGCUGGGUCGAUAUUAUCCUAAUUGGAAGAGAGAUGCCUAAAUGGAUUCUCCCUUGUGAAGAGGAUUUCAUAUUUUUCAUGGUUCCAAGGGAGUUGUAUGACAAGCUCAAAGGGCUAGCACUCUGUGUUGUUCUUAGCCUGGAGGAAGGAAAAGUGGUCGACGUUUUAUGUGAUGUCACAGUACUUGUUAAUGGCCGAAGCGCGAUGGCCCGCAGGAAAGAUUUUUCUUCAAUGGAAUCUGACCAUGUGUGGCUUUAUUAUUGUUCAUGCAGUGGUCAGUUUGGAGUGGAGAUGCUUUUGCGAAAUGAUUGGAGCCAUUUCCAAAUUUGCAUCCGAGCAAAAAAAGGAAGCAUAAAGAAGUGUGGAUUCCGUCUAAUAUGUGAGCAAAAGAAGGAUGAUCUGAGGGUGAUGUUCCCAGCACCGAAGCAAUAUGAAGGUUGUUUAGGAGGACUUCAGAACAAGAUAAUUCAAUAGACACCGAGGAAGAAGAUACUCCAAUUGAAACAAAUGCAGAGGAAAGCUCAUCACCUUUAACAAAGAAGAUAAGACAGUCUUAACUACGGUGAGACUUUGGGUUCAAUGUCUUUGCUUUUCCCUUUUCUGGACCUCCACUAGAGAUUUGCAAGUGUCUACUCCUUUAAUUAGAAUUCAAGAUCAUUAUAAAACAGAGGUUUCGCACCAUGCUACUGACAUGAUUGGGGAACAUUUUUUUUUUUUUGCCUCUGAUUCUUUAUGAUUUUUAAUGCAGAGUGCAGUAACCCAAAAAUUAAGAGGAUGCUUGUUGAAAUGGUCAUGGUCUUCCAAGUUGCACCAUGUAAUUUAUUAGAUGGACCUCUAUCGCCUCUCUUAAUACAAUUCCAAUUAAUGAUGCCAAUACUUCAUAAUUCAAAAUUCUGAGAUAGUAAGUUUUGCUAAAUCUAAUAUAAUCUAUAUCUUUAGGAAAGUGCUAUUCAAAUUGUCUCAAAGAUCAAGAGGUCUAUAGAGGGAAAUUUAGUUGAUUCCCCUGUUGUUACUCAGCAGCUUGCAUUGGAUUGGUAUAAAGGGAGAGCUCUAGCGUAUGAGAGAGGUUGCAUUUUAGCAAAGGAGAUUGACUUCAAGGAUAUUCAUGAAAAGCAAACGGUAUUUGUCAAACGCCUUCUAAAAUAAGUAUUUCAAAGCAAUUUUUAGAAUGAGAAAAAAAAACAGAGAAUGAAGGAACUUGUAGGUACAUAUGAAAGCACAAGCAUGUGGCACAACAGUAGGACCAGUGUCGACCUUGUGCGACCCUAGGCAAUAUGUCGCUGAGGUCAACCAAACCUUGGAGACGCAACACCAGUGUCGCUUGACCCUAGACUACACGACAUUAAAUGCCAAUGUCCCAUGACCUCAAGUGGCGGAAUGUCGGAGCCACAUGACUAGGCAAUGCGAUGCUCAACCCUUGACAAGCUAAAUCUGGCAUCAAGCAACCCUCGCAAUGCUUCUUGGAAUUAUGCAACCUUCGAUGAAGCUUUGUUAGUGUCCGUUAACCUAGCCUCCUUCAUGAAGCUUCCUAGCAAAGACCAACCAUGGCUUUCUCUCUCCUAACUUGCAUUAGGAAAAUACUAAAGCUCAAAGGUGAGGCUUCCCUCAAGCUUCAAGCAUUUCAAAGCAGAAAUUUUCGCUAAAGUCUUUGAAAUUGUGUUACAAAAUAUCAGAACUUAUUUUAAGAACUUUUGAAAGCCCAAAACAGCUUAAUUCAAGAUGACAGAGCACUCCAAUUUUCAAAGGCCAAAUUGGAUGGUAUUGAAACGGAGGACAAAAUUGGAAUAGUGUAUCACUUUGGGGGUCCUUGUGAGUUAAAAAAUAUUUUUGAGUAAAUUAUUUAAGGGUGCCGAUUUAAGAUUUUCCGUGAAGUUAAUCCAAAUAAUAUCUAUGUGUUAUUUUGUUUUUCUUUUUUACAUUUUGAAGAGUUGAGUUUGAUUCAUUUGACAAGUGAAAUGCCAAGUAACAUGUCAAUAAUUACCACUGAGAGUAUUAGUAAGUUCACACUAGGAUUGCCUUUAUAUUCUUCAUUGGCUCACACCAAAGUUCAUUCUCUUUCUCACUUUCUACUAUUAGUCACCCUUCAUUUAAGUCUAGUUGGCUCGAUAUCAUCUAUUUGAAAUGCAAAAUUCAAUAAAGUAGAAAUGUUGUUGCCUAUCACUUUCUGAAGCCAAAUGUAAGAUUAUUAUAACCUCCAAAAAGGUGACCCAAUCACAUUAUUAGAGAAUACAAGAUAUCAAAUGCUCGUUACUAAACUAUUAAUUACAAUCAUUAUGUACACCGAUAAUAUAUUUUUUCAAUAUCUCAUUCAGAUCGUAACACAUAUUUCACCUCAAAUUAAAUCUACCACCCACGAUCAGAUUCCAAAAUUAUAGCAUCACCCCCUCCUCCUUGUCCUCAUUUUCCUCUCUCUCUGGAUAAAAAGAUGGAGAAGAGCUAUCAACACCAACGACCCUUUUUGAAAUGUACCAACCCAUUAAGAGUAUAUACUUCAUUUCACAUCUUAUUAUAAUUGGAGAAACACCGCCAAUGGGAAAUGAUUAAUACUCCCGGAAGCGAUAUGCCGAUUCUAUUUAGACAUCAAGUCAUCCCGCGUGGUGAACCUUUCCUAAUUCUUGUGAUUUAUAAUGUAUUAACAACGUUCAAGAGCAAAAUCAAACGAAUGUCUCCAACCUUUGCAAAGUAUGCAACCCAAAAUGUCAACAAGCACGAAGCGAUGUUGGCCAACUAUCAAGCAAAAUCUUGGGCCGACUAGAUUUGAAACAGUCCAGGGUGAACUCCACCAAAUGGGCAACCAAGACUGAAAUGAUGGGCCGAUUCUCUUGCUGAUCCUCAAGCAAGACUGAAGAAUGGGCCAUCUUCAUACCUCAUAUCUAAAAUAAAUCAACAUUGGGUUGUCGACCUUGACAAGAUUAGAGAUCAUAUCAUCUCAUCAAUCAUAAAAUUCAUCCCCCAACUCCUCUCAAUAAAAAAUAAUGCGAUAGUUACUUACUAGUGAAAUCGAUGUUAAGAGAUUACUUGACCAAUUAAGAGCCGUCCAAUUCAACAUUUGAAUUAAAAACCACAAACAGCAACAACAAAAAAAUCCUUCACAACACUUUCAAAGCAAUACUAAACUUUAUUUGAGGAAACUAUGAGAAAAUGACACUUUCCUAUGAGAAAAUGACACCCGACUACUGCUGAAAAACCUAUUUAAAAUUAAUUGUUGGGAAAUAUCUUGACCCAAAAAGUCCUUCUUAUAUUAAUUAACCUCCAUUUACUUCUGAAUUUUUUAUUGAAGAAAAAUGUCAAAAGUAGAGUUAUCUUGAUCUCGAAGCUUGCAUCAGCGAUAGCCACAUGGACGACUUCAAGCAUCCUCAAUUAUGUCGGGAUGGACCAGAGCUUGUUCUAGAAAAUGACUUCAUGACAAUGUUUGCCAUUCUAUAAACAUCGUCAAGGGGUUCAAAAGAUCAAAAAAGUGGGGGAAAUUGAAGAAAAGGAAAGGAAUUGCCUAUAUUUUCAAUUUUGAUAUUUGCAAUUAGCUCCUAUAUGUUUAGUAUUUUAGUAUAUAAUCCUCUAAGUUUUUUUUUUCAUUGGUAAAUCUUUUUAUUAGAUUUAACAAGCUUAAUUCUCCAAAAUUUUGUUCCAAAACCAAUCUUCGACGAGCAAAGACAAAUUUUCGCGACUAUCCAACAAAGCAGCAUCGACAAUUCCUACCAAAAAUGAGUGGACGCAAAAAUAAAUUGGCUAGAGUGAGAAAGAGAGCAAGAUCAAGCGGGAUAGAAUUAUUCUAAUGUUAUCGAUUUUUUUUUUCACCUAAAAGAUAUUUUUAUUUUCUUCUUUGAUUUUGUGCUAAUUAAUUUAAUGGUCAAAUUUCACGUGUAAUUGACUUUUCUUUUCUCCUUUUUUAUCCAAUCAGUGUUCUUUCCGUGGCCGUUGAAUUCGGUUUAUUGUAAAAAAAAAAAAAUGGCACUUGAUUUCAACCGUCAAGAUGUCUCCGGGAAAAAAAGGAAAAUGAUAAAAUCGUCCGACUACACGAGCCAUCUGAUUGUGUAUAUUUACAAGUGUAACCUUGGAUCUCCUGGAAAAGAGGGGAUUGUCGGAAUUUUCUUAAUUUUUGGUGUCCGUCGUCUCUCAACUUUCCGAGCUCCUUAACCUGUUGAAAUGCCAUUCAAGUUUUAAAUUUUAGUUUUGUAAUAUUACUUAAUGUACAAAAAAUGUUAACACGUGGCAUUCUUUCUUCCUAUUUGGUGAGGCUAAAAAAAUCUUAUGCAAAAUAGAGUUUAUUAAUGCACGCUCGUAAUUCAUGGGUUUGUUAUUCUAUUACUACACUAAAUCCAGCCACAAAAUAAAAUUUAUUUUAAGUUAUUAAUGUCUUCUCACUUCAAGUGAUUUUACAAUGUUUUAUACCAAACAAUUUUUUUUUUAUUCUACUCUACUCAUAUUCUAACUCGGUUUACAAUAUUUUAUACCAAACAGUAACUUUAGUAUUUUUCUUUUUUUGCCGGUUAUACUCUACUUCUACUCUAAUAUUCAUUCUCAAACUUUUGCAUUACUUCCUUAUAAAGUGUGGAAGCCAAAAUUCACAUUUGAAACUAAAUCAUUCCCACAACAACUCUCUUAAGAAUGUGACGAUCUGAACCCCAUACUUCCCUAUUCUUAUGUGAGAAGGGUGGAACCCUAGCGGUUAACUUUAGUAUGCGAAAAUGUCUUUCUAUCUAUAGGGUUUACACGGGUUUAAUUAUACAUGUAUUCUCUAUCAAUGUAAUGCUUUUUGUUUUUGGGUUGGACAUUUUAACAUACUCACAAAGCCAAGUUCUAAACCAAUUUUAUUUUUUUUGGCACUCCUCAUUUGUUAAAUCCACACGUUGUUCUCACAUUAGCUUUACACGCUAAGAAGCUUAUUACAGAAUUACACAUCACUUGUCUACAAAAUUUAUAUGAGCCCUCCCCAUGGAUCGCAACCAACAAAAAAAUAUAAUUUACUCCUUCAAGUGAACGUUUAAAAAAUACCAAUUGCUAAAAUUAAAAUGUCGAAGUUCGCUGUACGCAUCUUAAUUUUUUAAAUAAUGAUUGAUUGACAUGCACUUUACAAAAUGAAAGUGAUGCAUGGUUACAUGUAAAAGAAAAAAAAGUUUAAGCCAGCUACAAAAGUGAGAUGAAAAAGAAAAUCAAAAUAAAAUGUUGUUCAAGUUUUUCUUUUUAGUUUAAAGUCCAAGUCUAGGUGGCAAGUAUGCAAAUAUUGACGGGGUUUCAUUCUUUUAAACCUAUAGUCCAAGAGGUACUUUGAGUAGUUAAAUGAUUAAUUCAUACAAUCAAUUUAGUGUUUAGUUACGAAGUCACCGAUUACAAAAACUUUAAGAACCCUUACAAAAACUUUAAGGGUUCAUAACCAUUAUUGGCUUAUUGAUGAAAUCUUGUUGCUCAUGGAUAAGAUGAUUUGUAUACAUUAGUAAGAUUUAGUCUGGUGAAGAUUCGUGAUCACUAAUGAAAAAAAAAAUCAUACCAUAGAAAUAAUCUUAUUUAUUGUAAAAAAAAAAAAAAAAAGUCCUCGAUGGGGGAGACGAUUCGGUCGGCCCAACCUUCAACGGCAAGUGGCCAGUACAUGUGAACAAAUGGGUUGGAAAAAAAAAUGCGAACGAAAGCUGCAGUGCGAAUCCUACACGUUAUGGACUAAAUUAGAGGAAUGUGAAAAAUGUACCGGAUCCCACUUUUUUAAUAACAAUUUUACGUUACGGUUAUGCCGAUUUUGUGAUGUAAUAUAUAUAUAUAUAUAUAUAUAUAUAUAUAUAUAUAUAUAUAUAUAUAGUAUUAAGAUGUUUUUGUAUUUAAUAAAAUAAAAAAGUGACAUUCACACUUUUUAUAUAUGGCAACAUGCCAAUUGGAAAAAAAAAGGUUUUUCAAUUUACAAUAAGGAUCAAUUAGAUAAUGCACAAACGAAUUCAGGUGAAACUUAAACACGAAUGUUGCACACAAUAUCAAGCUUAAACUUGCCAAUACCCAAUUGAUAGUCUCAAGAGCCUAAUCAGGCUUAACUUACUUUUUGUCAAUUAUUUAAUAUAGUCAAAUUGACUGAAGUCACAUUUGAAUGGUCCGAUUUUCUUUUUCAAGUUGAGUUUGAACAAGAAAUUUAAUACGUGAUUGAGUUCAAGUGAAGGUUCAAGUAUCAAGUAUGUUGUAAUAACUCAACUCAAUUUGGAUUUAUCUCCACAUUGAGGGUUAGACCUAGGACUGUAGCACUUGGACUAGAGACACAAGCAAAACAAGUUAUAGCAUGGGCUGCCUAAGACCCUAUCAUAGACUCUAGACCUUGUCUUUGGACUUGAGUUGUGAAUUAUGGAACUAUAACGUGCUAUCAUCAAUUUGUAUUUAUAUACUGCAUAACAACUCCAUAUUACAAAAUACUUGAUGAUGUUGUACAAAAAAGACCUUUGAGUCCACCACAACGCAAGAUAUUAAUAGAGUACCAAGCAAAAAGUAUAGAAACAAUCUCUCGCAACAUAUUUACUCUCAAAACUUAUCAAGAGAAACUCUAAAACACUCUUAUGAUAGAACCACACUCCAUCUCCAAAUCGAUCUUCACUCCAAGGUUCAAGCCAAGUCAAACUCGUGUUUUGGUUUGGCCACAACCCGUGACGUCAAAACGACACGUCUGAUGACUUGAUCUCUUUCCAUAAAUUUUCGAUCAGAAAAAAAUUCAUUAGGUUACGUGAAAAUGCACACAAUGAUUCUCGGUUAGUGGCUGUGAUAGUACAUUUCCCCGCUUCCCGUUCAAAGAAGGAAAAUAAAAAAACGAACUCGCUGCUCUCCCUGAUGGUGCGAGCGUCUUGGCUCACCGAGGGCACAAGUGUAAUUGCACGAGUGCCUAGCGGCCCCCUCCCCCCGAGACGAAUCACGGCCGUCGAUCAUACCCGGCCCGUGUGUCGGCACACAGUGACCCGACACACGUGCGGAGUCUCCUUUACUUACUUUCCCCCCCACCAGCCAACGACCCAUCCCUGUCUCUGUGGGACCCCACUGCAUAUCCCCAUCCCUGGGCCAUGGGCCCCACCAUACGCUUAUCUCGUAUCUAAUCUCCGCCGAUUUCCAAUUUUUUAUUAAAAAGAAAUUGAACAUAAAUAAAAAUAAAAAGGGAAAAUGACACCGCGAUCUCUAAAAUUUAGCUCAACAAAUAAUGCCGUCCUUGACCUUUCAAUUUGUUCCAUAUGGUCCCUAAAAUUAAUAUCCAACCUAGUUCUUAGACUAUACGGAAAUGUUCAGUACUGCUCUUGAAUAGUUAGGCGUGAUUGAUUUCAAGAUAGGUAAGUUCUAAAGCUGGAACGUGAAUUCUACCUUAUUAUAACCGGUUUCUAUUUUUUGGACCUUGGAACCUAUCAUGUCCUCUAUUUUUUUGGUUUGGUUCGAGGAUUCACUCGAGAAUCUGUUUUAUCUUCUUCUUUUUUCCAUUUUUAUUUUUAUUUUUAAUGAGAUUAUGAGUAACGAAAUGAUUCAAAGUAAAAGAUGAAUAACAGAAAUCCUAAUCUACCAAAAACAACAAUCUGAAUAAGUAGUCAAGUACNNNNNNNNNNNNNNNNNNNNNNNNNNNNNNNNNNNNNNNNNNNNNNNNNNNNNNNNNNNNNNNNNNNNNNNNNNNNNNNNNNNNNNNNNNNNNNNNNNNNUUCGCACCAGAUCCAAAAGGCGAGAAGAGUCUAGUGCUGUAGCUCUUGUUUCUGAAAUUGAACCAAAAAGCAUAGAAGAAGAUUUGUCUGAUGAAAGCUGGAUUGAAGCUAUGCAAGAAGAGCUCAGACAGUUCAGCAUUAAUGAUGUCUGGGAAUUGACAUCCAAACCAAAAGGUAAAACUGUUAUUGGAGCUAAAUGGGUGUUCAGAAACAAGAUGAAUGAGAAAGGAAAAGUCGUACGAAACAAAGCAAGACUCGUGGCCAAAGGAUAUACGCAAGAAGAAGGAAUAGACUAUGAUGAGACUUACGCUCCAGUAGCAAGGUUAGAAGCUAUUCGACUAUUACUUGCGUUUGCUUGUUAUAAGAAUUUCAGGUUAUUCCAAAUGGACGUCAAAAGCGCCUUCCUAAAUGGAUUUAUCCAUGAGGAAGUUUAUGUGGAACAACCACCAGGGUUUGAAGACCCAAAGAAGCCAGACUCAGUCUUCAGACUGAAAAAGGCUUUGUAUGGUUUAAAGCAAGCACCUCGAGCUUGGUACGACAGAUUAAGUAAGUUUUUAAUACAAAAUGGUUUUGUCAAAGGUAAAGUAGAUACGACUUUAUUUAUCAAAAAGGAAAUCAAAAGUUUCUUACUUGUUCAAAUAUAUGUGGAUGACAUUAUUUUCAGAUCUUCAAAUGAAAAUCUGUGCAAAAAAUUUUCUAAGUCUAUGCAGGAUGAAUUUGAAAUGAGUAUGAUGGGAGAAUUAACNNNNNNNNNNNNNNNNNNNNNNNNNNNNNNNNNNNNNNNNNNNNNNNNNNNNNNNNNNNNNNNNNNNNNNNNNNNNNNNNNNNNNNNNNNNNNNNNNNNNNNNNNNNNNNNNNNNNNNNNNNNNNNNNNNNNNNNNNNNNNNNNNNNNNNNNNNNNNNNNNNNNNNNNNNNNNNNNNNNNNNNNNNNNNNNNNNNNNNNNNNNNNNNNNNNNNNNNNNNNNNNNNNNNNNNNNNNNNNNNNNNNNNNNNNNNNNNNNNNNNNNNNNNNNNNNNNNNNNNNNNNNNNNNNNNNNNNNNNNNNNNNCGCAUCAUUAAAUACGUGGCUUCAUCAUCAAGCAUCGGUCUUUGGUAUCCUAAGAAGGGAGACUUUAAUCUUCUAGGGUAUUCAGACGCAGAUCUGGCCGGAUGCAGAAUUGAUAGAAAGAGUACUUCAGGAACUUGUCAGUUGCUUGGAAGCAGGACAGUGUCUUGGUUUUCAAGGAAACAAAGCAUUGUGUCUCUUUCAACAACAGAAGCAGAGUAUGUAGCCUUGGGAAGCUGUUGUUCGCAAAUUCUAUGGAUAAAACAACAGCUAAGAGACUUUGAAAUUGAAGACUCAUGCACGGAGAUUAAUUGCGACAACACCAACGCUAUCAACCUCACCAAAAAUCCAGUUCUCCACUCAAGAGCAAAGCAUAUAGAAAUUCGACAUCACUUUAUUAGAGAUCAUGUUCAAAAUGGAGAUGUUUCAAUUCAAUUUGUUGACUCAAAGAAUCAACUGGCGGAUAUAUUCACAAAGCCUUUGGAGAAAAAUCAAUUUGAGUCUAUUCGUUCCAGACUCAACAUUUUGAGGUAUGAGGAUAUCAAAGUCUAAAGACUUUCAGACUCAGACUUACAAGACUUUAUCUAAAAGACAGUCUUGGUACGUCCAUCAGACUGUAAGUCUUUCUCCCUUGAAUCUUAUCUUGAAAAGGUACGAUCGUCAGACUGUGUUUAAAUUGUUGCUAUAUUUAAUUGACGUAAAUAUUGCAUCGUUUCUUUUUCAAAAGGAAAGUUAUUUUUGAAAUAGCUAUUUUUGCGGAAAAAGACAGUUAUUUUGAACAGGCAUAUUUUUAUUUCCUUUGUGACGUUUCGUUUACCCUUUUUUUUAACCGAUCGUGCACUGUCGAUUCCUCUUCACUUUUCUCCCAAAAACCCUAGAAAGCAUCGAUCCUCCAUUCCCGUUUGUCUUCUUCGUUCAAUCCUCAAAAAAGUUGUCAUCUUUCUUGGGAAAGUCAAGCAAGGAAUCUUCCAAAAACUGAGAAAGAUGUCAUCUUCAAGAAAGUCCUUAAGAAUCGCAAGCAGGGGACCACAGAGAAUGAGUGAGGGGCCUACGCACUUCGAUCUUACUGAAGAUGAAGUGACUCCAGAACAGCAAGUGAGCCCACAACAUUCUCAACAGCGUCAUUCUCCUCCAUCUAGUCCUCAAGGAGUUGAUCAUCAACAACAGGAAGAAAUCAUCGAGGAUGCAGACCCUAUUCUCUUUCAGCGUAAAAGACCAAGACUAUGUUGUGGAUAUGAACAUGCUAGCAGAUGUGUUAGAAGUCGAAAGAGGAAGAUAUCAAACAAACAAAGUUUCCAUUGCUCGGGCCACACUUGAACUAGUGAAGGACAGGAGAACAGAUGAAAAGAUCACCUACUUAAGGAUGGGUGCAUUCAACAUCUUGCUUCACAAGAUUGUGAUUAAUUGCCUCUGACCGAAAUCAACUUCUAAGACUGAUGUCUCAAGUUCAGAGGCCAAGCUGAUGUAUGCCAUUCUUUUUGGAAAAAGGUUUUCUCUCCCUCACACUGUGAUGUUUCACAUGUAUAGAGCAAUGAUGAAGGACAGAGGUCAACUCCCUUAUCCAAGCCUUGUUACGAAGUUAUUCAGACAUCUGAAUAUUCAGCCUCCACAAAUCCUUUGUGUUUGACCAUGCGAUCAUAUGGUGGUAGGUCUGAAAAUGGUUACCAAAAUGCGUCUGAAAGAACUGAGCAAGGAGUUGGAGAAAUUCAAGGAGAAGACUCCUGCAAAAUCUCAUCAAAUAUCUUCUGCAGCUAAAAGAAAAGGGAAGGAGCCCAUGGUUGCUCCAUCCAAGAAAAGAAGAGCUCUCAUCGUAGAGGAUGAAGAUGAUGAGGAAGACAUCACCCUCUCUGCAUUGGCCUUAAAGAAUUUAAGUCGUCCUGUUCCACAGCAAGACUCAGAACAAAUGACAAAAGAAGCAGAGGAGAAGGAAGCAGAAGAAUUAGAAGCUGAAAAAGAAACAGAGGAGGAAAGACCAGAAGAAGAAAGAAGAGAAGAAGGAGAACAUGAGGAACACUCUUCUCCACCUGUAGGCAUGAAAACAGGGGGAGAUCAGGAGAAAGGAGUGAAGUCUUCAUGUCCUGAUGCAAGUGAAGGAGUCAGUCGCUCACCAGCAGACCUAGAGGAUGUUUAUGCAUCUCAGUUUCCAGAAGAAGGUCAUGAAGUGUCAUCGCCAAAUCUACAAGAUUAUGCUGAUCUACCAUCGUCUGCAUUUACUCCAUCAGAUCGAGCCGAAGCAAGUACUCAGACUGAUAAUGGAGCAGAUUUUCGCAGAAUCAUGGAUAUUCUCUUAGAGAUGCGAUGUCAGAUUUAUGCCUUGGGAUGCGAAGUUCAAAGCUUGAAGAAUGAAGGUCAAGCUUCUUCCUGUUCAUUAAAUGAUCAAAUGCAAGCCCUCUCUAUUCAGAAUCAGUCCAAUGCCAAGAGUGAAGAGAUUGCACAACUAAAGGAAGACUUUAAGAGGCUGGAAGGCAUCGUUCAGUCUAUGGAAGAUUUCCAGCUUGUCCGCGUUCCCAAGCAAUCUUAACUUCAUCUCAUCCUUUUUAAUGAUGACAAAAAGGGGGAGAGAUGCAAGAUUUGAUCAAAAACUUUUAAUUCAUUAAUCUUUUUGUUUGUUGGAUUGUUUUGAGGUUUAUGGUUUGAACAUGUUUGACUUUGUUUUGUGUCUGGAUGAGAACUUAACUAGACUUAGACUUGACUGCUUCUAUUAACCAAUAUUGAUAUCUUAUGAAUGGCUUAAUCAUAUACUGGACUAACCUAUUUUCUGUGGUUGCAGAUUCUAGUGUUAUUCUGUUAGCCAUUUAUUUCUAUAAGAUAUGCAUAUGUGUUUGAGGAAUGUUUUGCAGGUCAAAGAUAUCCAAAUCUGCAGGAAAGUUUUGUCACCAUAAAAAAGGGGGAGAUUGUUGGAGAAAUCUUCUUGAAGUGUUUUGAAGUUGACAAAACGUUUCUAUCAGUCUAGUCUGAAGGCUUGCAGACUCUGCUAUUUAAAGUCUAAAGACCUCCGGACAGCCAGACUCAAGACUCAAAGUCUAUCCUCAUUGACAGUCUCUAAUCCGUUGAAGAAAGGCUAUCUAGAACUGGAUGUUUCGUUGAGGAUUUAACCUUAUCAACUGGAGAAGAUCUCGUGGCUGGAGAAGACAUAACGGAGUCCUUUGAUUGAUCGAAGAUUGACUCGAUAAUUAAAGAUCCGGUGAUUGCCUAAAUAUUAGUAGAAGGUUCUGCUUAUGGAAACCGAGAUCUUGAUUGUAUGGGCGAACAGGAUUGAUGGGCUAUCAACACGUUCCUUUUAUAGCUUGAACAAUCUUCCUAAUUGAUUCCGUCCAACGGGUAGAUUGGAGGAAUUCCUUUUGUAAGUGCCAACGGGUAUGAUGGCAUAAAGGAGUAUAUAAGGAAGACUGUCUUAAUUGUUCAAGGUGUGCGCGAUAGAAGAAUUCCAAAGUCUGAAGCUCCUAUUUGUUUAGAUAAAUCCUUUGAGCGAAUACUUGUAUACAAAAGAGAGUCUAUAUUUGUGAGAGACCUUGAGGGGGUGUGGUAGAACAUCUACACUGUGGAAUCAAGGCAAAUAUGUGCUGUAACUUCUCUUUUGAUCAUAGUAAAAUACAGCCGGUGGGCUGUCAGUGCGGAAGAGUGGACGUAGGCUUGGAAUAAGCCGAACCACUAUAAAUCCUGUGUUUAAUUUUCUCUUCCUCAUUCUCUCUACCUUGAUCGUAUUUCAUUUUGUUACUUAAGAGAGAAUUUACUUUCUAUCAUUUGCUAAGAAUCGCUUCCGUAUAUCGAUAAAUUGUUUAGGCACCUAUUCACCCCCCUCUAGGUACUCAUACUAGCAAUAUCAGUACUAACGUCUUGUGACCCUAAGGUGAUGCUGCCAAGGUGGCACGAGCCCACCUAAUGUGCUGGUGCCGCACAAUUCUAGGUGGCGCAAUGCAGAAUCCACAUGAGUAGGCAACUUGAUGCCUGACUCUCUCUAAGUUACAUCUAGCAUCGAGUGACCCUCGGCGAGUUAGAUUUGGUGUGGAGCAACCCUUGGUAAAGUUUGCCGAUGUCUGCCAACCCUUGGUGGAGUUGUGCCGGCAUCCCUCAGCCUCCUCCGCGAAGCUUCCCAACCACAAUCGACCAUGACCUCUAUCCAAGAUUGAGAGGGGGGUAAAAUAGGAAUACUACUAUAUGAGUGAUAUCAAGAUCUGAAAAACAAGACUAUUAAACUUCUAAACAUGCGUUUUGAAAAUACCAGAGCCCAAAGCUGGAGUUCGCCUUGAGCCUUGGCAAUUUUCAAAGCAAAACUUUACAAAAAUUUGAAACUGCGUUACCCAAUGCCAAAACAGGUCCAAAACCACUUGUAAAUGCUCUCCCAAAGGCAUUUAAUUAUCUUGGCUCGGUACUGGCAAAAGUGUAAUUUUAUAAGUGCUCACCCUGUCGGCCUCCUAAGUCGGUCCCUCCCCCAACAAAUACCACCGGAUCAUGCUCUGCCCGUCUCAUCAUGUACUUUCAUUUCCCACCCAUCGACCUGUCUCUCUGAUUGGGCCCUAUUGCGUCUCCCCAUUCCUGGGCCCACUACAAAAACUCUCCAAAAAAAAAAAAUUGACUCUUAAAUUAUAUGAAAAUCUCCAUUUUUUUUUUGCCGCUUCUUUUUUUUUUUUUUGUCAAACAAAACUUUAUUAAAUAUCAAAGUACUUCGAACACCAAAGCUCACAAUUGGGCAUCAAAUGAUAAACAAAGCAGAUCUUGAAGGGAUUGAGGGGGAUGAAUUAUCUAAUUAGAAGGUAGAGUUUUUAGUCGAUAAGCCUUUUAGUUCUAGUUCGCUAUUCUAUUGGACUCUCUUGGACAAUGGGCUAAGUAGGUAUGCUUGAAUUGGCCCAUAAUCUUACGAGCUUAUGUAAUAAGAGCACGUGUUUCCCACUUACAUUGAUUUAAGCCGUUAACCAUGUGAACUAAAGACUUGCAGUCGGAUAUGGUUUCUUCCUUCUUUGCUUCGAGGACAGAGAGAGAGCUGUGAGCAGACCUAGGGUUUCGACUUGCAUCGCAGACGACGCUGGUACCGAUCUUGCCGUUCCGUCCACCAAAUUUCUGGACGCUUCUCGGAUAACACAGGCAACGUUCACAACCCCAAGCGAUGUGCCAUCAAGGUCAAGCAAAUCCACACAAUGCAUCAUUUGUGUUGUGCGACCCUGAGUGACGCAACGCCGAGGCCACCCGCUAGGCAACACGACACUUGAGCUUCAGUGAGCUAAAAUUGGCAUUGAGCGACCUUGACCAAGCUUCCCAGCAUCGUGCAACUGUUGACGAGCUAGAUCUAGGAUCGAGCAAUUCUUGACGAAAGUUGUGGACUUAUCUUGAGCUUUGAGUAUUUUAAAAAAAAAAUGUACAAAAAAAUCUUUGAAAUUCUAUUACCAAAUGUCAAAACUUUGAAUCAAGGGCAUUUGGAGGUCCAAAAAGGUUAAUUUAGACACUCAAAAUUUUUUAACGGCUAAAUUAGAUGGGAUUGAAACGGAAGGUGAAAUUGGAAUAUACUAAAAUUGCAUUUAUAUUCUCCAUCAGCUUACAUUAAAAUUCAAUGAUGUAGAAAUGACAUUGCCUAUUUCUAAACCCGACAUCCUAAGCUAAAUAUGAGAUUACUAUAGUCUCCACACAAGUGACCUAAUCACAUUCGAGAGAAUGAGACGUCAAAUGCUCAUUCAAGUGUCCAUUGUGGGCUAAAACAUAAAAAUGCAAAUAAUAAUAAUAGGAAUAACAAUAGAAAGACAGUAAUGAUUAAAAAAAAAAAAAUCGGCCGAGGGGCUUAGCCCAUUUAUUUUCAGCAGGCUGUGGCCCUCAACCCAUCCUUUACUUCCCGUUGAGCCCAUUUCUUUUGUUCCUUUUGUUCCUUUUGUUGUCCUCAAUAGCCCAUCUGAACUUAAAACAACAAGAAGGCCCAGCCCAUAUCCCAGGCUCCUUCUCUUGUGCCUGCUCUCGUCCGUGAGCGAAGAAGACGCGAGCAGUGACCGAGCAAGAGAGGCGUCCGUGGGUCAGUCUGUGAGAGAACAACGAGAGAGAGAGGGGAGGAGGACGCUCGACGACAUGGAGAGUGCUUGCUCGACGAUGUAGGUGAGCAGGGGAGCUAGCUAGCUCGAAUGGGAGAGAAAGGGAGAGUGCAUCCCGUUUCGGAGUAGCAGAAAACCGCAUCGCCGGAGUUCGCCGUCGGUUUUCAGAGCUCCGGUCAACGGCCAAUCCGUGAGUUGUUCUUCACAGAGUCGGUGUCGAAGAUCAGACGAAUACUGGGAUUUCUUCCGCGAGCGGAGGAAAAGCUCUAACCAGAAGCCCUUCAUCGUCGUCAAUCGAGACCUCGAUUCGCCAAACAAACCUGGUACAAUCUCGCUUCAAACGCUCUACUUUGUCUCUGUUUUGGCCGAGAAAGACAUGCUCGGUUCGAUCGAUUUUCUUGAAGAGAUCUUGAUAAGACGAAGUUUCUUUGUUGCUAACCAUGGUGUUUUAAGUCUUUUCGUAACGUGUGAGGCUCAGGAUCUAGUUAAAAUUAAAACAGAAAACCAUUGAAAAGUCUGCGUAUUGCAUGUUUGACAAAAUGCCUAAAAGAGCGCCGAAUGUCAAGUCGCGUAUAAAUUCAAGAUCGAUUCGUUUUUUCCGUGCUUUUUGUUGAAUCAUAUCUACUACUAGCAUUUUAUCUGUGUUUCUAUGCGAUUUGAUGAAAAAUCUUUACAUGAGUCCAACGUACAUGCCUAUCUCCAAGGUCAGAAAGCUUUUUCGUCGGAGUAUCCCCUCCCACCAGCGAAGUCAGCGUUUCAGGGACAUACUAGUUAGCCCAUCUCACUUCAUUCUAAUGUAUUUUUGCUUGUUAAUUUGUUGGGAUAAUGCGGUGAAAAGUGUGGAUUAGGUAGGAUGGUUUUUGUUAAGUUUCGCGAUAAUGGAGCGGGCGGCCAGAGGUGGUCAACGUCGGUCGGAAUAAAUGAUCGGCGGUUGGAGAUAGAUGGGCGGUAAUCUAAGUUCUGGUGAUAAACUCGUCAACGAUGGUAUUUGUUUCGUUAAAAAUAAAAAAUGGCGCGAAAGGUGGGGUUGCCGGUUGAAAAUGGCGUUCGGAUAAAGGAUGUCCGGAAGAAGAAGAGGAAGUGCAGGCAGAAAAAGACAAAAAGAAUUUAAAAAAAAAAUUAAAAAUCCAGUUUUAAUCCGACGCGGGUCAGAUACGGGUAUAAGGGUCGGGUCAAUGGGUCGGAUCGGGUAAACAGUCCGAACCCAUUCCCCGCAUAUAUUAUUAAAAAUAAUUAUUAAAAAUUUAAAAAAUCCAAAAAAUCAUUAAAAAUUUAAAAAAUUAGGAAAAAAUUUAUAAAAAUUCAGAAAAUGAUAAAAAAAACUUAGGAAAUAAUAAAAAUUUAGAAAAUUCGAAAAUCAAUAAACUAUCAGGAUUUUUAGAUAAUCAUUAAAGAUUUUUAAAAUCUGAAAAAUAUUAAAAAAUAAAAAAAAUCGAUAAAAACAUUUAAAAUAUUGAAAAAUGAGAAAAUUCAUAAAAAUUUAGAAAAUUCAGAAAAUCAUUAAAAAAUUAGAAAAUUCAAAACAUAUUAAAAAAACAGAAAAUUAUAAAAAAAUUAAAAAAAAAUUAGAAGCCCUUAGAAAUUGAAACCCAUAUUUGGACAAGUCUUUAGAGUUUUACAAUAGGGUUCUUUAGUGGUUUGGAAUUUUUUUAAAUAUUUUUUAAGGAACAAUAUUAGGAAGCUUGUAUGUUUUCUUUUUAUUAUACUCGGUUGUACUUUUUAAUAUAUUGGAUGUUAUUUCUUUUGUUUUAGAAUGGUCAGGACAAAACUUAAAUUUUUUCGAUAGGUUGCUAUAGCAUUAAUUAACAUAACCAAGUUAGGUACUAAAAGGGCGUUAGUCUUAGGGCUAAUGUAAUUAAAUCCACGAGUCUAUAAUCUUUGAUUGUAUAAAUAAUAAGAAAUUCUCCUUUAUCUUACUGAUUUCUAACUGCCCCCAAAAAACCUAGUGGCCACUUUUUUGUUAAAAUUUACAUAGGCUAAAUUGAUUGAAAUUUUCAACAUUUAAAGUCACGGAUGGUAUGAAUUUGAGAGAGCUAGAGUCAAGGAAUGGUCAUCGGCCUUAAGUUGAGAAUCUUCCUAAACCUAACAAUGAGUUAGGUCACGACAAGUAUAUACUAUUUUUUCAUUCAAAAAUAUAUAGUUUAAUUCACAUCUUAUGCAAGGAGAGCAAGAGCAACACCAUUGAUAGAAAAUGAUUAAUAAAACCUUAAGCAAUGUACCGAUUUCUAUUUAUAUGUUGGAUCAUUCCAUUUUACCAGCCUUCCUUAUUGUUGUGAUUUAUUUUGAGUUAACAACGUUUGAGAACAAAAUCCAAAAGGAUGACUACAAAAUUGCCACACGAAAACCAACAAAGCGCGAAGCAAUGUUGGGCAAAUUCACGAGAAAAAUCCUGGGGCGAUCCGAUUUGAAACAAGCUCAGGUCAAAAUGGGCCUCUUAAGACUGAAACGAUGGGCCGUUUCUCUUGCUAGCUUAAUUGGAACAUGAAUGAAAAUAUGGUUUGGAUUCGCUUUACAUUUCAUGAAAAUUUUCUUCCCUACUUUUUAAAUUUUUUUUUGUUCCCAGCAUCAUGAUGAUGAUGAUGAUGAUAUUAUUAUUAUUAUUAUUAUUAUUAUUAUUAUUAUUAUUAUUAUUUAGUUUUUCUAAGUUCUAAACUGGCCAAAGAAAUAAAUCAUGUGCUAUUGUAGUUGAUCAGUGCGGUUAAUUCACAUGAUUUUACUUUAAAAAAAGCUAAAAGUAACUCUAUUUGAGUAUUUGGUAAAUUCUCGAAUGCAGAAUUUGGUGUCAGCUAAGCCCGAAGUAAAUUUUAACGCAUCCCGAUCAUGUAAAAUGCUUUGACAAAGCGUUCGUUCAUAUUAGUAGUCUUAACUAGUAUCUUUAGGGCACUUCUACACUUUUAAACACAAUUUUUUUAUGUUAAUUGUAAUAAACUCUUCAUUUAAAAAAAAAUCAAGGGAUUUUAUUUUCGCUUUAUAAAAAAUUAGUUCGCUCUUAAAUUAUAAUGCGAUGGUUUUCAAGUGGAACCCAUGUUAGGAGAUCCCUCGGCAAAUCGACAGCCGUCAAGUUCAGAUUUUGGAUGAAUAACGGCAUAGGGAAGGGAAAGAAAAAUAAAAAAUCAGAUAAUUUCUUUUUCCAUAACAGUCUCCAAGCAAUAAUGAACUUCAUCUUAGGAACCAUAUGAAGAAAAUGACACCCAGUCACAACUGGAAGACCUAUCUGAAAUUGAUUGCUAGGAAAUAACUUGGCCAAAAAAAUCCCAUCAAUUAAUCUAUCUCUAUCUAGUUCUCAUAGAAAAAUGUCAAAAGUAGAUUAAUCUUUGAUUUCGAAUCUUACGUCAGUGAUAGCCACGUUGAUGACUCAAAGCAUUCUCAGUCACGUCAGGUUUGGACCAAGGCCUUUUUCUAGACAAUGACUUCUUGACAAUAUUUAUCAUUCCAUAAAUAUCAUCAAGGGGUCAAAAAAUUCAAAGAAACAAGGGAAAAAGACUAACGCGAAAGAAAUUGCAUAUAUUUUCAUUUUUUAUAUUUGUAGUAUAUUUACUUUUUAGUAUGUAAUCCUCUAAGAAUCAAGCUAUUUGACGGUCAUAGUAAAUACUCUGUUGUCCCACUCUUAAUAGAGCAUGUCCCAUAUUUAUUGUUUGUCUAGACUAAUCUAUCUUCUGUUAAUUGUGAAUUUAAAUGAAUAACAAUAAUUUUCAUAGUCUGUCAAAUAGUUCCCUCGAAGUGCUUCUAAAAGGUCUCAUCUAUUCUAUUAUUCGCCUAUUGCAUAUCAAGUUUCAGCAUAGUUGGCAACUUCUUAUUGCUUGCAUGCACUCUUAGAGGGCAACAUCUCCUGAACAAAGUAUAUUGUCUUGAAUUUGAUGGCUACUGACAAAAGCAUUUUGUUCUAUGCAGAUAAUAUCCAAAACUAAUGAUUUUAAUCUUUUUUUUACCUUUAUUUUUUUUGGUGACCCAAGAACCUCGUACAGUCGGCAGACGACGAGUAAACCUGGGGGGGACACGUAAGCAAGAGGACCCACCACCCCUGACGUUCCACUUAAGACCCCAAGCGAUUGUGAGGGGAUUCGAACUCCUCCCCUUCGUGAGGGGGAUUCGAACUCCUCCCCUUCGUGAGGGGGAGAGAGCCCAAACCAUCGCGGCCACCAAGGCGGUGGUAUGAUUUUAAUCUAUUGGUCAUAACUUUAGAUAUAAUUUUGUAGACAAAAUUACACAGACUAAUGGGAUGAAACUAUUUCAGCUUUUCUAAGUAGGGCAUUUUGGGAAUAAGUAUAAUUUAGGUUUUAUCUGCUUUAGCAUUUAAGCAUCCAGUGUUCUAAAAGCAAGUUACUUCUUGAAAAACAUCAUGUUGAAUGUCCUCCUAGUGAUGUUUGAAAAAAUGUCCACUUAAACCAUCGGGACCGGGGGCUUUGAGAGCUCCUAACUAGCGUACAGUUUUUGAAAUUUCUAGUAUGGUGACCUCAGCUAUCAACCUUCAAUCCAUAUCUUUCAAAAAUAAAGUUGGAAUAUGUUCAAUAAUUGGUUGGAAAUUCCUUUGUCUUGACGACAUAGAUAAACUCUUAAAGUAUUCCACCAUCAUUUGCUUUGGAGCAUUAGGUUCAUGUGUCCACUCCCCAUCAGUAUUAGCAGUAUAGAGAUUCUAUCUUCCUAUCUCCUUGAAUAGUUGUUGCAUGAAAAAUUUUGGAGUUUUUUAUCCCCCAUUUCAACCAGCUAAUUCUAGAAUGCAUGCCCCAAAAAAAUUUCUUCGCUUUUCCACAGUGAGCCAAUUUCAUUUUUUCAAUUUCGAUAUCUUUUCUUUACUUUGGGAAAUAUCUGGGCUGUUUGUUAUAUUUUUUAUUUCCUGCUUUAGUGUCUCAAUUCUCCUAUGAGCGCUUUAAGAAUUUUUUCCUACUCCAAGAUGCAAGGGUUUAGGUUGCUUUUUCACAAUUUAGUUAUUAAAUCAGCUCCUUCUCGCUUGGGAGAUAACCAAACCCCAUUGACAAUAUUUCCAUACUCCUCAUCCUCCAAGCACUAUGUUUCAAAUCUAAAUUCUUUUGCUUUUUCUACUGGUUGUGGGAAUAAUCUAAGCAAGAUAGGACUAUGGUCUGACCAACUGCAAAUAAAGCAAAGACUUCCGUGUCUAGAAAAGCACUAUAUGUUCAAUCAUGCAUAAGACUCUAUCUAGUUUCUUUUUGACAAAUUCCUCCCCUUCUUUAUUAUUAUCCCAAGUAAAAGCACAUCCCUUGCUUUCCACUUCUAUAAUAUCACAAUUGUUUAGGAAGUUUCUAAAUGCUACUAGUCAAUAAUUUUUAGCCAUCCUCCUCCUCAUCUUCUCCUAAGGAUAGAGUAUUUCAUUAAAAUCCCCUACAUAAAUCCACAGUAGAUGGUUCGGAUGUUUAAUACCUUCCAGCUCCUUCCAUAACAUUUGUCUAUCAUGAAAUACAUUGGGUGCAUGGAUACAAGAUAUAUGCAUUCGUAACUUAUGAUCUUUUUGUUCACAUAUUAUAUCAAUAAAAUCUAUCAAUAUUUUGCUUCAUGGAAAUUGCUAUCGUGGAUGCAAGUACUUUCCCUCUAUGAGGGCACGUCUUGUUAAUAUCUUCUGACAGGGGAAGGGGAAAGGAAAGAGGAGGGGGGACCACAUUGGAGCCCUAUUUAUCAUUUUCUCAUUUUUUAUUUUUUAAAAUUCAUUUUAAUAUAUUUUACAAAAGUCUAUGCUUGAUUUGUCAACUAAAACUUAGGUGCCAAUAUUGACGUGUGGACAAUAUUUUUAUUUUUUAUUUUUUAUUUUUUAUUCACAUGCCAACUAGACUGCCGGCCGCGAUGGCGGCUUGGGCAGUGGAGAAACCAAGCCCAGGCAGAGCAUAGGUUGAAGCAGGGGGCGUAAAGGAGAAAAAGAUUUUUUUUUUUUUAAUUUCAAUGUCAAUAUCCAUACGUCAAGAUCUAACUGGAUAUUAAUAAACAAGUGACCGCCAUAUGAGACGUUGACGUGGCGCUUGCAAACCGUUGAAUAUUUUUUCUCCCUAUCGCGAUGACUAGACUUAGGUCGCUUGCGAUUACACUGAUGCCUCAAAAGUGGACCAAGAGACACCAUCCGCACGGGUGAUCGCGUGGGCCGCACCCGAGAUCUCGUGGCCAGAUUUACAGACCCCAGCGGCAGUCUCUGUCUCUGAGUCCCUGGCCGAUUCUUCAUCGGUCCAGCUUCUGUUUCUGAGUUCUUUCUGCUUCCCUGGCUUUCUCUCUCUUCUUACUUUCUUCUUCCUCCUCCUUCAUACUCCUUCAAAACGAUAGUCAACGCAGAACCGCCUGGCAGCUACAAUCCUAGAUCUCUCUAUCUUCUCGCCCUCGACACCGUCAGGGCCGGGCGAUCCAUCGUCGUUACGGGUCAGCUUCGUUUAUUUUUGCACGUCUAUGGUUUUCUGGUGAUCCCGACGUCGAUCUCGGCCUCUACACCCUCGCCGCCGCGUGUUCCUUCCCCGUCCAGCAGCAUAUUUAUCUGAAAUCGAAAGCUGAAAACGUUUUCACCAACCAAAUGGCCCUGAGAGCACUUGUUUCUUUGAAGCGAGCGAGAACUAGAGCCAGGGCAUAGGGAAGAGAUCGUCGACUUCACUGCCGAUCGGGGAAGGGCAACCCCCGAUCAGAGGCCGCCCAGCAUCUCCAAGAGUAAAGCCCACUUUGUUUCAGCCUUCAGCCCUUGAUUUUCUUAGCAAGAUUCUCUCUCUCUCUCUCUCUCUGUUCCGAAGCUUGGCAUUCUAGAGAAGCACAUAUACGGUAUACCAUCAGCUAUUCUAAUGGCUGCUUCUUCGAAUAUGAAAAGGAAUUAUUAGCAUGUGUUCCUCAGUUUCAGAGGAAUAGAUGUCUGCCAUGGCUUCCUCAAUCAUCUCUACGCCGCUCUGGACCAGAGAGGAAUAUACACUUUUGUGGAUAGCGAGGAGCUUAGGAAAGGAGAGGAAAUAUCGCCGACGCUCGUGAGGGCGAUCGAGGAAUCGCGCAUCGCCAUCAUUGUCUUCUCUGAGAACUACGCCUCCUCACCGUGGUGUUUGGAAGAGCUCUUGAAAAUCAUAGAGUGCAAGGAGCAAAAUGACCUGAUGGUGUUCCCAGUGUUUUUCAAAGUGGAACCGAGAGAAGUGAGAGGGGGGAGAGAGAGUUAUAAGAGAGCUAUGGAUAACCAUGAGUCCAACUUUGGGAAGGAUUCGGAGAAAGUGAAGAGAUGGAGCUCUCCUUGAUGCUGGUAAUUUGUCUGGGUGGCAUUUCAAUGACAGGUACGCACAAAUGUGAUGCAAUGCUUUGCGAUUGUUAGCUCGUGAUUGUUUGUUAGAUAUCAAAUCGUAUGUAUAGCUUCGAAUUGCUGAAACGAUGUAUCGAGUUCUUUGAAUUCGCAGUAGACACAAAUGUUGAAAGCCAAAUUUCAAGCUAGCAGAAAUUUCUGUCUUAGAUGAGUAGUGUGGUUCCUAGGACCCGAGUAAUUAGUGUCUUCAGGCGCAGAUUCUUUGUAAUUUUCCUUCCGUGGACGUUGGCGCAGGUGUGUGUUAUUUCUUUUCAUUUUAUUAUUUGUUAAUCUUCUUAUGAAAUUUUCCUUAUGACGUUAGACGUUGAAUUACUGCCAUUGCUUGAAAUGGAAAAACGUGUUUCUAUUUCUUUUGAGUGCUCAUCAGAGAUGAAAGAGAUGAAGCGGAGCUCAUACAGUCCAUCGUCAAGGAAUUAUCAAUUGUCUCAAACCAAGAUNNNNNNNNNNNNNNNNNNNNNNNNNNNNNNNNNNNNNNNNNNNNNNNNNNNNNNNNNNNNNNNNNNNNNNNNNNNNNNNNNNNNNNNNNNNNNNNNNNNNGUUUAGUUGUAUACUCCUAAUAACAACAUUAAGUAUCUUCGUAUAGUGUAGGAACUAACUUGAAUAUAUACUAACAUUUUAAGGAUCAUAUUAAAUAAAUUAAAAAUUCAAAGACCGUUUUAUAAUUUGGUCCAAAAUUCAAAGACUAUUUAUGUCAUCAUCCAAAAUGGAUAUCAAUAUCCAUUUUAAAAAGGGCCAUUUGAUUUUAAGUUAGCAAUUUUUUUUUAAUAUUAUCAAAGCACUAUUAAUAACCCGAAAGUCCGCCCCCACAUUAUCGCUAUCUCCCCCUCUCUUAAAGUCUCAAAGCUCCAAAGGAAAAAAAUAUAUAUCAACAGCUCAAAGGGAGCCACUUUUGUCAUCCCCUUUCUUUCUCUCCCGCUCAGAGCUUCUCACUCAACAGCAAUGCACUACGCCUACAUCACCCCCUCCCAAACCCACCACGGCCACGGCCCAGCCACCCCCAAGUCCCCCUCUGCCCCGGCGGCGGCGGCGGCGGCGGCGGCGGCUGCGACGACGGCGUCGUCGGCGUUCACGGUGAUCUGCGUGCUUCACUCCCUGAUCGCGCUCUUCUGCGGCUCCCUCAUGAUGUUCCACGCCCGGGCCAUCUACUCCCUCGGCCACGGCACCGACGCCGCCGGGCGCCUCCUCGGGUCCACCCCGCAGGACCGCCUGCUGAUCCGGACCUCCGACUCCUUCGCCGGCCUCCUGCUCCUCGCCAUCGGCCUCCUCCUCCUCAUGGUGUCCAACAUCAAGGACCGGGAGUUCCAGGACUUCUUCGCUAAGGGCUGCAUGGUGCUGCACGUGUUCGUGGCGGUGUGGAGGGUGUCGUUUGAGUGAGGGGUGGAGGACCUCGCCGGGGACUGCCUCCGCCAGACGGUGGGGGACUUCCUGCUGGCCCUGUCGUGGCUCCUCUUCGUCGUCUACUCCUGGAGGGAGAAGUACGACUGACCCGAAACGGAAUCACGCGUAAUAAAAAUGAAACAAAAUCUAAUUUUUAAUCUUCAAGGAGUUGAUUGAGUAGGUGAGGAUUUGAUUCAUAAGACAAAUCCUAUAUUUAGUUGCAUACUCGCCACUGAGAAUAACUCUUAAGGGGUCAUGCUCAUGAUCAGUGGCCCGUUGAUGAAGUCUUAUCGGACGUGAUUAAGACAAUUUGCAUGCAUUCAUAGGGUUUUAGUCAAGUGAAGAUUUGCAUCCGUCGUUAUAAUUUUUUUUUUCCUGUAUACCUAAUUUUAAUUAUUAUAAAAAUUCCUCUAUAAGUAUGCCGCUUUCAAUUGAAACUUAUCAAUUUGUUUGGUUUAGGGGAAAAUUCUUUAAGCUAAGAAAGCGUAAAACAAUAUCUCGCUAAUCAUCUAGUGGACUAAAUAGAUGUACACGGAGUACAAAAGUGCGGGUUGAACAAAUGGGUUAAACACCUGCACACAAAAGCUGCGGUGCAAAUCCAAAAGAAUUGUCCAACCUUGCUAACGUACGGGAAUCUCGUAGCCGUACCGAAUCUCCACUCUUUCAAUGACCAUUUCAUGUCGCCAUAGCUCGUAAUACUGUAAAUCAAUUUUAGUGAUGUAUCAUAACAAUAUUUUACUUUAAUUACAAUGAUAUGUUGUAACAAGUAACAUAGAAGUCACUCUAACUUAGGAGUUUGUCAUCAAAUGAGAAGGAUACAUUGAAAGACAAUUAAUUUUUCUAAUGUACCAUGCCAAUUGGGAAAAAGAAAAUCUUUCUAUUUACAACACAAAUCAAUUAUAUGAACCAAAAUCAAGUUUAAGUAAAAGUUAAACAGGAAUCUGUCAUAUAAUAUCAAGCGUGAACUUGCUGGUAUUCGGCUAGAUAGUCCUACUAUUCUAGUUGAGUUUAACUUAAUUUAUGUAGAUUAUUUAAUAAUUCUAGAGAGACACAAAAAUACUUAUGAUUCCAUUGCAUAUGAAAUUUUGAGCUCUAGUUCAUUUAUAUUUCAACUUAAUCAAGUUGAAUUCAAGUGAAACUUUUUAAUAUCUCAUUUUUUUUCUUGAGUUGAGUUUGAGCAAGAAAUUUAAUACUUGAUCAAGCUCUGCUUAAGUGUGUUGACACCUAAAUUUUAACAUUUAGACUUAUCAUUCAUCACAUUAUAAAAUAAAAUAGAGCCCGAUCCCUUAAUAAAUAUAGAUAUUGCAUUGCGUUUAGGCAUUUAGACAUUAUAAAGCAUAUCUACAUUGAACAAGUUUCAAUUGAAUUGGCCCCGUCAUGGAUGGCAUUUGAAUUGGCCUAUCGGCUAAAUGGACUCGAAUUUAGGAGAGGGGGAGGCCCUAAUCUUAUUUGAAUUUUCAAGACCAGGCCAAAUUUAAUUCAAGUCCUGUUGAACUUCGGCCAGCACACAAAGUAAAGCAUGCAAGGCAAGGUAUUUCGGCAAAAUGCAUGAUUCUUGGCAAGAUUAUUUGGCGUUCUCAAGCAAGAAAUUCAAUUCUCGAUCAAGCUAAGCUCGAGUGAAGUUUCGAGCGAUCAAACAUGUGAGUCGAGCUUGACAUCGCAUCAGCUCGUCUCAAUGUGAUUAUCAUUCUAUCUCGAGGAGUAGGCCUAGGACGCUAGCGCUUAGACUUGAUACCUCAAAGGUGGGUUGCGCAUCCUUGCGCGUGGACUGAGAGACGCCAGCCGAACAGGUUAUCACGUGGGCCAGUGGCACCUUUUGUCUUCGAGUUCUAGGCCGAUUCUUCAUCGUUCCAGAUUCGUUGGUCGAUUGCCACAUGUUCUGGUGGAUCCUGCGCUUCAGAAACUUCCGUUCUUUCUGCUUCCCUAGCUUUCUCUCCCCUCACUUUCUUCUUUAACAAUAUUCAACUCAGAAACGCCGGGCAGCCACAAUCCUAGAUCUCUUUAUCUUCUCGCCCUCGACACCGUCAGGGCCGGGCGAUCCAUCGUCGUUACGGGUCAGCUUCGUUUAUUUUUGCACUCCUAUGGUUUUCCGGUGAUCCCAACGUUGUCUCGCCCUCUACACCCUCGCCACCGCGCGUUCCUUCCUCGUCCAGCAGCAUAUUUAUCUGAAAUCGAAAGCUGAAAACUUUUUCACCAACCAAAUGGCCCUGAGUCUGGUCCAAUAUUUUCCUGCGAAUGAGACAGGCUAAGAGUGCUUGUUUCUUUGAAGCGAGCCAGAGCCAGAGCAAAGGGAAGAGAUCGUUGACUUCGCUGCCGAUCAGGGAAGGGCGACCGCGGGUCAGAGGCCACCGUGCCUCUCUGAUAGCAAAGCCGACUCUGCUUCAGCCUUAAGCCCUUGAUUUUCGUAGCAAGACUCUCUCUCUCUCUGUUCCGAUGCUUGGCAAUCUAGGGAAGCACAUAUACCAUCAGCUCUUCUAAUUGCUGCUUCUUCGAAUAUGAAAAGGAAUUACCAUGUGUUCCUCAGUUUCAGAGGAACAGAUGUCCGCCAAGGCUUCCUCAGUCAUCUCUACGCGGCUCUGGACCAGAGAGGAAUAUACACUUUUGUGGAUAGCGAGGAGCUUAGGAAAGGAGAGGAAAUAUCGUGGACGCUCAUGAGGGCGAUCGAGGAAUCGCACAUCGCGAUCAUCGUUUUCUCUGAGGAUUACGCUUCCUCACGGUGGUGUUUGGAAGAGCUCUUGAAAAUCAUGGAGUGCAAGGAGAAAAAUGGCCUGAUGGUGUUCCCAGUGUUUUACGAAGUGGAACCCAGAGAAGUGAGAGAGGGGAGAGAGAAUUAUAAGAGAGCUAUGGAUAACCAUGAGUACAAAUUCGGGAAGGAUUCAGAGAAAGUGAAGAGAUGGAAGAAGGCUCUCUUUGAAACCGGUAGCUUGUCUGGGUGGGAGUUGAAUGACAGGUAAGCACAAAUGUGACAAUGGUGUUUAGUGAUUGUUAGCUUGUGAUUGUCUGUUAGAUGUUAGAUCGUAUGCUCUUUUUUGGAUCUUCGAAUUGAAGAUACAAAGUGGAGAAAAAUUACACCGUGGACACAAAAGUCAAAUAACCAAAGCUAGUAGAUUCUUUGAAUUGAUUCUUGCUGUGUGGAUAAUGAGAUUUAUCAAACAUAAAUAGUGCGAUUCAUAGUGCCUGAGUCAUUAUUGUCUUCAGAUUCAGGUUGUUUGUAAUUUUCCUCGCGUAGAUGUUGGCGCAGGUUCACCCACUUUGCAUCUUAUUAUUUGCUUAUCUUCUUAUGAAAUUUUCCUUAUCACGUCAGAGGUUGAAUUCCUGCUAUGGCUUUGAAAUGCUAAAACGGUUUUCUCUUUCUUUUGAGUGCUUAUCAGAGACGAAGCAGAUCUCAUACAAUGCAUUGUGAAGGAAUUAUCGAUUCAUCUCAACCGAACACCCUUACAUGUCGCUAAGUAUCCAGUCGGAAUAGAUUCUCGAGUUCAAGAACUAAUAUGGUUGUCACAAAAAGAGUCGGCUGAUGAUGAUGUUAUGAUGAUAGGUCUAUGGGGACCCGGAGGCAUAGGGAAGACAGCAAUUGCCAAGGCCCUAUAUAAUGCUAUGAUGAGACAAUUUCAGGUUUGUAGUUUUUUGGAGCAAGUUAGAGAAAAAUCACACCGAAGCGAUGGUCUUGUUACUUUACAAAAGGAUCUUCUAUCUGAGAUCUUGGUUCAUCCUUUAACGAUCUACAGUGUCGCCGGAGGAAUUAGUUUGAUACAAGAAAGACUAUGUUGCAAGAAGGUUCUCCUGGUCCUUGAUGAUGUUGACCAUAUGAAUCAACUGAAUGCAUUAGCUGGAAAAGGCAAUUGGUUUGGAAAAGGAAGUAGAAUCAUUGUUACAUCAAGAGAUAAACAUUUACUAAUUUCUCAUGACAAAAAUUAUGUGUAUGAAGUUAAAACUUUAAAAGAUGAUGAAGCACGAGACCUUUUUGGUCAGCAUGCCUUUACAAAUAGCAAUAAAGUAGAAAUAAGAAGGGAUCUCAUUGAUGGAGCACUGCAUUAUGCCAAUAACCUUCCAUUAGCCCUGGAAGUGUUGGNNNNNNNNNNNNNNNNNNNNNNNNNNNNNNNNNNNNNNNNNNNNNNNNNNNNNNNNNNNNNNNNNNNNNNNNNNNNNNNNNNNNNNNNNNNNNNNNNNNNNNNNNNNNNNNNNNNNNNNNNNNNNNNNNNNNNNNNNNNNNNNNNNNNNNNNNNNNNNNNNNNNNNNNNNNNNNNNNNNNNNNNNNNNNNNNNNNNNNNNNNNNNNNNNNNNNNNNNNNNNNNNNNNNNNNNNNNNNNNNNNNNNNNNNNNNNNNNNNNNNNNNNNNNNNNNNNNNNNNNNNNNNNNNNNNNNNNNNNNNNNNNNNNNNNNNNNNNNNNNNNNNNNNNNNNNNNNNNNNNNNNNNNNNNNNNNNNNNNNNNNNNNNNNNNNNNNNNNNNNNNNNNNNNNNNNNNNNNNNNNNNNNNNNNNNNNNNNNNNNNNNNNNNNNNNNNNNNNNNNNNNNNNNNNNNNNNNNNNNNNNNNNNNNNNNNNNNNNNNNNNNNNNNNNNNNNNNNNNNNNNNNNNNNNNNNNNNNNNNNNNNNNNNNNNNNNNNNNNNNNNNNNNNNNNNNNNNNNNNNNNNNNNNNNNNNNNNNNNNNNNNNNNNNNNNNNNNNNNNNNNNNNNNNNNNNNNNNNNNNNNNNNNNNNNNNNNNNNNNNNNNNNNNNNNNNNNNNNNNNNNNNNNNNNNNNNNNNNNNNNNNNNNNNNNNNNNNNNNNNNNNNNNNNNNNNNNNNNNNNNNNNNNNNNNNNNNNNNNNNNNNNNNNNNNNNNNNNNNNNNNNNNNNNNNNNNNNNNNNNNNNNNNNNNNNNNNNNNNNNNNNNNNNNNNNNNNNNNNNNNNNNNNNNNNNNNNNNNNNNNNNNNNNNNNNNNNNNNNNNNNNNNNNNNNNNNNNNNNNNNNNNNNNNNNNNNNNNNNNNNNNNNNNNNNNNNNNNNNNNNNNNNGAAAAAUCGAACCAAAGUGGUGGUCUUGUUUCUUUGCCAAAACGACUUCUAUCUGAUAUCUACGUCAUAAGAAUAACGGUCUACGAUGUUGACGGAGAAAUUAGUUUGAUACAGGAAAGACUAUGUUGCAAGAAGGUUCUCCUAGUUCUCGAUGAUGUUGAUGAUAUGGAUCAACUGAAUGCCUUGGCUGGAAAAGGCGAUUGGUUUGGCAAAGGGAGUAGAAUCAUUGUUACAUCAAGAGAUAGACAUCUAUUAACUUCUCAUGACAAAAAUUAUGUGUAUGAAGUUAAAACUUUGGAAGACAAUGAAGCACAGGACCUUUUUGGUCAGCAUGCCUUUACAAACAGCAAUAAAGUUGAAAUAAGGAGGGAUCUCAUUGAUGGAGCACUGCAUUAUGCUGACGGCCUUCCAUUAGCCCUGGAAGUGCGGAACCUGAAUGGGAAAGUACAUUGCAUAAACUCUCUAAAAUUCCUGAAUCAAAAAUCAAUCGAGUUCUCAAGAUAAGCUUCGAUGGAUUGGACGAGAAUGAGAGGGAGAUUUUCCUUGAUAUUGCUUGUUUCUUUAAGGGGAAAAGUAUAAUAGACAUCAAUGAAGUUCUUGAUAGCUGUGAUUUCAACACAACCAUAGGAAUAGAAAUUCUCAUCGAGAGGUCCUUGAUAAAAAAAUGAGUGGGGUUACCUGCAAAUGCAUGAUUUGAUUCAGUCGAUGGGUCAGGAUAUUGUUAAACAAGAAUGUCGCGAUAAUCUUGGGAAGCGCAAUAGAUUAUGGCUUUUGGAAGAUGUUGAGGACAUUUUUUUAUCAUAAUACGGUAAAAGUUGUUUAUGUUAGUUUUGCUACAUUUGAGUUUAUAUUACUCUAAUUUGGACAGUAUAAUGUAAAUCUUAACUGGAAAUUUUGUCUGACAAAUGAAUUUGCUCUGUUAUGGAUAGGGGACGGAUGCUGUAAAGGCCAUGGUAUUGGACUUGGCCCGACCAGAAGCGAUAAUCAUCAGUCUUGAUGCUUUCGCAAAUAUGAACAAGUUGAGAAUACUCAUUUUGCGUGGAGGUUGUAUCUCUUCACAGGCUCAAGUACGUCUCCCUAACGAGCUAAGAUGGCUUGAAUGGUCCAAUGCCCCGAAUCUAGAAUUUGGCUCUGGUCCAAAUAAACUUGUGAGACUCAAUGUCUGGAAAAGUCAUAUCAAACAUUUAGUGGGCAACUUUCAGGUAAGCACUUGCAAUGAUUAGCUUUUCCUUUUUUAUAGCUAUAAAAAAUAUUUGCAGAGCUUAAUGACUGCACUAGUAUGUUUUUGCAGAAUUUUAGGAAGUUGAAGUCCAUCAAUCUCUGUGAAUGCAAGUCUUUGGUUAGUAUUCCUGAUCUGUCACCGGCUCCAAAUAUGGAGAGAUUGACUCUUUAUGGGUGUGAGAGCUUGGUGGAGGUUCACCCUUCCGUUGGAAAUCUUGCCAAGCUAGAAGUUUUGUCACUAGAAUCGUGCUCUAAUUUUAGUAAUUUUCCUAACACGCUAAGGACUAAAUCUCUUCAAAUCCUUCGUCUCUCUGGUUGCUCUAAACUUGAGAAGUUCCCAGAUAUUGACGGAGAGAUGGAACAUCUGAAAAGACUUUAUCUACAUAGGACAGGUAUUAAAGAACUCCAUGCAUCAAUUCAAAAUCUUAUCUCUAUGGAGUGGAUGGAUUUAGCAUUUUGCGAAAACCUCGUGAGGCUUCCAUCACACAUUUAUAAGUUGAAAAAUCUCAUGUAUUUGAAACUUUCUGGCUGCUCGAAUUUAAUCACAUUUCCCAAAAACGUGGAGGAUUCAAUUGAUCCUGAUGUCAGUCUGGGAUUCCGAAAACUAAAAUUCCUAAUACUUAAGGGCUGCGAUCUAUCAGAAGUAGAGUUCCUUGAGAGUACUUCCAGUUUUCCCAAAUUGGAGCACCUAAACCUUUCAUAUAACAAGUUUACUCAUCUGCCGACAUGCAUCAACAAGUACUAUAGUUUGAGGCGAUUGACGGUUAAGGGAUGCGAGCUACUACAAGAGAUUCCUCAGCUUCCGCCAAAUUUUAAUAGGCUAUCAGCACCUAAUUGCAAAUCCCUGCAAAAACUCCCAGAUUUUCUGUGGGAUUCGGGUGACUCGACUUCAUGUUUAUUAUUCCGCGAAGGAGUCAAUAUGGAUGAUGUGUCUUACGAGGUCUCUCUCUCUCUCUCUCUCUCUCUCUCUCUCUCUCUCUCUCUCUCUCUCUCUCUCUCUCUCUCUCUCUCUCUCUCUCUCUCUCUCUCUCUAUUAUUUACACACACACACAUAUAUAUAUACUUAAAUGCUUGAUAUGCGUACCUUCUGUGACAGAUGGGCUCGCUCGACGUUGUUAUAAGUGGAAGAGAGAUGCCUAAAUGGAUUCAACCCUGUAAAGAGUAUUCCAUAUUUUUCAUGAUUCCACAGGACUUGUAUGAUGAGAUUAAACGACUAGCAUUCUGUGUUGUUCUUAGCCCGGAGGAAGGAAAAGUGGUCAACGUUUUAUGGAAUAUCACAUUAUUUGUUAAUGGCCAAGAAGCGAUGGCUUGGGAAGAAGAACUUUUGUCAAUAGAAUCUGAUCAUGUGUGGCUUUAUUAUGAUUUACACUUUUUUGAACAUUCAGUGAAGGAGCUUUUGCAAAAUGAUCGGAGCCAUUUCCAAGUUUGCUUCAAAGCAAAACAGGGAUGCAUAAAGAAGUGUGGAUUCCGUCUAAUAUGUGAACAAAAGGAGGAUGAUCCGAGGGUGGUGUUCCCAGCACCACCAGCUGAUGGAAGCAAUGUGAACGUUUUCUCAGAAGACUCAGAAGAAGAUAAUUCAACAUAACCUGAGGAAGAAACUCUAAUUGAAACAGAUGCAGAGGAAAGCUCAUCACCUUUAACAAAGAAGAUAAGACAGUCUUAACUACGGUGAGACUUUGGGUUCAAUGUCUUUGCUUUUCCCUUUUCUGGACCUCCACUAGAGAUUUGCAAGUGUCUGCUCCUUCAAUUAGAAUUCAAGAUCAUUAUAAAACAGAGGUUUCGCACCAUGCUACUGACAUGAUUGGGGAACAUUUUUUUUUUUUUUUUGCCUCUGAUUCUUUAUGAUUUUUAGUGCAGAGUGCAUUAACCCAAAAAUUAAGAGGAUGCUUGUUGAAAUGGCCAUGGUCUUCCAAGUUGCGCCAUGUAAUUUUUUAGAUGGGCCUCUGUCGUCUCUCUUAAUCCAAUUCCAAUUAAUGAUGCAGAUACUUCAUAAUUCAAAAUUCUGAGAUAGUAAGUUUUGCUAAAUCUUGUAUAAUCUAUAUCUUUAGGAAAGUGCUGUUCGAAUUGUCUCAAAGAUCAAGAGGUCUAUACAGGGAAAUUUAGUCGAUUCCCUUGUUGUUACUCGGCAGCUUGCAUUGGAUUGGUAUAAAGGGACAGCUCUGGCGUCUGAGACACAUUGCAUUUUAGCAAAGGAGAUUGACUUCAAGGAUAUUCAUGAAAAGUAAACGGUAUUUUUCAAACGCCUUCUAAAAUAAGUAUUUCAAAGCAAUUUUUAGAAUGAGAAAAAAAAAUUAAAAAGGGAGAACAAAGGAACUUGCAGGUACAUAUGAAAGCACAAGCAGGUGGCACAACAGUAGGACCAGUGCCGACCUUGUGCGAACCUCGGCAAUAUGCCGUUGAGGUUAGGCGACACGACACUAAAUGCCAAUGUCCCAUGACCUCAAGUGGCGGAAUGUCGGAGCCACACAACUAGGCAAUGCAAUGCUCAACCCUCGACAAGCUAAAUCUGGCAUCAAGAAAUCUGCAAAGCUUCUGAGAAUCAUGCAACCUUCGACGAAGCUUUACCGCUGUCCAUCAACCCUCGGCCUCCUUCAUGAAGCUUCCUAGCCAUCACCAACGAUGGCUUUCUCUCUCCUAACCAAGAUUGAGGGGGUAAAACAUUAUUACAUAUAUAUAUAUAUAUAUAUAUUUGAUGAUCCGGAAAUCGCCGUACAAUUGGCAGCUGGCAAUGUAAAACCUGGGGUGACGCUAGCGCAUGGACCCAUCUCCCACGGCGCCGCACUUAAGUCGCGCAAUUGCACACGGGUGACUCAAACCUCCCCCCAAUCAGAAUGGGGGAAACGCCUGAGCCAAUGUGCCCACAACGGGGUGGGUAUUACAAAUAUAUUAAUGAUGGUAAGAUUGUAAGAAAAAAAAUUAAUUAAAACUCCCGAACUUGCAUUUGGAAAAUAAUAAAGUGGAGCUUCAAGUAAUUCAAAGCAGAACAUUUCACUAAAAGGUCUUUGAACUUGUGUUACCAAAUAUCAAAACUUAUAUUAAGAGCUUUUGAAAGCCCAAAAUAGCUUAAUUCAAAAUGACGGAGCACUCAAAUUUUUAAAGGCCAAAUUGGACAAGAUUGAAACAGAGGGUAAAAUUGGAAUAGUGUAUCACUCUGGGCGUCCUCGCGAGUCAAAAAAAAUUUUGAUAAAUUAUUUAAGGGUGCCAAUUUAAGAUUUUAUGUGAUGUUAAUCCGAAUAAUAUCUAUGUAUUAUUAUUUUUUCUUUUUUAGCUUUUGAAGAGUUGAGUCUGAUUUAUUUGGCAAGUGAAAUGCUAAGUAACAUUUUAAUAAUUUCCACUGAGAAUAUUAGUAAGUUAAGUUGAUACUAGGAUUGCCGUUAUAUUCUUCAUUGGCUUACGCUAAAGUUCAUUCUCUUUCUCACUUUCUAUCACUAGUCACCCCUCGUUUAAGUCUAGUUGGCCCAAUAUAGUCUAUUUGAAAUGCAAUAUUCAAUAAAGUAGAAAUGUUGUUGCCCAGCACUUUUUGAAGCCAAAUAUAUAAUUACUACAAUCUCCAAAAAGGUAAUCCAAUCACAUUGUUAGAGAAUACAAUAUAUCAAAUGCUCGUUACUAAACUAUUAAUUACAAUCAUUAAGGUUCGGAAUCAUGUACACCGGUAAUAUCUUUUUUUGAUAUUUCACUCAUUGGAUUGUAACACGUAUUCACCUCAAAUUAAAUCUACCACCCACGAUCAAAUACCCAAAUUAUAACAGGAUGGGAAGUGAGAAAGAGUGUGAACUUUAGCACCGGCCAAUGAAUAAUUUAAACACAAUCCUAGUAUGAACUUGACUUAACCAAUGUUCUUCGAGGAAAUUACUUGACAUUUUCACUUGCCAAAUGAAAUGGGACUUGACUCUUCAAAAGGAGAAGAAGAAAAGAAAAAAAUGUCUAUGAUUAGAUAUUAAAUUAAAUUAAAUUGCUCUCAUUGGAAAUUUGUUCUUCUUUAAUUCUUUAAAAUACAUUUAUAUGUGUUUUUUUUUUUUUUAUAAAGAAAAAGGACGGAACGGGAAAAAUACGAUGGGGAGGGACAGAUUCAAGAGAAGCGAAUGGCGGGGGCCAGAGUGAUGGAUACGUGCAGUGGGGCUCACAGAGAGAUGGCUCGUUGGAUAGGAUCGACGGCGGUGAUUUGUUUAGGGAGGGGCCGACUGAAGAGGCCGAAUUGUUUGGCAAUUCAUGCUUUUUUUUUUUUCUCGAUCGACCAUUCAUAUUUAAUUUUUACAUAAACUCAAUUUUGGUUCAUAUGGUCCAUCUGUCCUCUACGUUGAAAAACUUUACUCUUUUUCCAACUGGCAUAAAAAAAAAAUGGGAAAACUCAUUAUUUUUCAAUGUAUCAUUCUCAGUCGAUAACAAACUCCUAAGUUAGAUUCAUUUCUAUGCACAAAAUGGCCCUCGUUUGUGGCCUCCAAUAAUAAAUAAUUAUAAAUUUGAUAUUUUAAAAAAAAUAAAAUGAGUGUACGAAGGAAAAUUUAAUCAUUUUUUCAUACCAAAUGACAGAAAAUAUUUUCUAAUUCAUUUUCAGGUUUUAGGCAAAAACCAAAAAUUUUGUAAUUUUCCUUAAAAAAACUUCUUCCAAGAAACAAAUGGAGGCUUUUUCUUUUAAAAUAUUAUAAAAAUUGUCCACUAGAUUUGUAUUACAUGAAAGUGCUUUAGCAAUACUAUUUUAAAAAAAAUAAGACUUCUUGGAUUUAGUUAAACAAGUCAGGUAUAGGUUGGUAAUGGGUUGGGGUGGGUAUAGGUCAAGAAUUUUGCAUCACAAUAAAUGAGUCAUAAACGGGUUAAAUAAGUGGAUUUGGAUCAAACCAUUUAUGACUCUACCUAAACCCAACCUGACCAAUUCGUUUAACAGGUCUACCUAAACCCAACCCAACCAAUUCGUUUAAUAGGUCUAGUCUUCGAGGGCCACCUGAGGUCUGGAACCUCGAACAACGGCCGCUUAUGUAAACAAAGGGCCAGUUAUUUUUUCUAUUAAUAACAAAAGUCCUUUAUAAAUAUAAUUUUUCCAAAUAUAAUUUUACUCAAAUGUACUUCACAGUGGACUUUUGCAUUCUGAAAAACGCAUUUAUUUUAAAUUUCUUUACAUUUUCCCUAAAGCUUUCCUUAAAAGUCCUACCAUAUGCAACCUAAAUGGUAGACUUGACGACUUCAAGCCAUCAAUACUUAAAUGAAGGGUCACUAAUGCGAUGGAAAGCGAGAAAGAGUGUGAACUUUAGUGCCGGCCAUGAGCUUGACUUAACCAAUGCUCUUCAAGGAAAUAACUUGACAUUUUCACUUGUCAAAUGAAAUGGGAUUUGACUCUUCAAAAGGAGAAGAAGAAAAGAAAAAAAAAAUGUCUAUGUUAAAUAUUAAAUUAAAUUAAAUUGCUCCCAUUGGAAAUAUGUUCUUGUUUAAUUCUUUAACAUGCAUUUAUAUGUGUUUUUAUUGUUUUAUUAUUCUUAAUCAGUGCCUUUUAGGAUAUCUGUUAAUAAAAAUUAUAUUUAUUUAUACUCAAAUUUGCGUUUUUUCUUUUUAAAGGACGGAAAGGAAAAGACGAUGGGGAGGGAGAGACUCAAGAGAAGCGCAUGGUGGGGGCCAGAGUGAUGGGGAUAUACAGUGGGGCCCGAAGAUUUGAUACAUCGACGGCUGUGAUUUGUUUAGGGAGGGGCCAACUGGAGAGGCCGAAUCGUAUGGCACAUUCAUUUUUUUUUUAACCACCAAAAAAAAAGUAGAAAUGAUAUUGCCAAGAAAUUGCCCGGAACUGGAGUGUGGGUAUAUUUACUCGGAGGAAAGGAACGGGGAAGGAUCAUUUUUUAAUGGUGGCUCUAAUGGUAGCUUCCACGGUUUUACUCACAAAGAAGACAAAAAGCGACCAAAAAAAAAAGUAGAAACGAUAUUGCCAAGAAAUUGCCCAGAACUGGAGUGUGGGGAUAUUUACUCGGAGGGAAGGAACGGGAAAGGAUCAUUUUUUAAUGGUGGCUCUAGCCUCUAAUGGUAGCUUCCACGGUUUUACUCACAAAGAAGACAAAAGUCAAAAAGCAACUCUGACAAAUAGAUGUGGACUCGGGCAGAAUCUCCAGUCUCACCGUGAUAGUUCGUCUAGUCAUUCGUUCCAUUGCGUAUCUCAUACUCCACGUCUAUACAAAUACACAUAAGAGCUAGAUCUUGGAAUCCCCGGUCAGAUAGCAAAUAUUCUUAAAGCACAUCAUUCAUCAGCUCUUUCAAUGGCUGCUUCUUCAAAGCCGAAAAGGAAUCAAGUGUUCCUAAAUUUCAGAGGCACAGAUGUUCGUAACAACUUCCUUAGUCAUCUCUAUAUAGCUUUUGCCCAUAACGGAAUACACAGUUUUGUGGAUAGCGAAGAGCUUAGGAAAGGAGAGGAAAUAUCACCGGCGCUCAUGAGAGCGAUCGAGGAAUCACACGUCGCAAUCAUCAUUUUCUCCGAGGAGUACGCUUCCUCACCAUGGUGUUUGGAAGAGCUUGUGAAAAUCAUGGAGUGCAAGGAGCAAAAAGGCUUGAAGGUGUUGCCCGUGUUUUACAAAGUGGAACCAAGAGAAGUGAAAGUGGGGAGAAAGAGUUAUGGAAGAAAUAUGGCUAAGCAUGAGUUAAAGUUCGGGAAGGAUUCAGAAAAAGUGAAAAGAUGGAAGAAAACUCUCUUUGAUGCUGGUAACUUGUCUAGCUGGGAUAUGAAUAACAGGUACGCGGAAAACUUGAAUAACCAAAACUUCAAGCUAGCAGAUUCUUUGAAUCCAAUUCUUAGUGUGUAGAUAAUGAGAAAUGUUGUCUUAGAUAAAUAGUGUGGUUCAUUGCACUCGAGGCAUUAUUGUCCUUAGGUGCAGGCUCUUUGUAAUUUUCAUCGCGCAAAUGUUGGCGAAGGCACGUGUUAUUUCUUUUCAUCUUAUUAUUUGCAAACCUUCUUAUGAAAUGUCACUUAUGACUUUUAGAGGUUGAAAUGCUAAAGGAUGUUUCUCUUUCUUUUGAGUGCUCAUCAGAGAUGAAGCGGAGCUUAUCCAAUGCAUCAUCAAUGAAUUAUCAUUUCACCUCAACCGAAGACCCCUAUAUGUCACUAAGUAUCCAGUUGAAAUAGAUUCGCAAGUUCAAAAACUAAUACAAUUGAUACAACAAGAGUCGGCUGAUGAUGGUGUUCUAAUGAUAGGUCUAUGGGGACCUGGAGGCAUAGGGAAGACAACAAUUGCUAAGGCCUUAUAUAAUGCUAUGGAGAGAAAAUUUCAGGGUUGUAGUUUUUUGGAGCAAGUUAGAGAAAAAUCGAACCGAAGUGAUGGUCUUGUUGCUUUACAAAGGGAUCUUCUAUAUGAGAUCCUAGUUCAUAAAUCUUUAAUGAUCUAUAGUGUUGGCGGAGGAAUUAGUUUGAUACGAGAAAGACUAUGUUGCAAGAAGAUUCUCCUAGUUCUUGAUGAUGUUGACCAGAUGAAUCAACUGAAUGCAUUAGCUGGAGAAGGCAAUUGGUUUGGAAAAGGAAGUAGAAUCAUUGUGACAUCAAGAGAUAAACAUUUGCUAACUUCUCAUAGAAUGAAUUGUGUGUAUGAAAUUAAACCUUUAGAAUACGACAAAGCACGAGAACUUUUUCAUCAGCACGCCUUUCCAAAUAGUAGGAAAGUUGGAAUAAGAAGGGAUCUCAUUGAUAGGGCACUGCGCUAUGCUAACGGCCUUCCAUUAGCCCUUGAAGUGUUGGGCUCAUUCUUAUAUGGAAGGGAGGAAUCUGCGUGGGACAGUACAUUGCAUAAACUCUCAAAAAGUCCUGACCAAACUAUCAAUCGAGUUCUCAAAACAAGCUUCGAUGGAUUGGGGGGUAGUGAGAGGGAGAUUUUCCUCGAUAUUGCUUGUUUCUUUAAGGGGAAGAGAAUAGAAUACAUCAAGGAAGUUCUUGAGAGCUGUGAUUUUGACCCAAUUAUAGGAAUAGAAAUUCUCAUCGAGAGGUCCCUAAUAAAAAAUGUGAAUGGAACCUUACAAAUGCAUGAUUUGGUUCAAUUGAUGGGUAAGGAUAUCGUUAAACAGGAAUGUCCGGAUGAUCCUAGGAAGCGUAGUAGGUUGUGGCUUUUCGAAGAGGUUCAGGACAUUCUACGCGAAUAUACGGUAAUAGUCGUUUAUGUCCAUUUUACUGAAUCUCAGUUUUUACAUCACUCUAAUUCAAAUAGUAAAAUUUAAAACUCAAUAGGAAAUAUUUUUUGAUGACUGAAUUUGCUUUGUUAUGAACAGAGAAAGAAUGCGAUAAAGGCCAUAGUAUUGGACUUGCCUACACCAGAAGAGAUGACCAUUAGUCCUAAUGCUUUCACAAACAUGAAAAGGUUGAGAAUGUUUAUAAUGCCUCAAGUGCAUAUCUUUUCACGAGGUCCAAUAUGCCUCCCUAAUGAGCUUAGCUGGCUUGAAUGGGCCAAUUACUCGGAUCUAGAAUUUGGCCCUGGUCAAAAGAAACUUGUGAGACUCUAUGUCAAGAACGGUCAUAUCAAACAAUUAGGAGGCAACUUUCAGGUAAGCCCUUGUGAUGAUUAGUUUUCACUUUCUAAAGCUAUGAAUAUAUGCGGAGCUGAAUGACCGCACUAGUAUGUUUUUGCAGAAUUUUAUAAAUUUGAAGUCCAUCGAGUUCUGCGAUUGCAAGUUCUUGGCUAUUGUUCCUGAUCUUUCAUCGGCUCCAAAUCUGGAGAGGUUAUAUCUUUUAAGGUGCGAAAGUUUGGUGGAGAUUCACCAAUCUGCCGGAUAUCUUGACAAGUUAAAACUUUUGUCAAUAUCAAGUUGCUCUAAUCUUAGGAUCUUUCCAAACACACUCAAGACAAAGUCUCUUCAAAACCUUGAUCUCUCUUAUUGCUAUAAACUUGAGAAAUGCCCUGAUAUUCCGGAAAAGAUGGAACAUUUACAGCAUCUUGAUCUACAAUGGACGGCUAUUAAAGAACUCCCUACAUCAAUUGAAAACCUUGUCUCUGUAGAGACAAUAAAUUUAGGAUAUUGUGAAAACCUCACAAGGCUUCCAUCGAGCAUUCAUAAGUUGAAAAAUCUCAAGGCUCUCUAUCUUUACAACUGCUCGAAUCUUGCCAUGUUUCCGAAGAACUUGGAGGAUCCAAUUGAUCCUGAUGGCGAUUUGGGAUUCCCAAGUCUAAGUUGGCUAGACCUUUGUGACUGCAAUUUAUUAGAAGUAGAGUUCCUUGAGAGUGCUUCCACUUGUCCUGCAUUGACGCACCUAGAUCUUUCAAAUAAUAAGUUUACUCAUCUGCCGACAUGCAUCAACAAGUAUGAUUAUUGGAAAGACUUGUUUGUUUAUAGCUGCAAGGAAAGCAAAGGGAUCAGUGUGGCUGAUGUUUCACCACUCAAGGUCUCUCUCUCUCUCUCUCUCUCUCUCUCUCUCUCUCUCUCUCUCUCUCUCUCUCUCUCUCUCUCUCUCUCUCUCUCUUAGAUUUGAAUGUUUGAUACGUGUGCUAUAUGUACGACAGGUAGUUGAGAUUCUUGUAAAUGGAAGAGAGAUGCCUGAAUGGAUUCUCCAGUUUAAAGAGGACUCCAUAUCUUUUAUGAUUCCCCCAGACCUACGUGGCAACUUCUUAGGAUUAGCACUUUGUGUUAUUCUUGGCCAGAAUAAAAAACGCACGUUCGAAAAUCUUUUUGAGGUCAGAAUAUUUGUUAAUGGCAAAAGAGAAUAUUUCCGUUUGACAUUUAUUUCUCCAUUGGAAUCCGAUCAUGUGAAGCUUGUUUAUAUCCCAAGCGACAAUAAGCGAGGAGAAGAGAAGCUUCUGCAAAACAAUUGGAGCCAUAUCCAAGUUUGCUUCGGCGCACCAGAAGGAAGCAUAAAGAAGCGUGGAUUCCGUCUAAUAUGCGAGCAACGGGAGGAUGAUCUGAGGGUCUGUUUUCCAACACCAUCAGCCGAUGGAAACAAAUUGGAGUUUCAAGGAAAGAUACUCGAAGACAAUUCUCAAUCAGUGAAGAAGAUAAUCCAGUGGGACUGAACUCAACAAGAAGAUGAGAUGGUCUUAGCGAUGGCGAGAGUAUGGGUUCAACUCGCACCACUUUUUGAGGUAGCGAUUCUUGGGGAUGCGAACUGGUUGAUCUUGAUUCCAACGCCUCUUGCUUUUCCCCGUUUUGUCUUGUCUCUACUAGAAAUUUCCAAAUGUCUGCACCUUCAAUUAAAAUUCGCAUAAUGCUACUGACUUGGUUGAGGAACCUUCUAUUUCCCUCUCGUUCUCUAUGAUCCGUGAUGCAAAGUGCACCAAUCCAAAAUUAAGUAGAUGCUUGUUGAAUGGCCAUGGUCUUCCAAGUUCAGUGAAAUAUAUCACAUAGAUCUCUUGUCACCUCUCUUAAUCCAAUCAGUGAUGCCAAUACUUCAUACUCUACAAUUCUAAGAUAGUAAAGCUUUGCUUCCUGAGAAAAGUGUUGAUCUAAUCAUCUCGAAAAUUGAAAGGUCUACACGGGAAAGAUUAGUUGAUUCCUUUGUUGUUCUUAGGUAGAUUGCAAGACUUUUCGUAUAAGCAAAAGGUGUUGACUUAAAAUAUUUUCAUGACAAACGAAUGGUGUUUGACAAACGCCUUGUAAAAUAUUUAUUACAGAACAAUUUUUAGUAUAGAGAAAAAAUAUAAAAAAAAAAAAUAGAGAAGGAAGGAACUUGCAGUUGUAUAUGAAGGCACAAGCGAGGGGUGACAUUGUGCCGACAUUUUGCAACCCUAGGCAAUGCGCCUCUAACGUCGAGCAAACCCGACGACGCAACACUGAGGCUGAGUAAAACUAAGUGACACAACACUAGUGUCACACAACCUCAAGUGUACACCCGGGCCACACUACUAGGCAAUAUGACGCUUGACCCACGGCAAGCUAAAUCUGACAUCAAGCGACCCUCGCAAAGCUCUUGACGUUGCAUGGCCCUUGGCAAAGCUUUGCCGAUGUCUUUCAACCCUCGGCAAAGCUGCACCAGCGUCCCUCGGUCCCUCUUCAAAGCUUCCCGGCCAUGAUCAACCACAUCUUUCUCUCUACUAUCGAAGGUUGAGGGGUAAAAUAUGAUUGCAAAUAUAUUAGUGACGGUAAGAUUGGAAAGACAAAAACUUCAGUAAACCUAAACUUGCAUUUCAAAAAUGCUAAAGCCUAUACUCGGAGGCUUACCUUGAACUCUAAGCAUUUUCAAAGCAAAACUUUGGAUCAGAAUCUUAGAAAUUUUGUUAUCAAACAUCAAAUCCUUGACUCAAGGGCCCUUGAAGGUCCAAAAUAGCUUAAUUCAAGAUGACUCAGCACUCAAAUUUUUAACGGCCAAAUUAGACGAGAUAGAAACAAGGGUAAAAUUGAAAUACCGGUACUACUUAAGGGGUUUUUAUGAGUCCGAAAUUUUUUUAAAAGUAAAUAUGUUCAAGUAGUACCAGUUGAAGAUAUUUUGUGAUAUUAAUCCUAGUAAUAUAUAUGUCUUAUUUCCUUUCUUUUCUCCCUUUGAAGAGUCAAGUUUCAUUUCAUUGGGCAAGUGAAAUGCCAAGUGUCAUUUUGAUAAUUUCCUGUCAAAAUCUUGGUAAGUCAAGUUCCUACUGGUAUUGCCUUUGUAUUCUUCCCUGGCUUUCACUAAAGUCAUUCUCCUUAUACUUUCCCUCCCAUCAGUCGCCCUUCGUAUUAGUCUGGGCGGUCCCAAAUCGUCCAUGGUCAAAUGCAAAAUUCAAUAAAGUAAAAAUGAGAUCGCAAAUCACUUUCUAAAGGCAAGAACUAGCAAGAACAGAGGAUUACAAUAGUUUCCUCACAAGCAACAUAAUCACAUCACGAGAAAAUAUGAGAUGUCAAAUGCUUGUCACUAAUCUAUCACUUACAAUCAUUAAGGAUUUGAGAUUAUACAUGCUAGUGAUGUCUUAUGUCUUUUUUGAAUUGUAACACAUGUUCAUCUCACAUAUAUUUACCACAAAUGAUCAAAUUCCAAAAUCAUGGCAUCGCCAUCUUCUUUCCUCCCCCUCUUUCCCUCCCUCUCUCUCUCUUUAACACAAGUACAUGCACAAAUUAAUUUACACAUCACAAAGAAUAAGAAAGAACUACGAACGCAGUGGCUAUUUUCUAGGUGUAACCCCAUAAAAGAGAAUGUAUAUAAUAAACAUCUACUCUUAUCAAAUUUUAUUUUAUGGGAGCAACACCAUUGACAGAAAAUGAUUAAAAAAAAGUGAAGCAACAAAAAGAUUUCAUUUAGACAUCCUAUCAUUAUGUUUCUUUUUUAUGACCCUUUUCGAGUUGUUAUAACUUAUUUUGAAUUAACAACGUUCAAUAACAAAUUCAAAAGGAUGAGCAAUGUUGGGCAACUACUCGAGCAAAAUCUUUGGGCCGACCAGAUUUGAAAAAGUCUCGGGUCAACUCCACCUAAUGGGCAACCAAGACUGAUAUGAUGGGCCGAUUCUCUAGCUGAUCCUCUAGCAAGACUGAAGAAUGGGCCAUGUUCACUCCUUGUAUCUAAAAUAAAUCGACAUUGGGUUGUCAACCUUACCAAGAUUAGAGAUCAUACUAUAACUUAAAAUUCAAACCCCAACUUUUCUCAAUUAAAAAUUAAUGCGAUAGUUACUUACUAGUGAAAUCGAUGUUAAGAGAUCACUGGACCAAUUGAGAGCAGUCAAAUUCAACAUUUGAAUGAAAAACCACAAACAACGACAACAAAAAAAAAAUCCCAUUGUUCACAGCACUUUCGAAGCAAUACUAAACUUUAUUUGAGGAAACUAUUAGAAAUUGACACCUGACUACAGCUGAAAAACCUAUUUGAAAUUAAUUGUUGGGAAAUAUCUUGGCCAACAAAAUCCUUCCUAAAUUAAUCAAUCUCUAUCUACUGGUAAAUUUUAAUUGAAGAAAAAUGUCAAAAGUGGAGAGGUAAUGAUCUUGAAUCUUACAUCAGGGAUAGCCACAUCGACCACUUCAGGCAUCCUCAAUUAUGUCAGGAUGAACCAGGCCUUGUUCUAGACAAUGACUUCUUGUCAAUGUUUGUCAUUCUAUAAAUAUCAUCAAGGGAUUCAAAAGAUAAAAUAAGUGGGGGAAAAUGAAGAAAAAGAAAGGAAUCGCCUAUAUUUUCACUUUUGAUAUUUUGCAAUUAGCUCCUAUAUCUUUAGUAUAUGAUCCUCUAAGUUUGUUUGUUUUCAUUGGUAUAUCUUUUUAUUAGAUUUAACAGGCUUAAUUCUCCAAAAUUUUGUUUCAAAACUAAUCUUCAACGAGCGUAAGCAAAUUUUCUUGAUGAUCCAACAAAGUAGCAUUGAUGAUUCCUACCAAAAAUGAGCGGAUGUAAGGAUAAAUUGGUCAGAGCUAGAAAGAGAGCAAGAUCAAGCGGUGAUAGAAUUAUCCUAAUGUUAUCAUUUUUUUCUUUUACGUAAAAGAUAUUAUUAUUUUCUUCUUUGAUUUUGUGCUAAGUAAUUUAAUGGUCAAAUUUCACGUGUAAUUGACUUUUCUUUUCUCCUUUCUUAUCCAACAUGUGUUCUCUCCAUGGCCGUUGAAUUCAGUUUAUUGUAAGAACACGUGGCACUUAAUUUCAACUAUCAAGUUGUCUCUACAAAAAAAGAAAAAAGAAAGAAAAGGAAAAUGAUAAAUUCGUCCAACUACACAAGCCGUCCGAUUGUGUGCAUUUACAAAUGUAACCUUGGGAUUCCGGAAUUUUCUUAAUUUUCGGUGUCCGUUGUUUCUCAACUUUCCGAACUCCUUAACCUGUUGCAUACCAUUUGGGUUUUAUAUUUUAGUUGUCUAAUAUUAGUUAAUGUACAAAAAAUGUUAACACGUGGCAUUCUUUCUUCCUAUAUGGUGAGGUUAAAAAUAUCUUAUGCAAAAUAGAGUUUAUUAAUGUACACUCUUAAUUCAUGGGUUUGUUAUUCUCCACAUUGGGGGCUAGACCUAGGACCCUAGCACUGGGAUAGACACCGGCAAAACAAGUUAUAGCAUGGGCUGCCUAAGACCCUAUCAGAAACUCGGGACCUUGGCCUUGGACUUGAGUUGUGAAUUAUGGAACUAUAAUUUGCUAUCUUCAAUUUGUAUUUAUAUAUUACAUAACAACUCCAUAUUACGAAAUAUUUGACAAUGUUGUGUAAAUAAGAUCAUUGAGUCCGCCACAAUGCAGGAUACCAAUAGAGUACCAAGCAGUAAGUACAGAAACAAUUGCAGACGCCAUGCGAACUCCGUCUCCAGAUUGAUCUUCACUCUAAGCUUCAAGACAAGUCAAACCCAUGUUCUGGUUCGGCCACAAUGUGUGACAUCAAAAUGACACAUCUGAUUAUUCGAUCUCUUCCCAUAAAUUUUCGAUCGGAAAAAAAAAAUUCAUUAGGUUGCAAAAAUGCGUACGAUGAUUUUCGGUUAGUGGCUUUGAUAGUGCCUUUCCCCGAUUCCCGUACGAAGAAGGAAAAUAAAAAAACGAACUCGCUGCUCUCCCUAAUGGUGCAAGCGUUUUGGCCCACCGAGGGCACAAGUGUAAUUGCACGAGUGCCCAGCUCAGUCGGCUCAGGAUUUCGGCCUCUCGAGUCGGCCCCAUUCCCUGAGACGAAUCACGGCCGUCGAUCAUACCCGGCCCGUGUGUCGGCACACAGUGACCCGACACACGUGCGGAGUCUCAUUUACGUGCUGUCCCUCCCACCAGCCAACGACCCAUCCCUGUCUCUAUGGAGCCCACUGCAUAUCCCCAUCGUUGGGCCAUGGCCCCCACCUUACGCUUAUCUCGAAUCUAAUCUCCGCCCAUUUCCAAUUUUUUAUUAAAAAUAAAUUGAGCAUAAAUAAAAUUGAAAAGGGAAAAUGACACUGCGAUCUCUAAAAUUUAGCCCAACAAGUAAUGCUGUUCCUAAGCUUUCAAUUUGUGCAAUAUGAUCCCUAAAAUUCAUAUCCAAUCUAGUUCAUUGACUAUACGAAAAUAUUCAAUAUUGUCUUUGAACUUGAAUUAUUGAGAUGAUAGCUAACGGUGAUUGAUUUCAGGGUAAGUAAGUUUUAAAGCUGAACCUAUAUUCUACCCUAUCAUAAUCGAUUUCUAUUUUUGAACCCUGGAACCUAUCAUGUCCUCUAUUUUUCCCGUCUCGUUUGAGGGUUCACUCAAUAAUCUAUUUUAUCUUCUUUUUUUUCAUUUUUUUUAUUUUUACAACAAAGUCAUAUGAGAUUAUGAGUAACGAAAUGAUUUAAACUAAAAUAUGAAUAAUAGAAAUCCUAAUAUGCCAAAACUAACAAUUUGAAUACGUAGUCAAGUACAAUUAUAAACGAUAAAAAUGUUCAAACGCGUAAUAUAAAACAUAAAUUCCCCGUUUCUCCAUAAAAUUUAAAGAAAUGAGUAGCAAGAAGUUUCAAAAAAGGAUGAAAGAUGAAAGAGUGCUAAGGUUAAAAUUUAGGGAAAAAAGCAAUUAGAAUUUAAGCUUUUUAACUUAUAAAACAGAUUCCAAAGUAGAGUGGAAUCGGUAGGUCUUUACUUGAAACCUAUUCCUAGAACUAUUUCAAGGAGAAUCAAUUCUCAGACCUAUUCUUCGAAAAGUUCAAUUCAAUUUCUAAGUAGAAUCGGUUUAGUUGCACAACCCUAAUAACAGCAUUAAGCAUCUUCAUAUAGUUUAGGGACUAACUUGAAUAUACACUAAAAUUUUAAGGAUCAUAUUAAAUAAAUUAAAAGUUCAAGGAUCGUUUUUAUAAUUUGGGUCAAAAUUGAAAGAUUAUAUAUGUCACCAUCCAAAAUGGGUAUCAAUAUCCAUUUAAAAAAGGGCAAUUUGCUUUUAAGUUAGCAAUUUUUUUUAAUAUUAUCAAAGCACUAUUAAUAACCCGAAAGUCCGCCCCACAUCAUCGCUAUCUCCCCCUCUCUUAAAGUCUCAAAGCUCCACAGGAAAAAAUAUCAACGGCGCGCAUAGAGAAUCACUUUUGUCAACAAAAGCCAACAUCAUCAUCAUCAUCCUCAUCAUCCCCUCUCUCUCUCUCGCUCAGAGCUUCUCACUCGACAGCAAUGCACCACGCCUACAUCACUCCCUCCCAAACCCACCACGGCCACGGCCCGGCCACCCCCAAGUCCCCCUCCGCCCCGGCGGCGGCGGCGGCGGCGGCGACUGCUACGACGGCGUCGUCGGCGUUCACGGUGAUCUGCGUGCUCCACUCCCUGAUCGCGCUCUUCUGCGGCUCCCUCAUGAUGUUCCACGCCCGGGCCAUCUACUCCCUCGGCCACGGCACCGACGCCGCCGAGCGCCUCCUCGGGUCCACCCCGCAGGACCGCCUCCUGAUCAGCACCUCCGACUCCUUCGCCGGCCUCCUGCUCCUCGCGAUCGGGCUCCUCCUCCUCAUGGUGUCCAACAUCAAGGACCGGGAGUUCCAGGACUUCUUCGCCAAGGGCUGCACAGUGCUGCACGUGUGCGUGGCGGUGUGGAGGUUGUCGUUCGAGCGAGGGGUGGAGGACCUCGCCGGGGACUGCCUCCGGCAGACGGUGGGGGACUUCCUGCUGGCCCUGUCGUGGCUCCUCUUCGUCGUCUACUCCUGGAGGGAGAAGUACGACUGACCCGGAAAUGGAAUCGCGCGUGCCCUUUGCUGUUUUUCUCUAUGUUUUCUUCUUAUCCUUUUGGCCAAAAUAAGGUUGUACUGUAAAGAAGGAAAGGCAAAAAAAAAGGGUUUUUCAUCUUCUUUCCCUCUCUUCUUUUUCAGUUUUGGAAUCUCCUUUUUCUUUGGGGCAAGUGGGGUGCCUGUGAAGCUUGCUGAAUCAGGCUCUUUCUCGUCUGUGUUGUAACAUCUGAGAGCUUUCUAAGGAAUGUAUACAAGUUUUGUUAUACGAUCUGUGUACUGUAGAUAUGCGGUGCUUGGCACCAAUCAGUAGUAUCUUCGGCUAAG
rnacentral:lncRNA from 1 species